rnacentral:lncRNA from 1 species
GGACAAUUUGUAGUGGAAAAAUUUCACCACGGAAAGCUGCUUUUCAUCGCCGUGCUUGGCGGAUUCACGUGGAAAUGUGAGGGAGGCAAGUACUACGCCCUUGUCAUUGAAAAUCAGGAUUAUGAGGGCGCCACAUUUAUCCAUAAAGCACUUGUUGUUGAGGCCCCAGGUGAAACGAAACUCCUCUGGCACAAGAAUUAAUCAAGCACUACUAUUGAUCAGCUGAGGAUCAAGCAUUACUAUUGAUCAGCUGAGCAUUACUAGUGUCUAUGGUGUGGUUUUCAGUUUAUGCAUGGAUGAUGUACUGCUGCCAUGCAUACAUCUUUCCAGUAUUGUACUAGCAUCUUUCCAUCAUUCCGUUUGUAUUUGAGUUUGUAUCCUUGUAUGUUAAAAGGUGCACUUAUACGGACAAAAAUGCACCAUUAAAUGAAUAAAAACGGCUGUUUGUUUUUGAGUUCGUAUCUGUGUAUUUUGUUUCUCUGUUACUUCGAAGCAGGUUCCAAUCCCUGAAUUUGUAUGUCAACUACAAAAUCUGCUAUAUUCAUGACCAGUUAUAAAUUUUGAUAACUGGUUAAGUGUUACUUAAAAUGGAUCCAAACCCGAAAGGGAUAUGAAAGAUUAAUUGAUAUAUUGAGAGCAAGACAUGCCGAUUACGUUUUGGUUUUCUCAAGUGGUACUCGUUCUUCUUUGUAAGUUUAUUUUGGGUGUUCUUCAAAAAUACGAAAACUGUUCAGGCCAGCAAGUUUAACAUAAGCAGUAGUUGUUUCUUGACCCUUUAACGGUUAAAUGUGGCAAGACCACGACGAAUAAUCACAAGUGUUGCAGGGUUUUCUUAUCAAGUUUUUCCAGUUUGGGUUGGCCGUAGGAAAAUUUCCUUUUUCCAACAUCAUGUCAGGGCAUUGCAACUCAGAUUCUGUCUUUUGGAUGAAUAAAUUCCCUUCUCAUGGUGGCAGGCUGCUUUGCAUCAAGCACAUGCUUUCAUCCAUUCCUAUUCAUGUCCUAGCUGCAGCUAAUCCUCCUAAAUCUGUUUUUAAUAUGAUAGAAUCUAUCUGUGCUAGAUUUUUUCUUGGGUUCCUCAGAGGAGGAAAGGGACACGCCUAAGGAUGGCAGCCCCUGCGGGGGGCCAUUGGGGCGGGGGAGCGGGGGAUAUUAUCAAUUUUACCCCCGCCUUGCCAACCGUUUGAAAAAAAAAACAGAUAUAUAUAUAUGUACAUAAUUAUAUAUAUAAUGAUAAUAUCAAUUAUAUUACUAAUUAUACAUGUCUAUUAAUAAAAAUUAUUAAUUAUUCAUAUUAAAUUUAUUAAUAUAUUUAUAUUAAAUUUCUAACUACACUUAAUACAAUAACACUUUUUUCUAAAAAAACCACAAAGUAAUUUAGUGAUUAUAUUUGUAUCAAAAGUGAAAACUUGAUUAUUUUAGUUAUAUUUGUUUUAUCAUAUUAGAUUGUAUUCAAAUAACCUUUGUUUAAUUAUUUUUAUGAGUUUCAAUUGUGAAGUUACAAUGAAUAAUAAUUUGGUGAUGUGUUAAUAUUUUAGUACUUGAUUAUUUGCUCAAAUUUAAUUAUAAUAAAAUUAUAUAAUAAAAAAAAUUUUAACCCCACCGGUACCCCCCGCGGGGAAGCGGGGCGGGAGACGGGGCGGGGGUUGGGGGAGGUGUCCCCCGCCCCAUCCCCCCAUUGCCACGCCUAGAGACGCUAGUUUCUAACUCGGAAUGGUCCUAGUUCCUUCACUGCUCCAGCUUCCAGAGCAGAGAAGUCAGGCCCUGCCAUCACCAAAUUAAGAACAUGUUUCCUUGAAAUGCCCAUUGAGAGUGCUUUCUAGGUUCAACCAAAAACGAUUCUCUCGGUUCCAUUAAAAAUAUCAUACCUUUUAUUUUGGAAUGUUUCAAAAUAUUUGUCACAUUGAAAAUGUUAGAUUACCUUUUAGUCUCUUUUUUUUAAUAUAGCUCUUCUUUCUAAUCAUAAGCAUGAUAUCAUUAAAUUUUAAAUUUUAAAUUUGUGGAGGGUAAAAUUAGAAAGAGAAGUAUAAACAUCACAAUUAAACCAUUAAUUUUUAAAAAGUUAGAUUUCUCAAACAUGACCUUUUUUUUUAAUACAAAUAUCGAGAUUUUAUUGCCUGUAACACAAACUUACAAACGAAGUAUAGGCCAGUCACGUAGACGACCUUUUGAAAAAUCAGAAAGAUGGAAGCCCUAAUUUAUCCAACCUGACUGCCUCUCUUGCUAGCUGUGGCAAGUGAUUUGGUUGGUCAUAAACCCUAAUCGAAUCAUAUGGGUGCAAGAGACCCUCAUUAGCGAGUAUGUCUGCCACCGUGUUUGCUUCUCUAAAGCAGUGAGAGAACUGCCCUGGAUCCUCAGCCAGCUACCAUAUUUGGUCAAACAUGACUAAAUAAUUGAAACGGAGCGAGUAAUAAAAACAAUAAAUAUACCUCCAUUUAGCCAUAAUACAAGAGGCUUGUUAGAAGGAUUUUCGAACUCCGCAAAAUAGUAGAAGAGAGCUUUACUAGUCUUAGGAUCAACAGUAACAUACCCCGAGAGUCCGUUUGGUUACAAACUAGAUGAAAUGGGAUGACUUAUCCUUGGAUUAUUAAUCCUGGGUUUGAGUCAUCUUCGGAUAAAUAAUCUAAAUUAUCUAAUGUUUAGUUGAUUCUCUGUUGGAUAGGAUAUAUUGUAAAAUAAUUCUAUCCUGUGUUUGGUCGAAAAUUGGAUGAGGAAGGAUUACUAUUUUAAUGACCAAAGCGUCCCUUAAUUUAUAGAUUCUUUUUAAUAAAACAAUUUAAUAUUUUAUAAAAUAUUAAUAAAAUAAUUUAAUAUUAUUUACUAAAAUAAUCUAAUAAAUAAUUUAAUAUUUAUAAAUUUUAUUAAAAUAGAGUAGUUCAAAACUUUAUAAUUAUAAUGUAAAUCAAGAAUUUUGAUGUAUAAAAAUUCGAAUUUAUUUAAAUUUAGCCCCUUCGAGCCCUUAAAAACAGAUUUUGACCAAGCUUUAACCCUUUUGGUUGCCCCGGCAAUGCUACUACUUUGUCGGCCGCCUUCCAAACCCUCUUGAGGACCAAUAUAAACUGGCGUGUUCUCAUGUCCGCAAUCCUCAUCAUUUACGUAAUUGUCUAAUUGUUCGGUGUCAGAACCACCAAAAAUAAAAUUCUUACUCCAAAAAGAUAUACUUUUGAAUACAAUGGUGAGUAAAGUCAAAAAUAAUAAUGUAAAAUUAAAUUAAAUUAAAUUAAUAAAAGACAAAUAUAUAGUCAAAGGUCUAAUCUCCAUUUUGGUUCAAUUAACUAAUCAUUGAUAUAAGGAUAAAAUUAUUUAUUUAUAAAUAAACUAAUUAUGGUUAUCAAUAAAUUUUAACAACCUACCUUUCCUUACUAUUCUUGAUAACUACAUUAAACUCUGUGAUGAUUACUCUUGCCAAUUAAGCAAACCUAAACAAAUUCUUAGGAUUUAAUGUAUUGACAAUAUUAAUUAUUAUAGAAGCUACUAGUUCUAACUAAUAAAGACAUGAGUUCCGUUUAUUUAGGCUAGAUUAUAUAUUUUUGUGACCUAUAUUCAAAAAUUUUACUACAAUCAAAAUAUAUCACUUGUCAUAAAUACUAAAAUCAUCAAACAAUUACAUAUUUGACGAUUUAGAUGGCAGUAGAGUAUUUCGACAAUUAAGUAGUGCCCAAUUAUUUAAUCAAAUAAAAUAAUCAUAUCAGGAACGGUAAAUACUUAUAAAUAAAUUAGAUAUCACGAUAAACCAAAAUUUUGAUUAUCCUUCAACUAGAAAAAAAUUUCAGCCACUCUUCAUGGUGGAUUUGAAAACUAGGGUUUAUUGGAGGAAAAAUACAAAGAAAAAGAAAAGAGAGAAACGGCAGGAAAGCAAAAGAGAGGAGGUCCCUUGCUUCUGGUUCCUUCCGUCCAAAUUUAAAAAAAAAAAAAACUACCGUUCUUCAAAGUCAUAACGACUAGUCUCAAUAGCACUUACCGUUCUCCAGAAGUCAUAACUACUAAUCUAAAUAGCACCAACGUUUCCUGCCACUAAAGGAAAAUGAUUCCUUUUGCUAAUGUAACUCUGACAAAUACUAAAACUAAUAAAUAUGACAAAAAAAUAUAGUUCCUAACAUAAUCAACAACUUUAUAAGCAAAUAAAGAUUUAUUUUGUCACAACGGUAGAAAUCUUAUAACAUAAUCUAGUCUAAUCUAAGGAAAGGAAAAAGGGAAUUCGAUGUGAGUAAUAACUUCAUCGAAGAUAGCCAAUUAAGACCACCAUAUAUAAUGACAAAUUGAUGGGAGGUAAAAAUUGAACCCUUAACCUCCUGCACGCACCAAAACUGGUGGUGAGAAGCGUUUCCAUCAAUCAGCACAAGUAGGCCUGUCAACGGGUCGGGUCUAGACCCGGAUCCGGACCGGAUCCGUGAAAUUAUUGUGGGUAUGGGUAGGGAUUUAAUUCCGUUUCCCGGAUCCGGAUCCGGAUCCGUUUUGUCAAACAAAAAAACGGGUCGGAUACGGAAUAUAGUAUUCCGACCCGUAUUAGACCCGGAUCCGGAUAUAAAUGAAUUAAUAAUUUAAAAUAUAUAUAUUUAUAAAUAUAAUUUGAUUAGGGUGAUAUAUUUUAAUAAAGUUAAUUUGAUUUCUUUUCUUAUUUGGUUUUUUCUUUGCAUUAGUUAGAAAUUAGUUUACAAAUAUAUUUUUUUCUCAUUUUUAUUAGAAAUUAUAAAUUUUGGUAAAUUUGUUCGGAUAGACCCGGAUCCGGAUCCGGGACCCGCCGGAUCCGGAUCCGGAACAUAGAAUAAAAGACCCGUCGGGUAAACGGGUCGGAUCCGGAUCCGGCACAGUAAUUCGGGUCCGGGUCCGGAAUAAUGAAUUCCGGCCCGGACCCGGCCCGUUGACAGCCCUAAGCACAAGUUCCAAAUUGUGGGGCUCGCUUCACUUGAGAGCAGAAAAAGAUGUGGCCUAAACUGUGGGGUUCGCUUCCAAUCCCUCCAAAUUUGGACUUCACAUCAAAUAAGAUGUGGUGGCAUCUUGUAAAGUCUAGUCUUCUGAAAAUUUAAUUUUUAAUAUACUUUCCACUCUAAUUUCAUCAUAAAUUCCUAGCAAUAACACCAAAAAUGAUAUAUGUAUAAAAUGUAAUGAUUAACACCACAUCUUGGCAAAAUAAAAUGAGAAAUAUUCACAAAUUAAGCGCAAGAUUAACCAUCUGAGACUAAUCCUUUUGACAUGUUGCCUGGAGAAAUUUUUUGAGUCUCUCUCGACCUUUUCCCUGGUAACAUCGUACAAAUAUAAGCAGGCUUAUGAGGGUUAGAGAGAAGAUGGGUGUGCGCCCUUCAUCCUUGACAUAUAGGUCUAUAACCUGUGAACAAAUUGUUUCACCCUCCCACCAUAUUUUCACAGGUUGUUUCACCAAAACAACUGAUCACCUCCUGCCAUUUAAUGAAUGGCUUUCGCUUUCAAAUUAAUCGAAAUGAAUUUAUCUCCACGCCUUGCAUUUUGAACUCGAUUUGGCAUUUGACACGUUCACGCAGACACAAGACAAACUCGAUUCUCAAGCCAAGAAAAGAUCUCGAUUUCUUACUAAAGGCAUAAGACAACGAAGACCAAGACGUGAAGAAGGGUGUCAAAAGGCAGACGAGGAUGAUAAGGUUAUCAAGACUCUGCCACCUGUUAACAACCAUCUUGCCAUUCAAGUUUCAGGAUCAGAAUCUAUGCAUGGCAUAAGUCGCUAUUUGAUUUUAAUUAUUAACCAAGAAAUUUGAAGCAAAUUGAUCUGGUUUCUCUGAAUUCUUGUCCAUUAGGAGUCCUAAUUUAGGACCACCAAAUUUGGCCAAGGCAAUUAAAACGUGCCUUUGUUGCAAUCUUCUCAAGAUAAAUUAGUGAACUAAUUGUUUUGGUGACGAUUGCAGCCCAUUUCCUUUUCCUCUAAAGUGUAUUUUUCAUUUUUGAGGAGCCAUUAGUCUGCCUUUUUAAAUUUUUUUUCUUCUUUGUUAUCUCUAAACUGUCUGAAUUUUAUUAUGCUACUUCUGUAUUUGCGUAGAUAUUUGAACUACGAAUCAUUUCAUUGAUUAGGGGUAGAAUUAUUGCUUUUGCACGGACCACGAUAAAAAACUAUGAGUUAUUUAUACUUUUCUUAGCUAAAAGCAUACCAAAUAAUUAAUUAGCUUCCUCAAAAAUAGAAGGUUACUUAGCUAAGAUUAAAAAAAUGAAGAAAUAGUAGAACAAAAUUUUUAAAAAAAAAUAGUGGAAAAUAGACCAAAAUAAAAGGAAAAGGCCAUGAUAUGUUGGUCCAUAUUUUCACUGGGAACCCAUGGUCACAAGAUCCAAGCCCAUUUGAAUCCUACCUAUUUUUUUUUCCUCAUGCUCAAGGGCUUUGAAGGCUUGGUGUAAGUUUGUUUGUAGCCCAACCCGCCUAUGGGCUGUAAAAUGAAUGCUACAUUUUUUUUGUGUCUUCCUCCUCUUAUUAAUAGUUUCCGAAUUGGGUUAUCUCAAGAUUUAUUCUGUUUUCCUUUUAUUCUUUCCCAACUAGGUUUUUUCAUAUGAAACCGCACAGAACAAGCUACAUAUUCAGAUUUUUUUAGGCAAUAUGAAACUUUUUAUUGAUAUAUCAAAAAAUUCAUACACAAUUUUCUCUUUAGCAUAAGUGAGAGAUGUCAAAUUAAGAAGUUUUCACACUUUCUCCUCCUAUACUACCCGACCUAUCGAUCUCACAAUUUUUUUUUAGUAUUUGUAAGUGGAAAAACAACUAAAUUACAUCAGGGAAAGCCUAUACUAUAUAAUUUCUAUAGAUAUACAAUGUCAGAUGUGCUAUGACAAGCGCGAGAUAUGCAUAUAACACAACUAUAUCCAUGAUCAAUGAAAUUUGCGACUGCAUCAUGAGUAUUGAAACAGCAAUUCCUUAACGGGGUGGUCAGAAAACUUCAUAUAUAAAGGUCCAACUGGGUGCUAAUUGUCGUACCAAAAACUUCAGUGCUCACCAUUGCCAAUAAUUUGCUUAAUAUGCAGCUGAGCCAUUCCUCUAAGCUUCAACAGUUUCCUCCAGCUCUAAGAACAAUCACUAGGAGUCUUAAUCCCUCAAUAGACUGUCUUUAAGCAUAAUAGAAUGUACCCUUUUAACCAUAAUGACUCUUUUCGAGCACAAAUGUUCCACAGUAACUUCCAGGCACUUAUUCUUUUUUUUUCCGAAACGAUAUUAGUAAUAUAUUGAUCAACAUCUAAACUUUACAUUUGGGGCAAAGGCCCCUCAUUUCUUUACAAAAGUGCUCAACAGCACAGAGGAUUGAACCAUUCCUCAUCAUGUAUAAUGCCUAAUGCAUAAUCUCCAACUCUAAUGCUAAUAUGAUUAUCAACUUUAGAUAUUGCACAAAAAGAGCACAUGUGAAACAGGGCUUUCAGGCUAAGAAUAUCAUCAACUAGAGUAUACAGUUUGAUAUUGGAAGCUCUUCCGGAACAGAUUUCCUGAAUGAGUUGCUUGUUGCAGCUCUGUAUGAUGACUUUCCUCCAGCCUUUGACUGCUAAUUUACUCAUAGCUAGCUUGAUAGCCUCAGCUUCGUCCAAUUGUGGACAAUUGUAGCUUCUUUCAUGCAUUGCCCAAGCCGCCACCACAACAUUUCCUUCUGUCAUAGCAGUCACCCCUAUUCCCACCUCUUUACUGUUCGGUUUUCUUAGAGCUGCAAUCUUCACUUGGAUCACCUCUGCAUUCUCCGCUUCUAUUCGUUGAAUCUGGUUAGCAGCUGUUUCUACUGUGCUCAACUGCUCUUUGUCUUUAUACACUUCGCAGAACUCUAACCACUCCUCUUGAGCUUUCUGAAUUGUUGUCAUAGCAUGCCUUUGUUUGUUGUUGAAUUCCCACUCAUUCCUGCUUUUCCAUACUUGCCAUAAGAUAUUCACUGUUAGACCAAGAUGUUCAUCACCAGCCUGUCUAGAUCUGGCUCCUGCAAUUUCAUUCCACCAGUCCUUGAAACAGCCUUGUUUAUCCCUAGCACCCUCCCAUUGCACUGGUGCUAUAUGCCAUACUAGCUUGGCCUGUCUGCAGUUCAGGAGCGCAUGGUCCACAGUCUCCACCCCUUCUUCACAGACUUUACAGAUGGGAUCUCCUUUUUGCGUUCUACUAAAGAUUACUUCAUUGACUGGGAGAGCAUUGUUGAUGCAUUUCCACAUGAAGGUCUUUAGUUUGUGCUUGAUGUUUAAAUUCCAUAGGCAAGACCACAUCUGUUUUGAUGAACUGUGUAGGCUUGUACCUGCCCCAUCAUAGCCAUUCCUUUCCUGGAUUUCCUUCUCUUUCAUAAGUACCUUGUAGCCUGUGUUCACUGUGUAUUGCCCCGUUGGAGAAUGUAUCCAGAAAUUGCUAUCCUCCUUUCCUGCUAAGCUGAUAGGAAUGCUUAAGAUCUUUUCUGCAUCCCUGCCAUUGAACGUUCGAAGCACUACCACUGUAUUCCAUCUCUUAUGAGUGAUUAGGUCCUGAACUUUCUGCACUUUGCAUUUUGGAGGUUUAGUUGUUGAGGGUCUUCCAUCUUUGUUUCCUACUAUCCACUUAUCCUCCCAAAUAUCAGUACUAAGACCAUUUCCAAUUUUCCUCCAGGUGUCUUCCUCAACCUGCUGCGUAGCUCCCAUUAGACUCUGCCAGAUCCAGGAAGCAUUCUGAGGGCACUUGCUCUUGAAUAUGGAACCAGUAGGAUAGUAUUUGGCUUUCAGAACCUUGGAGGCAAGCAAAUUUGGGUUAACAAGCAAUCUCCAUAUCUGCUUACCUAGCAAAGCUCGGUUGAAGUUGACCAAAUCUUUGAAUCCAAGUCCUCCCUGGUUCUUUUCUUGAGUAAUUCUCUUCCAGGAACAUAAAUGCAUCUUAUCCUUUCCAUUAUUGUCUCCUCACCAGUACCUUGCCAUCAUUGCACUGAGUUCCUUGCAUAGUUUCAGAGGCAAUUUGAAGCAUGACAUAGCAUAUGUAGGCAUUGCUUGAGUCACUGGUUUUAAUAAGACCUCCUUCCCUGCUUGACUUAACAACUUCUGCUUCCAGCUUCCUAAAUUCUUUUUAAUAUUGUCUCUGAUGAAACCAAAGAUUUGGCCCUUCGUUCUUGUUAUCACCAUUGGAAGACCCAGGUACUUGCCUUGGUUGACCAUCUGGAUAUUUUCCAAUCUGCAGCAUACUUCUAGUUUUUUGCUAUGCUCCAUGUUUUUGCUGAAGAAGACAGAAGACUUCUCUAGGUUGAUCAACUGUCCAGAGCUCUUCUCAUAAGCCUCCAGGAUAUAUCCUCCUUAACUCCUCAGCAUGCUUGGUGUCUGCCUUACAAAAUAUUAACGAGUCAUCUGCAAAAAAUACAUGUGUUAGUCUAGGUCCAUUCCUGCUGAUUUUGAGUCCAGUAAUCUACUUGUUCUCUUCAGCACUUUUCAGCAGGUUUGAGAAUCCUUCUGAGCACAGUAGGAAGAGAUAUGAAGAGAGGGGGUCACCCUGUCUUAUUCCUCUUUUUCGUACUACAAACUCUUUCACCUCACCAUUUAUAUUGAAGGAGUAAUAGACAGAUUCAACACAUUUCAUGAUCCAGCUAAUCCAUCUGCUGCUAAAGCCCAUUUUUUGCAUCAUAUCCCUCAAAAAGUGCCACUCCACUCUAUCGUAAGCUUUAGACAUGUCUAGCUUAACAGCCAUGUAUCCCUCCUUCCCAUACCUUUUGUUUUUCAGAAAAUGCAAGUAUUCAUGGGCUAUGAUGACAUUGUCUAGGAUUUGCCUACCAGGAAUGAAUACAGACUGAGUUUUACUGAUGCAGAAAUUUAACACCCCUUUAAGCCUAUUAGCUAGUAUUUUGGAAAUCACUUUAUAUAACACAUUACACAAGCUAAUAGGCCUAUAAUGCUUCAGGUUUACUGGAUCUUUAACUUUUGGUAUAAGGGAGAUUAAUGUAUGAUUCAGAGCUCUAGGCAAGGAAUUGGAAUGAAAAAAAUUUUGGAUAGCCUGGAUUACAUCAUGUUUAAUAAUACACCAGAAUUUCUGGAAAAAAAUAGGGGACAUACCAUCUAUUCCAGGUGUUGUAUCAGGAGACAUAGAGAAAAGGGCUGAUCUGAUUUCUUCUUCAUCCACACCUCUAGUCAGUUGAUCAUUCAUGCUCGCUGUAAUGGUGGGUGGAAUACCUCUAAGGAUGUCCUCAGUACUACCAUUCCCCUUGCUAGUGAACAGUUGUCUGUAGAAACCUGCAACUUCCUCACCUAACUCCUGCUCAUUCUCAGUCCAGGAACCAUCCUCUCUUUGUAGAUUCAACAUUCUGUUUCUCCUCCUCCUCCCCUUCACAUGAGCAUGAAAGAAUUUAGUGUUCUUAUCCCCCUCCUUCAUCCAGUUUAUUCUUGCUUUUUGGUGCCAGAACAGUUCCUCCUCCUUGUACGCCACCUUCAAUUGAUUUUUUAGGUCCACUGUCUCUCUUCUAGUGUCCACUUGAGUGUUAUACUGAAGCUUCUCCAGCUGAGUUUUGAGCUGAUCAAUUUUCUUUUUAGCAUUACAAUUGGAGUUGUUCCUCCACUUUAAUAAUUCAAUCCUGCAAUUUCUGAUUUUGCACUUGACCGUGAACAUUCUUGAUCCCUCAAAAUCUUGUUCCCAUGCAUUUCUGAUCACAUCCUGGACACCUUCUUUCUUCAGCCAUCUCCUGUCAAAGUAAAACAUUUUUUUCCUUUGCCUAGCCUCUGGCUUUGUAUCUAUCAUCAGCAUACUAUGAUCUGACGCGAAGGUAUCCACAUGUGUGCAUUUUAAUUUUUUCCCAAAGUAAGGACCAGUCUAAGCUAUAUAAGCCUCUAUCCAGUCGCUCUCUGACCUCCCCUAUCUCCUCCCAAUUGUUGCUCCAGGUCCAGGGGUUCCUCUCAAAACCAAUGUCAACCAUUUGGUUGUCAUUUAUGAAGUUUUUGAAGUCAGAAAAACUCUUCUCCUCCCUCCAUCUACCUCCCCACUUCUCCUCAUUUGACAGGAUAUCAUUGAAGUCUCCUGCUAUAAUCCAUUUCCCUCCCCACAGCCUUUUCCUAUCCUGGAUCACCUUCCAUUGACUUUUCCUAACCAGAUUAUCACAGCUUGCGUAUAUUCCAACGAACCACCAUGUUGUCUUUGUCUCAAAAUCUUCCACGUGAGCUUCUAUAGUAAAGGCAGUUUUGAGUAUCUUUAUGAUUUUUACUUCAUCUUUCCACAUCAAUGCCAUGCCCCCCGACCUAUUCAUUGACUCUACUACACAACUAUUUUCAAAAUUCAACUUUUCCCUUACUCUAUCCAUGUACCUUUCUCUAUUUUUCAUUUCACUCAGGAACAACAUAUUAGGGGAGAGGAGGUUGGAAACCUCCCUCAGAUGGGGAAUUGUCAAGGUGCUCCCAACACCUUGGCAAUUCCACACCAGAACUUUCAUUGGGGUUUGGGGGCCCAGAGUAGGCUGGUCCCUUCCUCCACUUUUUCCUGAGCAAUAUAGCAAACCUCAACACAUCCUUUGUUUCUUUUUCCCCCUAUCUCCCUGCCUUCAGCAUCUUCCAUUUCCUCAUCGCAUAACUGAAAUUUCCUUUUUCCCUGACCUCCUGAGUCUUUGAUAUUGAUGCAGAUCUCCUUUAAAGGAGUUCUUCUCUUCGACGAGGAUCUUAACUGCUUCUUCAAUCUCCUAUUCUGUCUUGUGACAGCUUCUUUCUUCUUAUCCUCAACCAUAAGGUCCAGUAAGGUGAUUUCACUUGUAUUAUCCUCAAUGGUUCCUCCUACCCCCUGGUUCUCAAUACCUUUUACCUUUUCCAUUAUAUUAUCCUUCUCAUCUAUUAUUCCCUCUUGUUGAGAGGGUUCCUUCAUCUCCGUACUGGCAGUAACCUCCUUCCUACUUGAGACCAUGUUUUGUCCCCUUACCUCUGUCGUCUCAGCCUCCAUGUUCAUCUUAUGGAGAGAUGCUAUAAUAGUUGCUUCCUUGUCCUGCCUGUUACCCAUCGCCUUAGGGGCUAUAACUGGCUGACUUAUAACAUAGCUGUCCUCUUUUCCAUGUUUGUUAACCUGGUCCUGCAUCUCUAUUGCCUGACUUGGUGAGCCUACCUGAACUGCUGAUGGAACAUGACUGCUCAGCCCUGGGUCCUGUUGUCUUUGUUUCACCACUUCCACCCAGUUCCCAUUAUGUAGCCUCCAGUGGUGUUUGUCCAGGCACUUAUUCCAAUCUUCUAAAUUGAAGAGAGCAAGUCCCCUACCGUCUUUCAAGGAUAGGCAGACAUCUUUCCAUCCCACUUUUGCUAAGUAGUGAUGCUUGAAUCCCCUAGUCCAUACAAAAGAGGAGAUAAGACUUCCCACAUUUUUUAGAAUAGCUUUGGGUGGUAUAAAAGUGCUAGACCAAUGUGUUUGCACUCCAUAUAAAAUGGACUCGACAAGCUGCAAUCUUCCUCCAUAGCUCAAUUUCUGGAUGGCCCAACCUUGAAUCUUGCACUGCAACAUAUCGAGGAUGGGCUGACAGUCCUUGAUGCUAAGUCUUGAAGCAAUGCGAGGCAGCUCAAGGAACUUAACAGGCAGGUUGCACAGAGGCAUGCCCACAACGUUACAAAGAUCAGUGCCAACUUCCUCAGUUACAACAGCCACAAAAUACCUGACAUCUGAUGAAACUCAUCCAAUGCUUGUCUUGCGACCUGAAACGAUCUGUUAGUUGUAGCAGAAACAAGAAAUAGGUCAUCAGCAAAGGCAGCAUGGAUAAAUUCAGCUCCCUGUACUUUGGGUGAAAAUCAAACCCCAUGCAUUUAAUAUUAUCAAUAAAUAACAUUGAGAAAAACUCUAUAGCUAUAAGAAAAAGAUCAGGGGAGAUUUGAUCCCCUUACCGAAUGCCCCUCACUUCUAAAAUAUCCCACCAACGCUCCAUUGAGGUUGAUGGUGAAAUGUGCAACAGAUACACAAUUUCUAACCCCAAGAGAUAAAUUUUUCUGGAAAGUGCAUAGUAUCCACUUUAAGAAAUAAGAAAUCCCAAUUGAUUGUGUAGUCAUGGUUCACCAUAUCGGUCGAUACCGAUACGUAUCGGCCAAGUCAUAACUGGAACGGAGGGCACCGAUACGAUAUUGAUCCACGAAUCGCAGAUAUUACUAUAUCUGUGACAACUCGCUCUGACUCGGCUGAUAUUGGCCGAUUCGAAUCCGUGAUACAUGAUAUCGGCCGAUAUAUCCGAGUCAAUUCGGAGUCGACUCAGAUAUUAUUUUAAGUUGUGUCUUUUUUGGUAUUUUCUAAUUUUAGUAAUUUUUUCAAAAUUUUAUCAAACUUUCAUGUACUAUAAUGUGUGUAUCACCCAAUAUUCAACCGAUAUACCGCGACAGAUGUGAAACAACUGAGACCGCGACCUGCGAUGGCGAACAAUGUGUCAUAUGCCUUUAUCAGGUCUAUUUUCAACACUGCACAAGCUAAUCCAACUUUCUUGCAGUACCCUCUCACCAAUUCAUACAUUACUAGUGUAUUAUCUGCUAUACUUCUUCCUAUUAUAAAGCACUCUGAUGUUCACCAAUGAUUCGAGGAUUUAAACUUUCAACCUAUUAGUUAGCAAUGCUAAAUCGCAUUUACAUAGCAAACAACAGAAGGCUAUAGGCUUGAAAUCCCUCAUUUGUGUUGUAUUCUGCAUCUUUGGGACCAGUGUAAUUAUAGUACUAUUUAAAGGAUAAUGCAUAUACUUCUUGUCAAAACAAGAUUGAACAUCUCGAAUUACUUCAUCACCAAUGACAUGCCAAUUCUUCUUUGAAAAAUUUGUGCACUAAAGCCAUUUGGGCUUGGAGCUUUACCAUCCUUCAUAGUAAACAUAGCAUGUUUAAUCUCUUCAGCUGACACACUAGCUUGGAGAAAGUCUAAUUGAUCACUAGUGAUGGCUUUAGCAUUUAUCUGUUGCAGCUUGCCCUUCAAAUCAGGGCACUAGGAGUUAGAUUUACUGAACUCCUAGUGAGCGACCUCACACUAUUAUCAUGCAUUUUAAUAUGGACGAUACCCUUACCAACAAUAUCACAAACGACAUUUUUACUCAUCAAAACAAUUCCAUCAUUACAAAAUUUAUAAGUGAAAAAUAAAUCCCUAUUGGGACACAUAUGAUAAAGAGCACUUCGAAUCUAAAAUUCAUUCAUUUUUAGACCUUGUUCUAUCAUCAGUGAAGGAAAAUAUUUCCUUCAUUCUCAUCAACUAUAACACAAGAUUCGACAGUUUCAGUAUUUUUCUUACCAAGUUUCCUCUUUUACUUUAAUCUUUUCAAUUUAAAGCAAUUUACCUUAAUGUGCCCCAUUUUGUGACAAUAAUUGCAUUCCAAAUUUCUAUGUCAGAAUUUAGAUAGACUAUUGUCAAAUUUUCUUUUAUUGGUUCUAUCCCUAACAACCAAGUCUUCCUUCUAACUUCCAUUAAUUUCUCCAAUAUAUCCCUAUCAAUCUGCUCCUUAGAUUUUAACGCAGAUUUAAUUUUCCAAUACGAAAUUAUUUUUUUCAUAAAUUAUAGUAUGGUGAAAAUAUUUAAAAGAUUGGAGAAGGAAAUACAAAAGUAACAGGGCCUGAUCCUCAUGGUCAAUUUUCAAAUCUAUAUUAUCCAAAUCUAGAAUAAUGGAAAUAAAUUUAUCAAAAUGUGAGAGUAUAAAUGUACUUUCAGUUAUGUGAAGCAUAACAGACUUUGCUUUAAAUAAAACCGACUGUCAAUUGUCUUAUUCAUGUACAAGGCUUUAAACUUGUCCCACAUGUCCUUUGCCGAAGUUUCAGUGGCUACCUCCCUCAAAAUCUCGUUAGAGAGAUUUAAGAUAAUACUGGACCUUACUUUCUUAUCUAUUUCGGCAAAAUUUGCAUUUGUCACACUUUUUGACUUUUCUUAAUUCCUUGUGUUGCUAAAUCAAUUUCGACUCUCCAUCUUGAGCUACCACAUCCCGAAAUUUACAUUCCUGUCGAAUUGCUUGACAACAAUCUUUGUUAUUAUAAUAUUGCCACAGAAUUCAAAACCUUUGAAGAAUUUUUGAUAUCAGCUUGUUAGGUCUAACCCCAGAAAAUCGACGAAAGAAUUUUUGGCAAUCCCAAAACAAAUAAUAAAGCAAAAAUAAAUAAAAUAGAAGCACAAAAAUUUACGUGAUUCGAGAGCAAAAUUUCACCCAUGAUAGAACUACUUUUGACAGCAAUUUUUCCUCAGAAUGUAUUAUACAAAUUUGUAAUUUACUAUGCCAAAAAUUAUCUUAAAAGUUAGGAGGACUAUUGUCAUCCAAUUGACGUUUGACUAACUGCCUGCCUUCCAGUCACAAACUGACAACAGAUACUAAUCACAAACUUGAUUACAAAUCACAAACUUGACAUCAGACCAAUGUUUUCAAACCCGGACCGGACCAGCCAGUUCGACCGCGAAUCGGCUAGGCGCCCGGUCCAGUCCAUAGCUUAUGUUGACUUUGAUGAAAAACCGGUCAAACUCGUAAAAAACCGUUCAAACCUUCAAAAUCGGAUCGGACCAUGAACCGCGGUUUUCCAAUUUUUGAGUCAAAAUUGACAAAAUUUUCAAUUUUGACCAGACCCUAAUCUUCACUUCACUUCAGUCUUCCUCUUCGCCGCAGUUCGCACUUCGCUUCGGUCGUCAUGGGUUCCUCUCUGGCUCUCUCUGCAAUUGCCGAAAAUUGCCUUGCCUGCAGUUUCUAUUUCCUUCUCCAAACUCCAAUUUGAUCCAUAGCAAUCAGCAAAAAGGAAGCACCGAGGUCCGAAGCUUGAAGUUUUUGCACCUGCUGCUGCGAUUCCAAGCCAAAAAAACUCUGGAAUUCAAGCUUAUACCAGGUUCGUUUAUCUUUUUUCCCUUUUUUUUUCCUCUCGUUGUUGAUUACUGGGUUUUGGUUACGAUCCCUCCCAUCCUCUCGGCCCUCUGUAUAUAUACUGCUGUAAUUUUGCAGCCUAAUCCUCGGAUCACUGUGCCUAAUCCCCUUUUCUCUGCAUCCGCAGCGCUGCUUUUCUGUUCAUUUGUUUCUUGAAGGGACGUCCCGACAAUCCCAUCUCGUUCACACCAUCUUCAUCAGCUUUUCUCGAAACCAACUCUGUCUCAGGUAUUUUACUUCAUACGCCUACUGCGCUUCUAUGUUCUUCUUUCAAUAUGAAUGGUUUACGGUACUGAUAUUCGGUAAUGAAAUGUGCAUUCGAAACAUGAUUCUACUAAUAGUCUUAAGCAUCAUUUAUUUGGGAACUGAAACUGUCACCAACGAAGGCCAGAAAGCCAGACCAGAAUCACACGAAAUACAUACUUACUGAUGCUUAACAAAGUUAACCCUGACCCCUGGAAGUUUCGAAAACCCAGGCCAGAUUGUGUCAUUAGGCGUACCAAAAAUUUUGAAUAUCUGCAAAACAAAACGACAAUGAUCUUUAAGGCCACAGAGAAGAAAAUUAGCUUGAAAUCCAUACAAAAAUCUACAGUAACAUGACAGAUGAAAGUUGUCAAAAUGUUAACCUUGUCAAGUUGAUCAACUUCUGUUUUCCCAUUGAAUAGUGGCUGCUUCGCUGAGCCAAAUAAAAGAUUUUAAUUAUCUCAACUAAAAAAGACAAUAAUGCAUAAAACUACUCUCACCUGUACCACAAAGUAACCACCAAGUUAGUAUAUGGUUUCAAAGGGCUUCCAUAUUGACUAAUCCAAAGUCACGGAUCUUUAACUCACCACAAUUAUUUAAAAGUAUAUUUGAUGUCUUUAAAUCUCUGUGCAAAAUCCAGUUAUCGUGAAGAUACUUAACACCCUCAAGAAAUGCACAAGGCUUAGGGAAAUAACUUCACUCGUGCUAAACGGUUGUUUCAUUAUCUCCAUUAACCCCUUUAGAUCUUUUGGUGACAGUUUCAGUUCCCAAAUACAAAUAGUCUUAAGCAUCAUGCAUCACUAGGUGUAUAUUUUAGUUUUGGCAAUUAUUACAAGACUAGGAUUAUUUUUUGCUAAGGUGUAUACCAGGUUCGUGUGUAUUAAUUAUUUGUUUAAGACUAAUUAUUUUUAAAUAUCUCAUUUUAGGAUGGACGCCGGUAGCGGUAGUAACUCACAAUGUUCACCGGGGGGAGCAUUCAAUAGUGAGGAAUCUGCAAGUCAACCCCAAGGUCAUAGGCAGAAGAUAGAUAUAGCAUGGGGAUAUGUUUCUGAGGGCAGAAAUGCACAAGGAAGAAAAACCAUGACAUGCACUUAUUGUUUUAAAGUAUUUCAUAGGGGUGGCAUCCACCGAAUGAAGCAAUACUUAGCAGGAGUAACGGGCAGUAUUACUUCAUGUGCACAUGUUGAUCCAGCAGUGAGGCUUGCAAUAUUAACAUCUUUGCAAGAGAAUGAUAAAAAAUCUAAAGAAAAAAGAGGAGAUUUUGGGGUCGAAAAUCCUUUUGGUCAACAGUGCACGAAUUUGUUGGUAAGAGGUUCCACCUCCUCGAGUAAGGGAUAUUUCAAUGAAUGAGGCUGGUACAUCAUUAGGUAAAGGAAAGAGAAAAACCACUGCUCCUACAGGUAUUCGUGCUUUCUUUAAGGGUGGACGUGAUAGUUCUCAACCUACUAUCAAAGCUUGUUUGCAAAGUAAGGAUAAAUGGCAAAAUAUUGAUAUGGCCAUUGCUCUUUGGUUCUAUGAUGCAUGUAUUCCCAUUAAUGCUGUUAAUUCUCCAUUUUUUCAAAAAGCUAUCGAUCAAAUAGCAUCAAUGGGUCAUGGUUAUAAAGCUCCAUCUUAUCAUUCUUUGCGAGUCACUUUGUUGCGAGAUGCUAAGAAAGAUGUGCAGUUAGUUGUUGAUUCAUUUCGAAAUACUUGGGCUGAAACUGGAUGCACUAUAAUGGGUGAUGGAUGGAAAGAUAGUAGACAAAGACCAUUGAUUAAUUUUCUGGUUUAUUGUCCUAAGGGUAUAUCUUUUAUUAAGUCUAUAGAUGCAUCUGACAUUGUGACAAAUGCAGAAAAUUUGUGCAAUCUGUUUGUUGAAAUUGUUGAAAUGGUUGGUUCCAAAAAUGUGGUGCAUUUAGUCACUGAUAAUGCUAGCAAUUAUAAGGCUGCUGGAACUUUAUUAAAUGAAAGAUAUCCAACUAUUUGCUGGUCUCCAUGUGCUGCCCAUUGUAUCAAUUUGAUUUUGAAGGAUAUUGGUGAAAUGGGUACUGUUAAAUCUCUAGUGUCUCUUGCUUCUACAGUAACUGUUUUUGUGUAUAAUCAUAAAUAUGUUCUGAAUUGGUUGAGAAAAACUGAUGGGUGGAAGGAGAUUAUUCGUCCGGGGGAAACACGAUUUGCCACCACUUUUAUUGCACUAAAGAGCUUACAUGAUCACAAAGACAGCUUACAAGCUUUAGUCACUAGUGGAGAUUACAAAAAGUUCUUGAAAAUGAACAAAGGAAAAGAGGUCAAACAAAUUGUUUUGGAUGAUAGAUUUUGGAAUAAUUGUUUGAUUACAGUGAGAAUAAUGGGUCCUAUUAUUCGGUUGUUGAGAGUUUGUGACACUGAUGAAAGGCCUUCUUUGGGGUAUGUGUAUGAAGGUAUGUUUAGAGCAAUUACUGGAAUCAAGAAGUUGUUCAGGAAUAGUGAAAGGCUAUAUAAGCCUUACAUUGAUAUCAUCAAUGACCGAUGGGAUAGGAUGUUGAGGAAAAAUUUGCAUACUACGGCAUAUUUUUUAAAUCCCGCUUUUCAAUAUGACACUGCCACAUUCUCUACACAUCCAGAAAUUACAAAUGGUUUGUUGGAUUACAUAGAAUCAAAGGUGGAUUGGUGCAGUGAGGAAAAUUUAACAAAAGAAAUUGGAAUGUAUCGAGAGCGGGAGGGAAGUUUUGGCAGAAAACUUGCUAUUCUUACUAGCAAGAAAGAUAGACCAGGUAAUUUAUAUUUUUCUAGCAUUUAAAUCUUUCUAAUAUAUAUAUCUAAUUUAUAAAUAUUUUGUUUAUAUUUAAAUUUUGAAUAUGACAGAGAAUUGGUGGAAACUCUUUGGUUGUGAUGCUCCCAACUUACAAAAACUUGCAAUUUGGGUUUUGAGUCAAACAGCUUCUUCCUCAGGAUGUGAGCGUAAUUGGAGUGUUUUUGAACGUAUUCAUACUAAGAAAAGAAAUAGGUUGGAGCAUCAAAGGCUCAAUGAUCUUGUAUAUGUGCAUUACAAUUUGCGUUUGCAGUAUAGGUAUAUGUAAAUGGUUUAUUUUUAUAAAUGACAUUUCAUUCUUUUUAAGAAAAUAUUUUAGUACUAACUAAGUGUAUAUGUUGUAUAUAUACACAUAUAUAUAUGUUGUAGGCAUAAUCAGCAAAAGAGAUCGUAUGACCCCGUUGAUUAUGAGUCAAUUGAUAAAACAGAAUUUUGGGUGGUUGAAGAAGAACAAGAAGGGGAGCUUGAUUAUGAGGAGUUAGAGGAAGAGCUUGAAGAACCUCCAAUUCAUGGUCAAUGUUCAAAUUCUGAACAACUUGAAGGUUAGUCUAACAUAAAUCAUAAGUUUGAUGCAAAAAUAAAGCUAGUAUGAUAUGAUAUUCAAUUGUUGAAUAUAUAUAUAUAUAAUUAAAUAUGCUGAUUUUUUAGAUGAUGAAGAUGAAGCAGAAGAUGUUGAUUUAGAAACAUUUCAGCGUCGAAACUUUUUUAAUGAUGAAGAUGAUGAUUGGCAUUAAAUAUUCAAAUGGUAAUUGGUAUAGAAUUAUUUGUACUAUUUUAUUUUUAUUUUUAAGAUUUGUAUCAGUUGGUGUAAUGAAACUAAUAUGAUUUUAUACUUUUAUCACUUGUCAGUGAUUCAUAUAAUGGUCUUGGAUGAUGAUGAUGACUUGUCAAGAUGGCUUUUUUUGAAGUUUUGUUGUCCCAGAAUUAUGAAGAAGAUUAUAGAAGCUUCAGAAAUUGGACUCGUUUGGACCCUUUGAUUGUUUUCUAGACCUGUAUUGUUUUUUGUUAAUUUUAAUAUUUAGACAAUUGGACAUGUAAGUUGUAAGUUUCAUAACUAUGUUAAUUGUGUGUGUUAAUUGUUGGAUAUUGCUCUUAUAUUUAUUGUGGUUCAGCAUUUAUAUCUUAUUCUAUGUAUAGGUGUGUGUGUCUAUAUAUAUAUAUAUAUAUAUAUAUAUAUAUAUUUAUUUAUUGAACUCCGAUUGAAUCGGUCUGACCGAUUGAAUCUCGACCCUUUCAUCUCACCGGUUCGAUUGACGGUCCGAAUUUGAAAACAUUGCAUCAGACACUUUUUUCUUUUAUAAGAGAACGUGAGGAGCUAACCAUAUCGAAAUCAAAAUAACACAAUACUAAAUCAAUUUCAUUGGGUGAAGCAACCUCUUAAGUACUGUUCUUUCUCGGAUUCAAGAUUUUAAAAGUCAAGAUAUCCUCGAAUUCUUGGAUAAGAUCAACAGUAUUGGUCAUCACCCUUCCACGUAUGCUUUCUCAUCCAUGUUUCUAGCAACCUCAUUUUCGUUCCUCUGUGAUGACAAGCUGUUCUAGAAAUAAUAAUCAUUUGACCACAUGAUUAAAAAUCACUAACGUGUCGCCAUAUAAAGUAAUAUCUGACAAGUUGCAACUUAUCGUUUAUUUUAUAAUUAAUUUAUUUUACUAUCUGACCCAAUGUAAAUUAAUUGUUAGAUUCUAUUCAUUUUUAAAAAUUUAUAUUUUUUACAGGAAGGAGAACAAAAAUACCAUAAUAAAUGUCAAUUUAACGAUCAUAAAAAAAGAGUUCAAGUAACAGGUAUUUAAGAAUACUUCCUUCUUGAUAAUUUGGCCGAUGACAGCAUUUAAAAGAAAGGGCUGCUGGCUGGGGGCCGCUGCACAAGAUAUAGGCAUUAGAGUAGGACUUUGAUAGAGAUUUGAUAGGGGAGGACUUUUCUCUUUUAGCUUAGUUUUUUUUUUUUUUACUUUUCCCUUGGAUCUCUUUUUGGUUUUUUUCCUUCCUACGCAUGUCAGAGGACUGGAGCCUAGCUUUUGACUUUUCCUUGUUAGUUUUAUAAUAGCUUUUCUCUUCGUAUGUUGGACACAAGCGAAACGCCGAAACCCAAUUGAUAACGUCCUGUAUCUUGCUUUCCUUGUUGAUUGGAACGAAUGGAACUCUCAAGAAUCAGCGACAAUGGCCGCAAUUACUUCUGCAAUUAUGUGUGGGUUUUUUGCAUUAAAGAUGAACUAAUUUCCUUACUCUAGUUAAGGAGCAACGGAGGUUUUGGUUCGCCUCAAAAUUAUGAAAUCGAUUUAAUUUUAUCUUUUUUUGUUAUUUAUUGAUAUUCGCAUAUUUCUUGAUUGCAGUAUUUAUGAUUAUUUAAUUAAUUGAUUUUCUUGGAUCCAGAUAAUUAGUUAAUUUGGUAAUUUAAUAUCAAUUAGAACAUUAAAUCCGUAAUUAUUUAAUUGACUUGAAAUAGUGACAACUGGCAUAAUUGGAUUUGUAUCAGGAGAAUACGCGGGUAAAUUUAAAAUAACCCUGAUAGUGCGUUAUUUGGUUAGAAUAGGGCUCCUCUAAUACGUAAGGCAAUUAGGGAAUUAAAUCUUAUGUGCGUACCUAGGAUUAUUUCUCAAUUAGAACAGUGAUUAACGGGCGUACCUUAGUCACCGACACAGUAAGGAGGGGUUAACUGUCAUCGCUUGUUUGGCAGUUAUAACCUAUUUAUUAAUAAAUAAUUAGAAUUGCAUGUGCAUCAAUGAUCAAUUAAGUGAACCAUUGCUGAAGUUAUUUCUUGGCUAGACCUUUAAUUAUUAUUACCUUGAUUUUAGUGAAUUGUCAUUUAAUUUUUAGUUGGCUAUUUUAUUUUUAGUUGAAUUGUUUUAAGUGUCAUCCUCUAUACAAAAACACCCCUGUGUUACUUUGGAUUUUUAAAGAGACAAAUACACUCAAUCCUUGAGGAUACGACCCUACUUGUCCUGUUUACAAAUUAAUAAUUAUUUGUGUAAGAGUCAUCCCAUUCGGGUAUAUCGGAUCAAGCAAACUCUUCGGGAAUAGGGUAAAUUAAGUAACCUAUAGCACAUCUAAAGUCCCUGCUCCAGUACUUAAAAUCGGGUUUUGACUAUUUUAAUUGACAAUUAAGUUUAUUUUUAUUAUUGUAUAGGUUUCGACAACCUGUCAAUCUCUCACCAACUUACCUUUGUUUGACAAGUACCAUUUAUUUCCUAUCCAUUCUAAUUUUGUGAUUUGGUUUGACCGACGAGUGCUCAAAGGGUACUCGUUAAAAGGAGUUCAAAUGUUAGUUUUUUGAAAAAAUGUAAGUUUAUUUGCAAAAGCGUCACAAUUCGAGAUGUGCAAUAUAUGUGAGUAUGUGUAUUUACAUAGCAACUUAGGCGCGCCCAUUAGUAAAACUUUUCGUAAUUGAGCUUGUAUUUAGGUCUUGUUUAAUAAUUUAAUUCAGCACUUAAAUUUAAUAAAUUUAAAGAAUUAUCCCCACAUAACGAGAGCAAAAUGUAGUUUAUUUGCAAAAGCGUCACAAUUCGAGAUGUCCAGUAUAUGUGAGUAUGUGUAUUUACAUAGUAACUUAGGCGUGCCCAUUAGGAAAACUUUUUGGAAUUAAGCAUGUACUUAUGCUUUAUUUAAUAACUCAAUUCAACAUUUAAAUUUAAUGGAUUUAAAGAAUUAUCCCCACAUAACGAGAGCAAAAUUUCACCCAUGAUAAAACUACUUUCGACAGGAUUUUUGGUCAGAAUGUAUUAUAGAAAUUUGCAGUUUACCAUCGAGAGCAAAAUUUCACCCAUGAUAGAACUACUUUUGAAAGCAAUUUUUUCUCAGAAUGUAUUACACAAAUUUGUAAUCUACUCUGCCAAAAAUUAUCUUAAAAGUUAGGAGGAAUUAUUUGUAAUCUACUCUGCCAAAAAUUUGUAAUCUACUCUGCCAAUUUUUUCUCAGAAUGUAUUACACAAAUUUGUCAUCCAAUUGACGUUGACUAACUGCCUGCCUUCCAGUCACAAACUGACAACAGAUACUAAACUUGAUUACAAAUCACAAAAUUGACAACAGAUACUUGUUUUUUUUUAUUAGAGAACGUGAGGAACGUGAGGAGCUAACCACAUCGAAAUCAAAAUAACACAAUACCAAAUCAAUUUCAUUGGGCGAAGCAACCUCUUAACUACUGUUCUUUCUGGGAAUCAAGAUUUUAAAAGUCAAGAUAUCCUCGAAUUCUUGGAUAAGAUCAACAGUAUUGGUCAUCACCCUUCCGUGUAUGCUUUCUCAUCCAUGUUUCUAGUAACCUCAUUUUCGCUCCUCUGUGAUGACAAGCUGUUCUGGAAAUGAUAAUCAUUUGACCACAUGAUUAAAAAUCACAAAUGCAUUGCCAUAUAAAGUAAUCUCUCACCAUCUUACCUUCGUUUGAUAAUUACAUUUUAUUUCCUAACCAUUCUAAUUUGUAAUUCGAUUUGACUAAUGAGUAUUCAAUGGAAACUCGUUAAAAAAAAUUCGUAUUAGUUUUUUUAAAAAUAUAUAGUUUAUUUGUAAAAGUAUAGCAAUUCGAAAUGUGCAAUAUAAGUGUGUAUGCGUAUUUAUAUAGCAAUUUAGGUGUGGUCAUUAGCAAAAUUUUUCCUAAUUAAGCCUUUACUUAGUAACUGGCAUUUCUAGCCAAAUAUAGAUUGCGUGCCAUUAAAAAAUUCUUCAAAGGGCGGUGUGUCUUUUCACACUGACCUUAUCAAAGACGCGUCCCAUGCUGGUCGGCCGUGACUUUGGUGAUUAGGUCCGACAAGUAAUGAAUUUACUUAUGGGGUACGUCACCACAUUUUUAGGCCUAUAAAUACGAGGACUCUGGUUCGUUAUUUUGAUAUGCUAAACUCAGCAAACAGGUUUCCGACAGUCACAACCAGUUACAAGUAUCCAUUUUCGUUCAUAUUAAUUAGCUAGCUAGUUCUCCAAGGGAAAAAAUGGCUGAAGCCAAAUCUGCUACUGUCACUGAUCAGGUGAAUAGUGAUUCUAUUGCCUAGCCAGAGCUAGAUUUCCUUCUUUUUCAAGUUUGUGUGUGGUUUUGAGAAUCAACUCAUAAACAACUUGUAUUUGGAAAAGUAUGAGGAGUUGCAAGUUAAAGUAAUUUCAACGAUCUUGAAUUGUCUUAUUAACUGAUCGGAUUUAGUCUUCUUCUGAUUGUUUGUUUAUUUGAAGGGAUUCUAAUUGAUUUUGGGAACUCAAUUGUUUUGCGAUUUUCUUACUGGUUAAAAUGUUUGGGAUUUACAGAUCGACAUCAACUCAAUACAACCAGUGGCGCCGGCUGACCCUCACGUGGUCGGGAUCGGACAAUUUGUAGUGGAAAAAUUUCACCACGGCAAGCUGCAUUUCAUCGCCGUGAUUGGCGGAUUCACUUGGAAUUGUGAAGGAGGCAAGUACUACGCACUUAUCAUUCAAAAUCAGGAUUAUGAGGGCGCCACAUUUAUCCAUAAAGCACUCGUUGUUGAGGCCAAAGGUGAAACGAAACUCCUCUGGCACAGGAAUUAAUCAAGCACUACUAUUGAUCAGCUGAGGAUAAAGGACUUUCUUUGGGUACUUAAAUUAUCUAGUGUCUAUGGUGUGGGUUUUCAGUUUAUGCAUGGAUGAUGUACUGCUGCCAUGCAGACAUCUUUCCACUGUUGUACUAGUAUGUUAAAUAAGGUGCACUUAUACCAACAAAAUGCACCAUUCCGUCUAUUUUUUUAAUUUGUAUCCUUGUAAUAACAUGCAAAAGAUGCACUUUUACGAACAAAAAUGUACCAUUAAAUGAAUAAAAACAAUCGUCUGUUUUUGAGUUUUAUCUGUAUAUUUUGUUUCUAUGUUACUUCCAAGCAAGUUCCGAUCCCUGAAUUUGUAUGUCAACUACGUACUAUGGUCUUGUUAGAUAUUUGGGUUGUCCUCCUAAAUCUGCUUUUAAUAUGAUAGAAUCUAUUUGUGGUAGAUUUUUUGUGGGGUUCCUCGGAGGAGCAAAGGAACACGCCAGUUUCUAACUCGGAAUGGUCCUAGCUAGUUCAUUGAUCCAGCUCCCAGAGUAGAGCUGUCUGGUCCUGCCAUCACCAAACUAAGAACAUGUUUCCUUGAAACGCCCAUAGAGAAUGCUUUCUAGGAUCAACCAAAAAUGAUAAUAAUAACAGUAAAUGUACCUCCAUUUAGCCAUAAAACACGAGGCUUGUUAGAAGGAUUUUCGGACUCCGCAAAAUAGUAGAAGAGAGCUUUACCAGUCUUCGGAUCAACAGUAACAUACCCUGAAUAUUGAUCACACUUUAACCCUUUUGGUUGCCCCGGCAACGCUACUACCUUGUCAGCCGCCUUCCAAACCCUCUUGAGGACCAAUAUAAACUGGCGUGUUCUCAUUUACGUAAUUGUCUACUUGAUGGGUGUCGAAACCACCAAAAAUAAAAUUCGUACUCCAAAAAGAUAUACUUUUGAGUACAAUGGUGAGUGGAGUCAAAAAAUAAUAAUGUAAAAUUAAAUAAAAAUAAUUCAAUAAAAGAUAAAUCACUAGUCAAAAAUCUAAUCACCACUUUAGUUCAAUUAACUAAUCAUUGAUGCAUGGAUAAAAUCAUUUAUUUAUAAAUAAAUUAGUUAUGGUUGUCAACAAAUUUUAAGAACCUGCCUACCUCUCCUUGCUACCCUCGAUAACCACAGCAAAUUUUGUGAUUAUUACUCUUGCCAAUUAAACAACCCUAGACAAACUUUUAGGAUUUAACAUAUUGACAAAAUUAAUUAUUACAAAAGCUACCCAUUUGAUAACAUUAAUUAUUACAAAAGUUGCCGGUUCUAACCAAUAAACACAUAAGUUUCCGUUUAUUUGGAUUCGAUUAUAUAUUUUCGUGACCUAUAUUUGAAAAUUUUUACUACAAUCAAAUUAUAUCAAAUUAUAUCACUUGCCAUAAAUACUAAAACCAUCAAAUAAUUAUAGAUUUGAUGAUUUAGAUGCAAUAUAGUGUUUCAAUAAUUAAAUAAUGGCCAAUUAUUUAAUCAUAUAAAAUAAUCAUAUUAGGAACUUGAGAAGUUCGGUAAAAUUUUCAUUCCCUCAAAGGUUCAAGGCAAAUAAAUUUGAUAGGGAUUUUGAGAAGUUUGCUAAAAUUUUUAAGCAAUUGCGUAUUAAUAUCCUUUUUGCCGAUGUUAUUUUCAGAUUCCUUCGUAUGAAAAAUUUCUCAAGGAGAUUAUGAUUCAAAAGAGAAAAUUGGAGGAUUGUGAAGCAAUAGCAUUAACGGAGAAGUGCAGUGCCAUCAUACAAAAUAAGCUACCACCAAAAUUGAAGGAUCCAGGGAAUUUCUUUAUAUCAUGCAUGUGAGGACCAGAAAAAAUUUUAUUUUUUUUAAGUUUUCUCCUAUUUUUGAAAAAAAAUUAAUUUAUGUUUCCUUUUAUUUUACUUUACUUGCUUAUUUGCUAGUCUUAAUUUGAUAGUGAUUUUAAAGGUUAAGUUAAGAUUAUUCUUUUGUUCCCUUUUUAUAAUCUUGAUGCAUGUUAAGUUUCAUAAAGUAUUAUGGUAGUUUAACCGACUAGUGAGAUGUACGCAUUAUAUUUGAUGGACGAGAAUGGAUGUGAUGCUAGAGGAAUUAUGUGAUUAGAAGUGUUAAAAAUGUAUUGGAAGAACACAAGAUAUAUUGGUUAUUAGAGAAAUACAAGAGAGACAAAAGGAUAGACAUGAAACCAAGCCUCGACAAGUGUCGUGCAUCCAUGAAGUCUUGACCAAGACAUGGACCAAGAGAAGUCUUAUGUUUAUCUUCCAAAAUUGACUCAAAAACCUUUACUUUCUUCUUCAUUGUGGCCGAACUUAAGGGAGAGAGAGAAGAGAGAAAACUUUCAAAAUCCUCUUGAUUUCCUUGCUUAAUUUGUGAAAAAAUCCAUGAUCAACCCUAAUUUACUCCAUAAAACCUUGAGUUAAUCUUGGAAUGAAACUUUUGGUGGAAUCAUUUGAGGAAGAAAGUUCUUAUCUUACCAUUUAUCUUGGGAUUUUGAGGUAUUUUACUAAGAACCUCUCUUUUUCCUUCUUAUUUUGCCAUUUAAGCAACAUAUAACUUGAUUAGGAUGGAUUUCAUAGAAGAAUUCAUGGUUUUGCUUAGUAGGUUGCAAUUUUCAGCUUUGGAAUAUAUUGUUCAGCCUUGUUAUGAAUGGUUUUGCUUUGAUAUGAGGUUGGAUAUGAAAUUUUAGCUUUGAAAUGAGGUUAUCUAGCUUCUAUAUUCGAAUUUCCAGCUUUAGUGUUAAUUUCCAACUUUGAUUUUGUAUUUUCCAGCCUUGAGUUGAGAGUUUCCAACUUUGAUGUGGACUUAUGAGUUUGGAUAUGAAGAUAUCUAACUUGAACAUGCACUUCUAGCUUUGUUAUAUGAUUUUUCUAGCUUUAGUGGUCAAUUUCCAGCUUUGAGAUGAAAAAUUUCAGCUUUGGUGUAAGUGAUUUGGAGCUUGAUAUAUAUGUUCAAAGUUGAUAGUUUAGUGGCCUAAAGUAUGCACUAUUUGUCCCCUAUAAUAUGUGGCCUUGAUUGAGGUUCAUUUACCAUGAAACUAGGAUUUGAAUGGAUGGUUAACUUGAAGAAAUUUGGGGACAUAUUGCUGGAUUUUCUUCUUGUUGGUCAUUUUGGGGACCUAAAUUUGGGGACAUAAAUUUAGGGCAUUUUUGUUUUUCUCUUGCAUAUGAUUUUACUCAAAACACUUGCUACAAUCUAUUUCUUUGCAUGUACGUUAGUUUUGAGCCAAGACAAGAGGUUUAAAUGAAAGGAAAUGAGUUUUAUCAAAUCAUUUUCUAGUUGGACAAUUUCCAACUUGGCACCUUCAAAGUCUUGACAUAAUUUCCUCAAACUUUUGACUAUAAUCGAUGUUUGUGUGCUCCAAAUGACUCUUGAAACAUGGAUUUAGUAUGCACACAAGGUUUUCCCCUUAAUUUGAACAAGAAAAUGUUAUAUUUUUUAUUAGUUAUAUGGGGAUAAAACUUGUGAACUAGUGUAUUUUCUAAAUGAAGUUUUGAACCCUCAAUUUCUUCAUUGUAUUUUGACUUUGUUUACUAGUCUUUUAAUAUAGUGUAUGACUACAGGACUCGAGAUAUUUCAAGAGGACAAACCGGGGCUGAAGUGAAAGAGUACGAUUGAUUGGUGAGUGUUCUUCGCAUGUUGUGCUUUAAAUGACUAUGUAGAAUGUUUGUUUGAAUGUCAAAUACUUUCUAAUGAUUGUUAAAUGGAUUUUCAAUGGGUGAGUGUGUACUUUAUCACACUUGACCCAAAGUGAAAGUGGAUUUUCAAUGAUUGAAUGUUAUUUGUGCAUGAAUGUAAGCCUUUGAUUGAAUUGGGCCCUUGCCCUUCAUUGCCAGUCGACUCGAGCCAGAAGCAGACUCGGUCGGGUGGCUGGUGACCCUAGGACAGUGUUUGGUAUACUCAAGUAUGAUCACGAAGUUGGAUGGAGUACUAGCCAGUGUAUGCAAUGCAAUGAUUGAAACGAAUGACUGAAUGAAAUGAACACUGAAGGAGUUUUCACUUUCAAAUAUUUUUAAAUAUUGGAGGGAUAAGGGAAAUGGAUGACGAAUGAAUGACUGAAUGAAUGGCUCAAGUGAGUAGUAUCCUUUCAAUGAUUGUUUCUUGAAUGACUGUUUAUUAUCGUGCAAAGUGUAUAAUUGUCAAUUGUAGCAUUUCUGUGCUUUAUCUACCUAACUGCUUGUUUGGGAAUCUCACUAGGCUUUUUGCUCAUUCUAUUAGUUUGUUUUCCUUAUAGGAGUGGAGGCCGGAGCAAGUAAGCGUAAACUAGUGUAUAUAAUCUUCAUUUACUAGUGUGUAUAAUUUUCAUGUACUAGUGUGUAGAUGAAAUGUAUUUGGGAUAUUUAGUAAUGUAAUCCUAUAUUUCACUUUUAGAUUGUAAAUUAAGUGAGAAUUAUUAGUUGAAUUGGGAACUUUUAUGUUAAUCUAGAGACGUGAAAGACUAUUUCAAGAAUGUUAGUGAGUGAGUCCUGACGAGAGUUGGACAGGCGGUCCGCCCAACUCUUGGAUUCGUCCUAGGGAGAGGUGGAGUCGUCACAAUGCACUAUUGAUAACAUUGAUUUUUUUAAAGUAUUAUGUAACCUUGGUGCUAGUGUAUCAGUAAUUCCUUUAAGAGUGGUUAGACAAUUAGAUUUACAUGAGUUUAAAAGUACUAAUAUUACUUUGCAGUUAACUGAUAGGUCUAUUAAAUAUCUAUUGAAAGUGUUGGAGAAUGUAUUAAUUAAAGUAUAAAAAGUUAUCGUCUUUAUGAAUUUUGAGGUAUUAGAUAUGAAAAAAAAAUGUCUAUAUCAAUUAUUCUUGGCAGACCAUUUUUAGCAGUUGUAGGUACUAUUAAUGAUGUUAAAAAUGACAAAUUUAAGUUUCAAAUAUGUAAAGAAGAGGUAGAAUUUAAUUUGAAUGAAAUAAAAAAAUACCAUUUUUUUACUGAUCAUUCUUGUUCUAUUGGCACAAUUGAUAAGUUAGUCAAAGAGUUGAGUCGAGUGAACUGUGACUUCGACCCUUUUGAGAUUUGUUUGAUGAGUUUAAAAAUGCAAGAGGGAGACUGUGAAGAAAUUAAAGAAUUGGCUAAAUAUUUAGAUUUUCAAACAGCUUAUAAACGAGAUAAUGUUUAUGAAAAUCUUGAUCAAAGAAAAGAGCCCCCACUAUCCUCGGAGAUUGAAGUUCCAAAAUUAGAACUCAAGUCGCUCCCAAAUCAUUUAUGGUAUGAGUUUUUUGGAAAAAAUAGCACUCUGCCGAUAAUUAUUAGUGCUCACUUAGAUGAAGAACAAUGUGCAAAAUUGUUAAGGAUUCUAAGAAAACACAAGAAGUCAGUUGGACAGACAAUUUCUGAUAUCAAAGAUACAAGUCAUUAUAUAUGCAUGCACCGCAUAUUAUUAGAAAAAAAUCACACACUAGUGGUAGAAAUGCAAAGAAGGCUCAAUCCAAAUAUGAAAGAGAUGUAAGAAAUAAAAUUCCCAAAUGGCUUGAUUCAGGUAUAAUCUUUUUUUUUCUCUAAUAGUAUUUGGAUAAGUUCAAAUCAUAUUGUCCCUAAAAAGGAUGGAAAAACUGUAGUCAUGGGUAAAAAUGAUAAAAUGAUUCCAUAUCAAUUCAUGAAUUGGUGGAGAGUGUGUAUAGAUUAUAGAAAAUUAAAUGUAGUUACUAGAAAAAAUCACUUUUCCUUACCCUUUUCUGACCAAUUAUUUGAGAGAAUAGCCGGUUAUGAAUUUUACUGUUUUUCUAAUGUUUUUUCGGAUUAUAACCAAUUAGCUAUAAUUUUGGAGGAUCAAGAGAAUACCACAUUUACUUACCCUUAUGGUACCUUUGCCUUAAGAAAGAUGCCAUUUGAUCUAUGUAAAAUCCCUGCUAUGUUUCAACGUUACAUGGUGGCCAUAGUUUCUAAUUACAUUAAGAAAAUUAUGGAGAUAUUUAUGGAUGAUUUUUUGGUAUUUGGUUCAUCUUUUGGUCAUUAUAUUCAUAAUUUAGAUUUGAUUUUACAAAGAUGUGAGGAGACAAAUCUUGUGCUAAAUUAGGAGAAAUGCUAUUUUAUGGUUCGAGAAAAAAUUGUCAGAAUCAGAUAAAGAUAAUAAUGACGAAACUGUAACCAAACCCGUGAUAGUAGAUCCCUACAAAACAUAUAAACUACCAAAUCUGCAAACUUUUAUUACAAUAAGAGCGCCUUUAGAAACCUUCAUAACGUUAUUUUUAGCUGUGUAUGUGCACCCAAGAACCUCCAGAGUGUCCAAAGAAAUGAGAUUCUUUUUCAAAUCAAGAACAUGUCUAAUAUUAGUAAGCGUUCUCAAAAUACCAUCAUGUAUUUUAAUUCAAACUGUACCCUUACCAACAACAUCACAAACGGCAUUAUUGCCCAUGAAAGCAAUUCCACCAUUACAAGAUUCAUAAGUGAAAAAUAAAUCCCCAUUGGGACAUAUGUGAUAAGAGCACCCCGAAUCUAAGAUUCAUUCAUUUUUAAACCUUGUCCUAUCAUCAGUCACAAAAUAUUUAUUUUAUUCUCAUCAACUGCAGCACAAGUUUCGAUAGUUUAGGUACUUUUUUUCACUAGGUUUCCCCUUUUACUUUAAUCUUUUCAAUUUAAAGUAAUUUGCAUUAAUGUGUCUCAUUUUGUGAUAAUAAUUGCACUCUAAAUUUUUGUGUCUGGGUUUAGAUCUAAAGUUAGAUCUACUACUGUCAAAUGUUUUUUAUUGGUUCUGCCCCUAACCACCAGACUUUCCCCCUGAUUCCCAAAUUUCUUCAGUAAUAUCCCUGUCUAUCUGCUCCUUUGAUUUUAAUGCAAAUUUAAUUUCACGAUACGAAAUUAUUUCUUUUCCAUAAAUCAUAGUAUUGUAAAAAUAUUUAAAAGUGGGAAAGGAAAUACAAAAGUAGCAGGGCCUGAUUUUCAACAUCAAUUUCAAAUCUAUAUUCUCCAAAUUCAUAAUAAUUGAAUCAAAUUUAUCAAGAUAUGAGAGUAUAGAUGUACUUUCAGUCAUGCAAAACAUAUACAAACUUUAUUUUAAAUAAAACCGAUUCUUAACUGUUUUCUUCAUGUACAAAGCCUUAAACUUGUCCCACGUGUCCUUUAUCGAAAUUUCAGUGGUUAUCUCCCGCAAAACCACAUCAAAGAGAUUUAAGAUAAUACUAGAUCUUGUCUUCUUAUCUAUUUUAGCAAAAUUUGUAUCUGUCACACUCUUUGACUUUUUAUCAAUUUCUUGUAUUUCUAAAUCAACUCCGCCUUGAACCAAAAUGCUCUCUAUCUUGAGCUGCCGUAUCCCAAAAUUGACAUUCCUGUCAAAUUUUUUGACAAUAAUCUUUGUUAUUAUCAUUGUUGCCACAAAAUUUAAACCUUCCGAAGAAGUUCUGAUAUUAGUUUGUUAGGUCUGGAUCCAGAAAAUUGACGAUAGGAUUUUUGGCAAUCCUAAAAGACAAAUAACAAAGAAAAAUAAAUAAAACAGGAAUACAUAAAAUUUAUAUGAUUCGGUCAAAUAGACCUACGUUCACGAGUGGAGCAAGAGCAAAAUUUUACUAUGAAUAACAGAAUACAAAAAUGUUUUAGACAAGCAUUUUUAAAUCCAAAACACCUAAUACUUGAAACACAAAAGAACCCAAAAAUAUUUUAUUAAACAAAAAGAUUUAAAUGAUUCAAAGGCCCAAAAUAACCCACUAAAACUCUCUUAAUUUGAUUCAUCUGAUUCCCUCAAACAUAUCAAACGUGUAAAACCUUAUCAUAUUUGACCCGUAAAACAUAAUAAACAUGCGUAUACGAAACUAUAAACGAUGUCCCAAAAGAAUUAUCCCCACACAACGAGAGCAAAAUUUCACCCAUUAUAAAACUACUUUCGACGGGGAUUUUUGGUCAGAAUGUAUCAUAGAAAUUUAUAAUUUACAAUACCAGGUCAAUUUUAUCUUAAAAGUUAGGAGGACUAUUGUCAUGCAAUUGACGUUGACUAACUGCCUGCCUUCCAGUCACAAACUGACAACGAUACUAAAUCACAAACUUGACAACAGAUACUUGUUUUUUUUUAUUAGAGAACGUGAGGAACGUGAGGAGCUAACCACGUCGAAAUCAAAAUAACACAAUACUAAAUCAAUUUCAUUGGGCGAAGCAACCUCUUAACUACUGUUCUUUCUGGGAAUCAAGAUUUUAAAAGUCAAGAUAUCCUCGAAUUCUUGGAUAAGAUCAACAGUAUUGGUCAUCACCCUUCCGUGUAUGCUUUUCUCAUCUAUGUUUCUAGUAACCUCAUUUUCGUUCCUCUGUUAUGACAAACUGUUCUGGAAAUAAUAAUCAUUUGACCACAUGAUUAAAAAUCACUAAUGCAUUGCCAUAUAAAGUAAUCUGUCACCAUCUUACCUUCAUUUGAUAAUUACAUUUUAUUUCCUAACCAUUCUAAUUUGUAAUUCAAUUUAACUAAUGAGUAUUCAAUGGACACUCGUUAAAAGAAAUUCGUAUUAGUUUUUUUAAAAAAAUAUAGUUUAUUUGUAAAAGUAUAGCAAUUCGAGAUGUGCAAUAUAAGUGUGUAUGCGUAUUUAUAUAGCAAUUUAGGUGUGGUCAUUAGCAAAAUUUUUCCUAAUUAAGCCUUUACUUAGUAACUGGCAUUUCUAGCCAAAUAUAGAUUGCGUGCCAUUAAAAAAUUCUUCAAAGGGCGGUGUGUCUUUUCACACUGACCUUAUCAAAGACGCGUCCCAUGCUGGUCGGCCGUGACUUUGGUGAUUAGGUCCGACAAGUAAUGAAUUUACUUAUGGGGUACGUCACCACAUUUUUAGGCCUAUAAAUACGAGGACUCUGGUUCGUUAUUUUGAUAUGCUAAACUCAGCAAACAGGUUUUCGACAGUCACAACCAGUUACAAGUAUCCAUUUUCGUUCAUAUUAAUUAGCUAGCUAGUUCUCCAAGGGAAAAAAUGGCUGAAGCCAAAUCUGCUACUGUCACUGAUCAGGUGAAUAGUGAUUCUAUUGCCUAGCCAGAGCUAGAUUUCCUUCUUUUUCAAGUUUGUGUGUGGUUUUGAGAAUCAACUCAUAAACAACUUGUAUUUGGAAAAGUAUGAGGAGUUGCAAGUUAAAGUAAUUUCAACGAUCUUGAAUUGUCUUAUUAACUGAUCGGAUUUAGUCUUCUUCUGAUUGUUUGUUUAUUUGAAGGGAUUCUAAUUGAUUUUGGGAACUCAAUUGUUUUGCGAUUUUCUUACUGGUUAAAAUGUUUGGGAUUUACAGAUCGACAUCAACUCAAUACAACCAGUGGCGCCGGCUGACCCUCACGUGGUCGGGAUCGGACAAUUUGUAGUGGAAAAAUUUCACCACGGCAAGCUGCAUUUCAUCGCCGUGAUUGGCGGAUUCACUUGGAAUUGUGAAGGAGGCAAGUACUACGCACUUAUCAUUCAAAAUCAGGAUUAUGAGGGCGCCACAUUUAUCCAUAAAGCACUCGUUGUUGAGGCCAAAGGUGAAACGAAACUCCUCUGGCACAGGAAUUAAUCAAGCACUACUAUUGAUCAGCUGAGGAUAAAGGACUUUCUUUGGGUACUUAAAUUAUCUAGUGUCUAUGGUGUGGGUUUUCAGUUUAUGCAUGGAUGAUGUACUGCUGCCAUGCAGACAUCUUUCCACUGUUGUACUAGUAUGUUAAAUAAGGUGCACUUAUACCAACAAAAUGCACCAUUCCGUCUAUUUUUUUAAUUUGUAUCCUUGUAAUAACAUGCAAAAGAUGCACUUUUACGAACAAAAAUGUACCAUUAAAUGAAUAAAAACAAUCGUCUGUUUUUGAGUUUUAUCUGUAUAUUUUGUUUCUAUGUUACUUCCAAGCAAGUUCCGAUCCCUGAAUUUGUAUGUCAACUACGUACUAUGGUCUUGUUAGAUAUUUGGGUUGUCCUCCUAAAUCUGCUUUUAAUAUGAUAGAAUCUAUUUGUGGUAGAUUUUUUGUGGGGUUCCUCGGAGGAGCAAAGGAACACGCCAGUUUCUAACUCGGAAUGGUCCAAGCUAGUUCAUUGAUCCAGCUCCCAGAGUAGAGCUGUCUGGUCCUGCCAUCACCAAACUAAGAACAUGUUUCCUUGAAACGCCCAUAGAGAAUGCUUUCUAGGAUCAACCAAAAAUGAUAAUAAUAACAGUAAAUGUACCUCCAUUUAGCCAUAAAACACGAGGCUUGUUACAAGGAUUUUCGGACUCCGCAAAAUAGUAGAAGAGAGCUUUACCAGUCUUCGGAUCAACAGUAACAUACCCUGAAUAUUGAUCAAACUUUAACCCUUUUGGUUGCCCCGGCAACGCUACUACUUUGUCAGCCGCCUUCCAAACCCUCUUGAGGACCAAUAUAAACUGGCGUGUUCUCAUUUACGUAAUUGUCUACUUGAUGGGUGUCGAAACCACCAAAAAUAAAAUUCGUACUCCAAAAAGAUAUACUUUUGAGUACAAUGGUGAGUGGAGUCAAAAAAUAAUAAUGUAAAAUUAAAUAAAAAUAAUUCAAUAAAAGAUAAAUCUCUGGUUAAAAAUCUAAUCACCACUUUAGUUCAAUUAACUAAUCAUUGAUGCAUGGAUAAAAUCAUUUAUUUAUAAAUAAAUUAGUUAUGGUUGUCAACAAAUUUUAAGAACCUGCCUACCUCUCCUUGCUACCCUCGAUAACCACAGCAAAUUUUGUGAUUAUUACUCUUGCCAAUUAAACAACCCUAGACAAACUUUUAGGAUUUAACAUAUUGACAAAAUUAAUUAUUACAAAAGCUACCCAUUUGAUAACAUUAAUUAUUACAAAAGUUGCCGGUUCUAACCAAUAAACACAUAAGUUCCGUUUAUUUAGAUUCGAUUAUAUAUUUUCGUGACCUAUAUUUGAAAAUUUUUACUACAAUCAAAUUAUAUCAAAUUAUAUCACUUGCCAUAAAUACUAAAACCAUCAAAUAAUUAUAGAUUUGAUGAUUUAGAUGCAAUAUAGUGUUUCAAUAAUUAAAUAAUGGCCAAUUAUUUAAUCAUAUAAAAUAAUCAUAUUAGGAACUUGAGAAGUUCGGUAAAAUUUUCAUUCCCUCAAAGGUUCAAGCCAAAUAAAUUUGAUAGGGAUUUUGAGAAGUUUGCUAAAAUUUUUAAGCAAUUGCGUAUUAAUAUCCUUUUUGCGGAUGUUAUUUUCAGAUUCCUUCGUAUGAAAAAUUUCUCAAGGAGAUCAUGAUUCGAAAGAGAAAAUUGGAGGAUUGUGAAGCAAUAGCAUUAACGGAGAAGUGCAGUGCCAUCAUACAAAAUAAGCUACCACCAAAAUUGAAGGAUCCAGGGAAUUUCUUUAUAUCAUGCAUGUGAGGACCAGAAAAAAUUUUAUUUUUUUAAAGUUUUCUCCUAUUUUUGAAAAAAAAUUAAUUUAUAUUUCCUUUUAUUUUACUUUACUUGCUUAUUUGCUAGUCUUAAUUUGAUAGUGAUUUUAAAGGUUAAGUUAAGAUUAUUCUUUUGUUCCCUUUUUAUAAUCUUGAUGCAUGUUAAGUUUCAUAAAGUAUUAUGGUAGUUUAACCGACUAGUGAGAUGUACGCAUUAUAUUUGAUGGACGAGAAUGGAUGUGAUGCUAGAGGAAUUAUGUGAUUAGAAGUGUUAAAAAUGUAUUGGAAGAACACAAGAUAUAUUGGUUAUUAGAGAAAUACAAGAGAGACAAAAGGAUAGACAUGAAACCAAGCCUCGACAAGUGUCGUGCAUCCAUGAAGUCUUGACCAAGACAUGGACCAAGAGAAGUCUUAUGUUUAUCUUCCAAAAUUGACUCAAAAACCUUCACUUUCUUCUUCACUGUGGCCGAACUUAAGGGAGAGAGAGAAGAGAGAAAACUUUCAAAAAUCCUCUUGAUUUCCUUGCUUAAUUUGUGAAAAAAUCCAUGAUCAACCCUAAUUUACUCCAUAAAACCUUGAGUUAAUCUUGGAAUGAAACUUUUGGUGGAAUCAUUUGAGGAAAAAAGUUCUUAUCUAGCAAUUUAUCUUGGGAUUUUGAGGUAUUAUACUAAGAACCUCUCUUUUUCCUUCUUAUUUUGCCAUUUAAGCAACAUAUAACUUGAUUAGGAUGGAUUUCAUAGAAGAAUUCAUGGUUUUGCUUAGUAGGUUGCAAUUUUCAGCUUUGGAAUAUAUUGUUCAGCCUUGAUAUGAAUGGUUUAGCUUUGAUAUGAUGUUCGAUAUGAAAUUUUAGAUUUGAUAUGAGGUUAUCUAGCUUUAAUAUUCGAAUUUCCUGCUUUAGUGUUAAUUUCCAACUUUGAUUUUGUAUUUUCCAGCCUUGAGUUGAGAGUUUCCAGCUUUGAUGUGGACUUAUGAGUUUGGAUAUGAAGAUAUCUAACUUGAACAUGCACUUCUAGCUUUGUUAUAUGAUUUUUCUAGCUUUAGUGGUCAAUUUCGAGCUUUGAGAAGAAAAAUUUCAGCUUUGGUGUAAGUGAUUUGGAGCUUGAUAUAUAUGUUCAAAGUUGAUAGUUUUGUGGCCUAAAGUAUGCACUAUUUGUCCCCUAUAAUAUGUGGCCUUGAUUGAGGUUCAUUUACCAUGAAACUAGGAUUUGAAUGGAUGGUUAACUUGAAGAAAUUUGGGAACAUAUUGCUGGAUUUUCUUCUUGUUGGUCAUUUUGGGGACCUAAAUUUGGGGACAUAAAUUUAGGGCAUUUUUGUUUUCCUCUUGCAUAUGAUUUUACUCAAAACACUUGUUACAAUCUAUUUCUUUGCAUAUGCGUUAGUUUUGAGCCAAGAUAAGUGGUUUAAAUGAAAGGAAAUGAGUUUUAUUAAAUCAUUUUCUAGUUGGACAAUUUCCAACUUGGCACCUUGAAAGUCUUGACAUAAUUUUCUCAAACUUUUGACUAUAAUCGAUGCUUGUAUGCUCCAAAUGACUCUUGAAACAUGGAUUUAGUAUGCACACGAGGUUUUCCCCUUAAUUUGAGCAAGAAAAUGUUAUAUUUUUUAUUAGUUAUAUGGGGAUAAAACUUGUGAACUAGUGUAUUUUCUAAAUGAAGUUUUGAACCCUCAAUUUCUUCAUUGUAUUUUGACUUUGUUUACUAGUCUUUUAAUAUAGUGUAUGACUACAGGACUCGAGAUAUUUCAAGAGGACAAACCGGGGUUGAAGUGAAAGAGUACGAUUGAUUGGUGAGUGUUCUUCGCAUGUUGUGUUUUAAAUGACUAUGUGGAAUGUUUGUUUGAAUGUCAAAUACUUUCUAAUGAUUGUUAAAUGGAUUUUCAAUAGGUGAGUGUGUACUUUAUCACACUUGACCCAAAGUGAAAGUGGAUUUUCAAUGAUUGAAUGUUAUUUGUGCAUGAAUGUAAGCCUUUGACUGAAUUGGGCCCUUGCCCUUCAUUGCCAGUCGACUCGAGUCAGAAGCAGACUCGGUCGGGUGGCUGGUGACCCUAGGACAGUAUUUGGUAUACUCAAGUAUGAUCACGAAGUUGGAUGGAGUACUAGCCACUGAAUGUAAUGCAAUGAUUGAAAUGAAUGACUGAAUGAAAUGAACACUGAAGGAGUUUUCACUUUCAAAUAUUUUUAAAUAUUGGAGGGAUAAGGGAAAUGGAUGACGAAUGAAUGACUGAAUGAAUGGCUCAAGUGAGUAGUAUCCUUUCAAUGAUUGUUUCUUGAAUGACUGUUUAUUAUCGUGCAAAGUGUAUAAUUGUCAAUUGUAGCAUUUCUGUGCUUUAUCUACCUAACUGCUUGUUUGGGAAUUUCACUGGGCUUUUUGCUCAUUCAAUUAGUUUGUUUUCCUUAUAGGAGUGGUGGCCAGAGCAAGUAAGCGUGAACUAGUGUAUAUAAUCUUCAUGUACUAGUGUGUAUAAUUUUCAUGUACUGGUGUGUAGAUGAAAUGUAUUUGGGAUAUUUAGUAAUGUAAUCCUAUAUUUCACUUUUAGAUUGUAAAUUAAGUGAGAAUUAUUAGUUGAAUUGGGAACUUUUAUGUUAAUCUAGAGACGUGAAAAACUAUUUCAAGAAUGUUAAUGAGUGAGUCCUAACGAGAGUGGGAUAGGUGGUCCGUCCAACUCUUGGAUUCAUCCUAGAGAGAGGUGGAGUCGUCACAAUGCACUAUUGAUAACAUUGAUUUUUUAAAAGUAUUAUGUAACCUUGGUGCUAGUGUAUCAGUAAUUCCUUUAAGAGUGGUUAGACAAUUAGAUUUAGAUGAGUUUAAAAGUACUAAUAUUACUUUGCAGUUAACUGAUAGGUCUAUUAAAUAUCUAUUGAAAGUGUUGGAGAAUGUAUUAAUUAAAGUAUAAAAUGUUAUCGUCUUUAUGAAUUUUGAGGUAUUAGAUAUGAAAAAAAAAUGUCUAUAUCAAUUAUUCUUGUCAGACCAUUUUUAGCAGUUGCAGGUACUAUUAAUGAUGUUAAAAAUGACAAAUUUAAGUUUCAAAUAUGUAAAGAAGAGGUAAAAUUUAAUUUGAAUGAAAUAAAAAAAAUACCAUUUUUUUACUGAUCAUACUUGUUUUAUUGGCACAAUUGAUAAGUUAGUCAAAGAGUUAAGUCGAGUGAACUGUGACUUCGACCCUUUUGAGAUUUGUUUGAUGAGUUUAAAAUUGCAAGAGAGAGACUGUGAAGAAAUUAAAGAAUUGGCUAAAUAUUUAGAUUUUCAAAUAGCUUAUAAACGGGAUAAUGUUUAUGAAAAUCUUGAUCAAAGAAAAGAGCCCCCCACUAUCCUCGGAGAUUGAAGUUCCAAAAUUAGAACUCAAGUCGCACCCAAAUCAUUUAUGGUAUGAGUUUUUUUGGAGAAAAUAGCACUCUACCGAUAAUUAUUAGUGCUCACUUAGAUGAAGAACAAUGUGCAAAAUUGUUAAGGAUUCUAAGAAAACACAAGAAGUCAGUUGGACAGACAAUUUCGGAUAUCAAAGAUACAAGUCAUUAUAUAUGCAUGCACCGCAUAUUAUUAGAAAAAAAUCACACACUGGUGGUGGAAAUGCAAAGAAGGCUCAAUCCAAAUAUGAAAGAGAUGUAAGAAAUAAAAUUCUCAAACAACUUGAUUCAGGUAUAAUCUUUUUUUUCUCUAAUAGUAUUUGGAUAAGUCCAAAUCAUAUUGUCCCUCAAAAGAAUGGAAAAACUGUAGUCAUGGGUAAAAAUGAUAAAAUGAUUCCAUCUCAAUUCAUGAAUUGGUGGAGAGUGUGUAUAGAUUAUAGAAAAUUAAAUGUAGUUACUAGAAAAAAAUCACUUUUUCUUACCCUUUUUUGACCAAUUAUUUGAGCGAAUAGCCAGUUAUGAAUUUUACCGUUUUUCUAAUGAUUUUUCAGAUUAUAACCAAAUAUCUAUAAUUUCGGAGGAUCAAGAGAAUACCACAUUUACUUACCCUUAUGGUACCUUUGCCUUUAGAAAGAUGCCAUUUGAUCUGUGUAAAAUCCCUGCUACGUUUCAACGUUACACGGUGGCCAUAGUUUCUAAUUACAUUAAGAAAAUUAUGGAGAUAUUUAUGGAUGAUUUUUUGGUAUUUGGUUCAUCUUUUGGUCAUUAUAUUCAUACUUUAGAUUUGAUUUUACAGAGAUGUGAGGAGACAAAUCUUGUGCUAAAUUAGGAGAAAUGCUAUUUUAUGGUUCUAUAAAAAAUUGUCAGAAUCAGAUAAAGAUAAUAAUGACGAAACUAUAACCAAACCCGUGAUAGUAGAUCCCUACAAAACAUAUAAACUACCAAAUCUGUAAACUUUUAUUACAAUAAGAGCGCCUUUAGAAACCUUCAUAACGUCAUUUUUAGUUGUGUAUGUGCACCCAAGAACCUCCAGAGUGUCCAAAGAAAUGAGAUUCUUUUCAAAUCAAGAACAUGUCUAAUAUUAGUGAGCGUUCUCAAAAUACCAUUAUGUAUCUUAAUUCAAACUGUACCCUUACCAACAACAUCACAAACGACAUUAUUGCCCAUGAAAACAAUUCCACCAUCACAAGAUUCAUAAGUGAAAAAUAAAUCCCCAUUGGGACAUAUGUGAUAAGAGCACCCCGAAUCUAAAAUUCAUUCAUUUUUAAACCUUGUCCUAUCAUCAGUCACAAAAUAUUUAUUUUAUUCUCAUCAACUGCAGCACAAGUUUCGACAGUUUAGGUACUUUUUUCACUAGGUUUCCCCUUUUACUUUAAUCUUUUCAAUUUAAAGUAAUUUGCAUUAAUGUGUCUCAUUUUGUGAUAAUAAUUGCAUUCUAAAUUUUUGUGUCUGGGCUUAGAUCUAAAUUUAGAUCUACUACUGUCAAAUGUUUUUUAUUGGUUCUGCCCCUAACAACCAGACUUUCCCCCUGAUUCCCAAAUUUCUUGAGUAAUAUCCCUGUUUGUCUGCUCCUUAGAUUUUAAUGCAAAUUUAAUUUCACGAUACGAAAUUGUUUCUUUUCCAUAAAUCAUAGUAUUGUAAAAAUAUUUAAAAGUGGGAAAGGAAAUACAAAAGUAGCAGGGCCUGAUUUUCAACAUCAAUUUCAAAUCUAUAUUCUCAAAAUUCAUAAUAAUUGAAUCAAAUUUAUCAAGAUGUGAGAGUAUAGAUGUACUUUCAGUCAUGCGAAACAUAUACAAACUUUGUUUUAAAUAAAACCGAUUUUUAACUGUUUUCUUCAUGUACAAAGCCUUAAACUUGUCCCACGUGUCCUUUACCAAAAUUUCAGUGGUUAUCUCCCGCAAAACCUCAUCAAAGAGAUUUAAGAUAAUACUGGAUCUUGCCUUCUUAUCUAUUUUAGCAAAAUUUGUUUCUGUCACACUCUUUGACUUUUUAUGAAUUUCUUGUAUUUCUAAAUCAACUCCGUCUUGAACCAAAAUGCUCUCUAUAUUGAGCUGCCGUAUCCCAAAAUUGGCAUUCCUGUCAAAUUUUUUGACAAUAAUCUUUGUUAUUAUCAUUGUUGCCCCAAAAUUUAAACCUUCCGAAGAAGUUCUGAUAUUAGUUUGUUAGGUCUGGAUCCAGAAAAUUGACGAUAGGAUUUGUGAGAACCGGAAAAAAAAGAAAAAAAAUAUUUUUUUUAUUUUAGGCAUUAUUUUAUUCCUGUGCACAUUUAUAUUUUCUUCAUUAUAUUAACUUUAUAUCAGUAAAUAUAGUUUUGAAAUUAUUUUUCUAGUAUAAAUUAGUUCAUGAGAAAUUAGGAGUGUAUGUUGGACGUGGGACUCGCUAGUGCGUUAAGUGAGAGAAAUUCGGCCGAUUAGGUUAAGUUUUGCAUAAAGCGAUGUAAAUAUUAGGUGUUAGGAGAUAAUUAGAGGUUACCUAAAUGGAUUAACCAUGGGGAGACUAGAAAAUAACUUUAAACAACAACAAAGUGCCAAGUGUCACUUACUUAGUCAAAGUUAGACUUGCCUAACUUUCUUAACUUUACUAAAAGACCAAAUUUGACCCAAAUCAUCUUCAUUUUAUCUCCUUCUUGGCCGAACCUCAUCUUGAGAGAAAGAAAAGAAAGCUUCAACUAUCUCUUCCAUUUCUUGCACAAAUCUUGAAAUCUAACCGAUUAAACCUUGAAUUAGUCCACAAAAGUGACUUGCUAAGGGAGUUUGAAGAUCUUGGUGGAGUUGUUUUGGAAGCAAAACCCCUAAGCUACUACCUUUCUUAAGGAGUUAAGGUAUUUUGCUUGGAACUCACUCUUUGUCCCUAAUAAUGGUCAAUUGGUGACUUAUGGUAGCUAACUAAGUGAUUUUAUGGAAGAUUUCAUGGAUUAAAAUGGAGUUAGCCAAAUUUCUGAUUUUUUGAGAAUUUUUUUGUUUUCAUAUGAUGGUUAUGGUUAGCCUUGGAUUGAUAGCUCUAAAUUGUGUAAAAUGGAGCUUUUGUGCGUUAAUUGUGGUUAUUUGCGGAGAAUUUCCGCUUGUGCGGAAAAUUUCAGAUUUAGGGUUACUAAUUAGGGCUUUCUUAUGGUUGGUUGUUGAGCUUCUAAUUGGCUAUGAUUGAGGGGUAUUGUGACCCUAAUGAAGUGUGUUGAAUGGCUUAUGAAUUGUUUGUGUGCUUGUGGUUGCUUUGGAUGAAUUUCAAGGGUUGUUUGUAGGAUGGAAAAUCUGAAAUUUUAGGGGAAAUGCUGUCCAAAUAAUGAGGAUGUUGGAUUCUUGUGAGUUUAGGUUGAGGUUGGAUAGAAAUGAAAGAUUUUGGGGUUUGUUUCUACUUUUAGCUCUAAAUGUUAUGUAUUUUCCAUUUCAAGCUAUAUUUGGUUUUGCCUUAAUAGUUCAUUUAAGAGGUAUUUGAUUCGUGUCCGAGUCUCAAUUGUGCUUUCUUGAUUGUUAUAGGGCGUGCCGGUGAACCGAGGCUUACGUUGGGCGAAAACUUGUGAAAUUGCUUGUUUCAAUUGGUGAGUAUACCUUGUAUGGUUUAAUGCUUAAAUGAUUGUUUAUACUUGAUUCUGUGAACUUGGUUGACUUGAAUGAGACGAGAGUGUACUUCACCGCUCUUGUUCUCUUACUUGUGUGACUACUACUGUAUUACUGUAAAACUGUACUUGUGCAUGCUUUAAUGUCGAUUGGAGGGUUGUGUCCAACGACUCUAUUGUGAUAUCUGAGCUCUUACCUCAUUGGUCGUUAUUCGGGUCGAGCCGGCAAGGGCUUGGUCGGUUCGAUAACAAACCAUGAGUGACUGUUAGUCGAGUGGAGUGUUAUCUCCUCGACCCUGUGUAUACUCGAGUAUUACCUUUCUGUUGCUGUGAGGUAUUCGGGCCCGGUAAGGGAAAUGUUCGGUGGAAGGAAUGUGGUGUAAGGUGGGAUCUAUGGUCGUGUUCUUUACUCCAAACGUUGACGGAGUGUCGACGAGUUUGAGAUCAAGUACGACAAGUGGAAAGUGGCUCUUGAGAGCCGACCGUAUCCUUUUAACUUGGUUACGUGAUGAAAUUUCUUAUGUGUUCCUUGCCUAAUCAUGUUUAUCCUGGUGUGUCUUGUCGGUACCUCACGAGCGUAAGCUCACUCCAUUACCUUUGUUUUCCUUACAGGGUCAACUUUUGGAAACCAUGAUUUUGGAAUACUGAAUUGAGCUAGUAUAAAUACUUUUUGUAUAGCUCCUCGGGAGUUGAAAAACUCUAAAUGUACCCUGAUCCAAAUAUUUCCCUUUUGCUUUGUAAAUUGCAAACGUAUGUGUAUAACACUGUUUAAUCAUGUUCAUGUAUUAUAUUUGGUUUGGAAUGUUCAUUCUCUAGAAUGAUACCACGUUAUCUGUAUUCGAUUGGGUACCGACUGGAUGGUGACGUGGCAGUCACUAUUCACUUUCAGUGACUAUUUUCGUUUUCAGUUUUGUGAUUGUUGAAUCGUUUAGGAGCGCUAACAUCUAUAUUCCGAAUGUUUUGGUUUGUGUAUGACCGUCUUAGUAGUCCUGGCGAGAGUUGGGCAGGCAGUUCGCUAACCACUUUGGUACGCCUUAGGGGAAGGUGGGGCUGUCACAGUUGGUAUCAGAGUUUAGGUUAGAAAUAAUCUGGGCGAACCUGAAACCUGAUUCUUAGAACUUUUGGGGAUUGUGUUAGGGUCUAUUUAAGUAUGAUUACUUUGUCUAAGUUGUAAAUUGUGAAUAUCCUUAUAGGUCAUGGACGAAGCUAGUGGGAGCUAAGGUAGGCCGCCUCGGAGACGUUUUCGCGUCGUUGAUUACGAGGAUAGGCCCGGAGGACCGAUUCGGCGCUGGAGCACGGCCAGUCGGACUAGGCGCUGUGGUCGUUGCCAGCAUUAUUCCUAUGCUGACCAUGUGGUCGUGGCCGCGUUAGAUGAGAGGAGGAGCCUCAGGCGUGCCGCCGCCAGAGAUCACACUGAGCUGCAGCGUGUGAGGAGCAUUAUGAGGAUGCAGGCGGAUCACAUUCGGGAGCUCCAAGGGGAUGUAGUCAAAGAGCAGGAGCGGACGAAUGCUCUUAGAGAGCAGUUACAGGUAGCCAACGGCCGUCUCACUAGGACCGGUUCGGUGGUAUUAUUAACGAGUGUAAGGCGCUAAUCUAGGGAGUGAUUGGCGCUAAUAUGCCAGGGGGAGUUCCAGGCGACGGAGCUCCAGGCGAGGGAGGUGCUCCUAGUUCUAGUUCUGGGGAGGAGUCGGUUGGCUCAGUCGAGAACUAGGUUAGAGCUCCUUCGAGCUAUAUUUUGAUCCCAUGUGGGAAAUGGCUAGGGAAAGCUCCUAGUUAGCUAUUUUUGUGUUUUGACCUAGCUUUGUAUAUCUUACUUUUGGAUGCCCGCUACUUUCAUGGGAUUACUCUUGUAUAUAUUUGACUGACUGCUACUCUAUGACUUGUUUGACACAUCUGUGUGUAAUAUGUGUAAAUGUUUUGUUUGGUGUUUAUUUCUUGUUAUUUGUUUACGUUCUAUAUCGUUUUAAUAUUAUACCUGUGCUUCGACCCUAGAUUGGAUUAUAUCAAUGGAAGGUACUUGUAGUGGUCGGGGCCGAGGACGUGGUAUUAGGCAAUCUGCGACUGAGGGGGGUAGUUGGGAAACUGUGCCUGAACCCAAUCUUGAGCCUAGAAUUGAUCCUAAUGCCCAGGUAGCCGCUGCUAUUCAGCUCAUGACUGACUUGUUGUCCCACAUAGUGGAACACCAGGGCCAACCCCCUAUUCAUCAACCCAGAAGCUCGGGCAACCAUAUAGAGGGUGAGGACAAAGCCCUUGAAAGAUUUCAAAAGUUCCCCCCACCAAAGUUCCUGGGAGGGCCUGAUCCAGACGUGGCCGAACGGUGGUUGGAGAAGAUGAUAGAUAUCUUUGCAGUCUUACAUUAUUCGGAGGAGAGGCAGGUUACUUUUGCUGUCUUUCAGUUGGAAGGGGCCGCCCGGUCUUUGUGGAACGUGAUUCGAACAAAGUGGGAAAGAGAGCAAACACCAAAGACCUUAGUAAACUUCAUGAGAGAGUUUAACGCUAAGUAUUUUUCGCCCCUAGUUCAGGAAAAGAAGGAGGAUGAAUUCAUUAGGUUGCGCCAGGGAGCUUAAUCGAUGGCUGAGUAUGAGAACCAGUUUACUAGACUAUCCAAGUUCGCCCCUGAACUUAUUGUAACUGAGCAAAGAAGGGUGCGGCGAUUUAUUCAGGGGCUAAAUGUGGAAAUUCAAAAGGAUCUGGUGGUAGCUCAGAUUAAUACUUUUAGUGAGGCAGUUGAGAAGGCAUUGCGAGUUGAAAAUGCAAGACUUCAAGUGAGAAACUUCCAAGUGAGAAAACGGGGAUUUUCUGGAAGUAGUUCAGGGCAAAGUGAGAGAAGUGACCCUCCCAAGUUUGGAAAGGGAGCCGGAGGAGCAAGACUUUCGGGGAUGUCGAGGGGAACCCCAUCAAGGGGUGGUCCAGUAGGGCGAGGCCAGCAGAGGAGUGCCUCACAGGGGAGCUCAGCUUCUGUUUCUCGGGUCCUUGUGAAUUCUGUGGGAAACCAAACCAUACUGAGGAUAACUGUUGGAAGAAGGAAGGGAAAUGCUUGGGCUGUGAGAGUGCGGAGCACCAAAUUGCAAGUUGUCCAGUUCUAUCUCGAGAGGCAAGAGUAACUCCGUAAUCGUCGAAGACCAACUCGGGGCAAUCUAAGGUGGAAGGGACAAGACCAAAGGUGGCCGCUCGGGUGUAUUCCCUUGAGCAACGUCAAGUCCCUGAUUCAUCUAAGAUCGUGGAAGGUACGAUCCCUGUCUUUCAUCGUCUAGUUAGGAUUUUAAUAGACCCCGGUGCCACCCAUUCCUUUGUUAACCCUGAUUUUAUGUGCGAAAUUGAUAUAAGACCUGUUAGCUUGCUUUAUGACCUGGAAGUUAGUACCCCUACGGGGACCUAACGUUUGAUCACUAGUAAGAUGUAUGUUGAUUGUGAAAUUUGGGUAGGAGAGAGAAAGCUUUUGGAAAAUCUUAUAAACUUAACUAUUAAGGGGUACGAUGUUAUUUUGGGUAUGGACUGGUUAGCUAGGUAUGAUGCACAACUUGACUGUAAGUAGAAUUACGUAUACCGGGGGAGACGACUUUAAGGCUAGAUGUAAGGGGUAGCCUAGCCUCAUCUGCAUUGAUUUCGGGUAUUCGGACUAGGAAACUCAGAGGGGCGCAAGGGUUCUUAGCUUUUCUUAUAAAUCCUCCCACUGAUAAGUUGAAGGUAGAAGAUGUGCCGGUAGUGAUUGAAUAUCUGGAUGUAUUCCCUGAUGAAUUAGUAAUCUUACCACCGGAGAGAGAGAUAGAUUUCAAGAUAGACUUGUUACCGGGGACGUCACCUAUCUCUAAAACCCCAUAUCGGAUGGCACCUGCUGAGUUUAAGGAGUUGAAAUUGCAGUUGCAAGACCUUUUGGAACGAGGGUUUAUUCGUGAGAGUGGAUCUCCUUGGGGAGCCCCUAUGCUAUUUGUGAAAAAGAAAGACGGGACCUUGAGGUUGUGUAUAGAUUAUUGGGGAUUAAACAAUAUGAUCAUUAAGAAUAAAUACCCACUGUCCCAUAUCGAUGAAUUGUUUGACCAGUUGCAAAGAGCAGUGGUCUUUUCGAAAUUAGAUCUCCGACAGGGUUUUUAUCAGUUGUUAAUUCGGAAAGAGGACGUACCAAAAACUGCCUUCAAUUCUAGAUAUGAGCAUUGUGAAUUUUCCGUUAUGCCCUUUGGAUUGACCAAUGCCCCUGCCGUCUUUAUGGAUUUGAUGCAUCGAGUUUUCAAACCCUACCUGGACCGAUUUAUCGUUGUGUUUAUCGAUGAUAUUCUGGUCUACUCAAAAACCCAAGAGGAGCAUGAGCAACAUUUGAAGCUAGUCUUGCAAACCCUAAGAGAUCAUCAGCUAUACGCUAAAUUUAGUAAAUGUGAAUUCUGGCUGGAGAAAAUUUCUUUCUUGGGGCAUGUGAUUUCGAAAAGGGUAUUACGGUAGAUCCGGCGAAAGUAGUGGCCGUAACUGAAUGGAAGAGACCUGAAACUCCUAUUGAAGUGCGUAGCUUUUUAGGAUUGGUUGGGUACUAUAGGCAUUUUAUUCAGAACUUUUCCAAGAUUGCCGGUCCUUUGACCAAUUUAACCAAAAAAAAUGGCCGUUUUCUGUGGGACACUAGGUGUGAAGGUAGCUUUCAAGAAUUGAAGAAAAAACUAACCGUGGCCCCUAUUCUCACUUUGCCUAAUGGAAAGAAUAGUUUCACUGUUUAUACUGAUGCGUUAAAGGAAGGAUUGGGGUGCGUGUUGAUGCAGAAUAAGAAUGUAAUAUCGUUUGCCUCUAGGAAAUUGAAACCUCACGAGCAAAACUACCCUACUCAUAACUUGAAAUUAGCGGCCGUAGUCUUUGCCCUGAAAAAGUGGAGACACUACUUGUACGGGGUAAUUUUUUAGGUUUAUUCUGACCAUAAAAGCCUUAAGUAUCUGUUUUCUCAAAAAGAAUUGAACAUAUGGCAGCGACGAUGGAUGAAAAUUUUGGAGGACUAUGACUGUAAGAUUAACUACCAUCUGGGAAAAGCGAAUGUAGUAGCUGAUGCCUUAAGUCGGAAGGCUCAAAUAGCUGGGCUAAUGGUCAAAGAAUGGAAGAUGUUGGGAGUGGUUAGUGAGUGGAACCCUAAUUUGGAACGUCAAAAGGUGACCUUUGGGAAUAUCCGGGUAACAUCUACUAUUCUUGGUCGAAUUAAAGAAGCCCAAGAGAAGGAUCCGAUGGUACAAAAGUGGAAGGAAAAGGUAGAGAAGGGAGAAUUACCUGAUUUCGAUUUGAGUCCUGAAGGGAUUUUAAAAUAUAGGAACCGAGUAGUAGUGGCCAAGGAUGAAACAUUGAAAAGGGAGAUUUUGGAGGAAGCCUAUCGAUCGAAAUAUACAAUUCACCCGAGUAGUAACAAGAUGUACCAAGAUCUGCGAAGGUUGUAUUGGUGGGAUAAAAUAAAGAGGGAGAUUGCUCAAUAUGUACAAUCCUGUUUAGUCUGCCAGCAAGUUAAGGCUGAACGCCAAAAAUUCUCUGGAUUGUUACAACCUCUUGAGAUACUUGAAUGGAAGUGGAAAAAUAUCACAAUGGACUUUGUUUCUGGAUUGCCAAGGACACAAAAGGGAUAUGAUGCUGUUUGGGUGAUCGUUGAUCGGUUAACCAAAUCAGCCCAUUUCUUGCCUGUGAAUAUGAAGUAUUCCCUAGAGAAGUUGGCUCGACUGUAUAUGAAUGAAAUUGUGAGAUUACACGAAAUUCCAGUGAGUAUAGUUUCCAACCGAGAUCCUCGUUUCGUGUCAAGAUUUUGGCAAAAGUUUCAAGAGACCUUAAGAACUAAACUCAGCCUUAGUACUACUUAUCACCCCCAGAUGGAUGAACAGUCUGAACGAACCAUUCAAACCCUUGAGAAUAUGCUAAGGACUUGCAUCUUAGACUUUGGGGGUAGUUGGGGCCAACACAUGACCUUGGUGGAGUUUGCCUACAAUAAUAGUUACCACUUGUCGAUCCAAAUGGCAUCAUACGAAGCGCUUUACGGAAGGAAGUGUCGUUCACCCAUAUAUUGGGAUGAAGUAGGGGAAAAGAAGGUCUUGGACCCAACAGCCAUUCCGUGGAUGGAGGAUACUCAAGAAAAGGUUAAAUUGAUACGUCAGAGACUCCAAACAGCUCAAAGUCGCCAAAAGAACUACGCGGAUAACCGAAGGAAAGAUUUGGAGUUUGAAAUUGGAGAUCGUGUUUUCCUUAAGAUCACACCCUUACGAAGUGUCACCGCGGGUAGAGGAAAGAAACUUCAACCACGAUUCGUAGGACCCUUCAAGAUUCUCCAAAGGGUUGGAAAAGUAGCGUAUCGACUCGAGUUGCCGCCAAGUUUAUCCCGAAUUCAUGACGUCUUCCAUGUCUCAAUGCUUAAAAAGUACUAUCCUGAUCCAACCCACAUUGUACAACCAAAGGAGAUUGAGAUAGAUGAAGCACUCACCUACGAAGAGAGACAUGUGCGAUUACUCGAUCGAAGGAUUAAGGAACUGAGAAAUAAACAAAUCCCAUUAGUGAAGGUUUUGUGGAGGAAUCAUGGAAUAGAAGAGGCCACUUGGGAGGUGGAGGAGGAGAUGCAAAAGAGAUACCCUGAGCUGUUUAGUAACCCAGGUGAGAAAUUUCGAGGACGAAAUUCUUUAAGGGGGAGAGAGUGUGAGAACCGGAAAAAAAGAAAAAAAAGGAAGAAAAGACAAAAAUGAAAAAAAGAAAUUUUUUUUUUUAUUUUAGGCAUUAUUUUAUUUCUGUGCACAUUUAUAUUUUCUUCAUUAUAUUAACUUUAUAUUAGUAAAUAUAGUCUUAAAAUCAUUUUUCUAUUAUAAAUUAGUUCAUGAGAAAUUAGGAGUGUAUGUUGGACGUGGGACCCGCUAGUGCAUUAAGUGAGAGAAAUUCGGCCGAUUAGGUUAAGUUUUGCAUAAAGGGAUGUAAAUAUUAGGUGUUAGGAGAUAAUUAGAGAUUACCUAGAUGGAUUAACCAUGGGGAGACAAGAAAAUAACUUUAAGCAACAACAAAGUGCCAAGUAUCACUUACUUAGUCAAAGUUAGACUUGUCUAACUUUCUUAACUUUACUAAAAGACCAAAUUUGACCCAAAUCAUCUUCAUUUUAUCUCCUUCUUGGCCGAACCUCAUCUUGAGAGAAAAGAAAAGAAAGCUUCAACUAUCUCUUCCAUUUCUUGCACAAAUCUUGAAAUCCAACAGAUUAAACCUUGAAUUAGUCCACAAAAGUGACUUGCUAAGGGAGUUUAAAGAUCUUGGUGGAGUUGUUUUGGAAGAAAAACCCCUAAACUACUACUUUUCUUGAAGAGUUAAGGUAUUUUGCUUGGAACUCACUCUUUGUCCCUAAUAAUGGUCAAUUGGUGACUUAUGGUAGCUAACUAGGUGAUUUUAUGGAAGAUUUCAUGGAUUAAAGUGGAGUUAGCUAAAUUUCUGAUUUUUUGGAAAUUUUUCUGGUUUCAUAUGAUGGUUAUGGUUAACCUUGGAUUGAUAGCUCUAAAUUGUGUAAAAUAGAGCUUUUGUGCGUUAAUUGUGGUUAUUUGCGGAAAAUUUCCGCUUGUGCGGAAAAUUUCAGAUUUGGGGUUACUAAUUAGGGCUUUCUUAUGGUUGGUUGUUGAGCUUCUAAUUGGCUAUGAUUGAGGGGUAUUGUGACCCUAAUGAAGUGUGUUGAAUGGCUUAUGAAUUGUUUGUGUGCUUGUGGUUGCUUUGGAUGAAUUUCAAGGGUUGUUUGUAGGAUGAAAAAUCUGAAAUUUUAGGGGAAAUGCUGUCCAAAUAUUGAGGAUAUUGGAUUCUUGUGAGUUUAGGUUGAGGUUGGAUAGAAAUGAAAGAUUUUGGGGUUUGUUUCUACUUUUAACUCUAAAUGUUAUGUAUUUUCCAUUUCAAGCUAUAUUUGGUUUUGCCUUAAUAGUUCAUUUAAGGGGUAUUCGAUUCGUGUUCGAGUCUCAAUUGUGCUUUCUUGAUUGUUAUAGGGCGUGCCGGUGAACCGAGGCUUACGUUGGGCGAAAACUUGUGAAAUUGCUUGUUUCAAUUGGUGAGUAUACCUUGUAUGGUUUAAUGCUUAAAUGAUUGUUUAUACUUGAUUCUGUGAACUUGGUUGACUUGAAUGAGACGAGAGUGUACUUCACCGCUCUUGUUCUCUUACUUGUGUGACUACUAUUGUAUUACUGUAAAACUGUACUUGUGCAUGCUUUAAUGUCGAUUGGAGGGUUGUGUCCAACGACUCUAUUGUGAUAUCUGAGCUCUUACCUCAUUGGUCGUUAUUCGGGUCAAGCCGGCAAGGGUUUGGUCGGUUCGAUAACGAACCAUGAGUGACUGUUAGUCGAGUGGAGUGUUAUCUCCUCGACCUUGUGUAUACUCGAGUAUUACCUUUUUGUUGCUGUGAGGUGUUCGGGCCCGGUAAGGGAAAUGUUCGGUGGAAGGAAUGUGGUGUAAAGUGGGAUCUAACUUCAUGUUCUUUACUCCAAACGUUGACGGAGUGUCGACGGGUUUGAGAUCAAGUACGGCAAGUGGAAAGUGGCUAUUGAGAGCCGACCGUAUCCUUUUAACUUGGUUACGUGAUGAAAUUUCUUAUGUGUUCCUUGCCUAAUCAUGUUUAUCCUGGUGUGUCUUGUCGGUACCUCACGAGCGUAAGCUCACUCCAUUACCUUUGUUUUCCUUACAGGGUCAACUUUUGGAAACCAUGAUUUUGGAAGACUGAAUUGAGCUAGUAUAAAUACUUUUUGUAUCGCUCUUCAGGAGUUGGAAAACUCUAAAUGUACCCUGAUCCAAAUAUUUCCCUUUUGCUUUGUAAAUUGCAAACGUAUGUUUAUAACACAGUUUAAUCAUGUUCAUGUAUUAUAUUUGGUUUGGAAUGUUCAUUCUUUAGAAUGAUACCACGUUAUCUGUAUUCGAUUGGGUACCGACUGGAUGGUGACGUGGCAGUCACUAUUCACUUUCAGUGACGAUUUCCGUUUUCAGUUUUGUGAUUGUUGAAUCGUUUAGGAGCGCUAACAUCUAUAUUCCGAACGUUUUGGUUUGUGUAUGACCGUCUUAGUAGUUCUGGCGAGAGUUGGGCAGGCAAUUCGCUAACCCCUUUAGUGCGCCUUAGAGGAAGGCGGGGCUGUCACAGGAUUUUUGGCAAUCCUAAAAGAUAAAUAACAAAGAAAAAUAAAUAAAACAGGAAUACAUAAAAUUUAUAUGAUUCGGUCAAAUAGACCUACGUUCACGGGUGGAGUAAGAGCAAAAUUUUACUAUGAAUAACAGAAUACAAAAAUGUUUUAGACAAGCAUUUUUAAAUCCAAAGCACCUAAUACUUGAAACACAAAAGAACCCAAAAAUAUUUUAUUAAACAAAAAGAUUUAAUGAUUCAAGGCCCAAAAUAACCCACUAAAACUCUCUUAAUUUGAUGCAUCUGAUUCCAUCACAGGUUUAUUAUAUUUAUAGGCAGCUAAAGGAAAGACUCCCUUAUACAAAAGACAGGUGGAACAAAGUCACUUUAACACUUUUUUUUUUUUAUCAAAAAUGCAGAAUUGGCAACAACAAUAAUUACAGUCACGCUUUGAACUUUCUUGCCUGCCCUUACUGUACAUUUUUCUACAAUGCAUGUUUGACGGUUGACAUUUUUUUUUCCAGCAAAAUAGCAUUUUAUCGAUCUGAGCAAAACCGUACAGAAUGUACUUAUUCCCUCAAACAUAUCAAACGUGUAAAACCUUAUCACUGCGUCAUGUGAAACAUAUUUGACCCGUAAAACAUAAUAAACGAUGCCCCAAAAGAAUCAUCCCCACAUAACGAGAGCAAAAUUUCACCAGGUCAGAAUGUAUUAUAGAAAUUUAUCUUAAAAAAUUUACAAUACCAGGUCAAUUUUAUCUUAAAAAUUAUGAGGACUAUUGCCAUCCAAUUGACGUUGACUAACUGCCUGCAGUCACAAACUUACAACAGAUACUAAAUCACUAACUUGAUCACAAUAGUCCAGUCACAAACUUGACAACAGAUACUUGUUUUUUUUAUUAGAGAACGUGAGGAACGUGAGGAGCUAACCAUGUCGAAAUCAAAAUAACACAAUACUAAAUCAAUUUCAUUGGGUGAAGCAACCUCUUAACUACUGUUCUUUCUGGGAAUCAAGAUUUUAAAAGUCAAGAUAUCCUCGAAUUCUUGGAUAAGAUCAACAGUAUUGGUAAUCACCCUUCCGUGUAUGCUUUCUCAUCUAUGUUUCUAGUAACCUCAUUUUCGUUCCUCUGUGAUGACAAGCUGUUCUGGAAAUAAUAAUCAUUUGACCACAUGAUUAAAAAUCACUAAUGCAUUGCCAUAUAAAGUAAUCUCUCACCAUCUUACCUUCAUUUGAUAAUUACAUUUUAUUUCCUAACCAUUCUAAUUUGUAAUUCAAUUUGACUAAUGAGUAUUCAAUGGACACUCGUUAAAAGAAAUUCGUAUUAGUUUUUUGAAAAAAAUAUAGUUUAUUUGUAAAAGUAUAGCAAUUCGAGAUGUGUAAUAUAAGUGUGUAUGCGUAUUUAUAUAGCAAUUUAGGUGUGGUCAUUAGCAAAAUUUUUCCUAAUUAAGCCUUUACUUAGUAACUGGCAUUUCUAGCCAAAUAUAGAUUGCGUGCCAUUAAAAAAUUCUUCAAAGGGCGGUGUGUCUUUUCACACUGACCUUACCAAAGACGCGUCCCAUGAAUACGAGGAGUCAAAUGAAUUUACUUAUGGGGUACGUCACCACAUUUUUAGGCCUAUAAAUAUUAAAUACGAGGAGCCUGGUUCGUUAUUUUGAUGUGCCAAACUCAGCUACCAAGUUUUCGACAGUCACAACCAGUUACAAAUAUCCAUUUUCGUUCAUAUUAAUUAGCUAGCUAGUUCUCCAAGGGAAAAAAUGGCUGAAGCCAAAUCUGCUACUGUCACUGAUCAGGUGAAUAGUGAUUCGAUUGCCUAGCCAUACCUAGAUUUCCUUCUUUUUCAAGUUUGUGUGUGGUUUUGAGAAUCAACUCAUAAACAACUUGUAUUUGGAAAAGUAUGAGGAGUUGCAAAUUAAAGUAAUUUCAACGAUCUUGAAUUAUCUUAAGCAAUAUUUUACAUUUCUAGUUGUCUCCAUACAUAUGGGUAGGCGGUCUCUUGAAUUGUUUGAUUAAGCUUCUUCUGAGUGAUGUAUUUACUUACUGACUGAUCGGAUUUAGUCUUCUAAUUGUAUGUUUAUUUGAAAGCAUUCUAAUUGAUUUUGGGAACUCAAUUGUUUUGCGAUUUUCUUACUGGUUAAAAUGUUUGGGAUUUACAGAUCGACAUCAAUUCAAUACAACCAGUGGCGCCGGCUGACCCUCACGUGGUCGAGAUCGGACAAUUUGUAGUGGAAAAAUUUCACCACGGCAAGCUGCUUUUCAUCGCCGUGCUUGGCGGAUUCACGUGGAAAUGUGAGGGAGGCAAGUACUACGCACUUAUCAUCCAAAAUCAGGAUUAUGAGGGCGCCACAUUUAUCCAUAAAGCACUCGUUGUUGAGGCCAAAGGUGAAACGAAACUCCUCUGGCACAGGAAUUAAUCAAGCAUUACGAUUGAUCAGCUGAGCAUUACUAGUGUCUAUGGUGUGGUUUUCAGUUUAUGCAUGGAUGAUGUACCGCUGUAUUGUACUAGCAUCUUUCCACUAUUGUACUAGUAUGUUAAAUAAGGUGCACUUAUACCAACAAAAUGUACCAUUCCGUCUAUUUUUUAAUUUGUAUCCUUGUAAUUACAUGUAAAAGAUGCACUUUUACGAACAAAAGUGUACCAUUAGAUGAAUAAAAACAAUCGUCUGUUUUUGAGUUUUAUCUGUAUAUUUUGUUUCUAUGUUACUUCCAAGCAAGUUCCGAUCCCUGAAUUUGUAUGUCAACUACGUCCUAUGGUCUUGUUAGAUAUUUGGGUUGUCCUCCUAAAUCUGCUUUUAAUAUGAUAGAAUCUAUUUGUGGUAGAUUUUUUGUGGGGUUCCUCGGACGAGCAAAGGAACACGCCAGUUUCUAACUCGGAAUGGUCCAAGCUAGUUCAUUGAUCCAGCUCCCAGAGUAGAGCUGUCUGGUCCUGCCAUCACCAAACUAAGAACAUGUUUCCUUGAAACGCCCAUAGAGAAUGCUUUCUAGGAUCAACCAAAAAUGAUAAUAAUAACAGUAAAUGUACCUCCAUUUAGCCAUAAAACACGAGGCUUGUUAGAAGGAUUUUCGGACUCCGCAAAAUAGUAGAAGAGAGCUUUACCAGUCUUUGGAUCAACAGUAACAUACCCUGAAUAUUGAUAAAACUUUAACCCUUUUGGUUGCCCCGGCAAUGCCACUACUUUGUCGGCCGCCUGCCAAACCCUCUUGAGGACCAAUAUAAACUGGCGUGUUCUCAUGUCCUGAAUCCUCAUCAUUUACGUAAUUGUCUAGUUGAUGGGUGUCGAAACCACCGAAAACAAAAUUCCUACUCCAAAAAGAUAUACUUUUGAGUACAAUGGUGAGUGGAGUCAAAAAAUAAUAAUGUAAAAUUAAAUAAAAAUAAUUCAAUAAAAGAUAAAUCUCUAGUCAAAAAUCUAAUCACCACUUUAGUUUAAUUAACUAAUCGUUGAUGCAUGGAUAAAAUCAUUUAUUUAUAAAUUAGUUAUGGCUGUCAACAAAUUUUGAGAACCUACCUACCUCUCCUUGCUACCCUCGAUAACCACAGCAAAUUUUGUGAUUAUUACUCUUGCCAAUUAAACAACCCUAGUCUAACUUUUAGGAUUUAACAUAUUGACAACAUUAAUUAUUACAAAAGCUACCCAUAUUGAUAACAUUAAUUAUUACAAAAGUUGCCAGUUCUAACCAAUAAACACAUUGGUUCUGUUUAUUUAGAUUCGAUUAUAUAUUUUCGUGACCUAUAUUAGAAAAUUUUUACUACAAUCAAAGUAUAUCACUUGCCAUAAAUACUAAAACCAUCAAAUAAUUAUAGAUUUGAUGAUUAGAUGCAAUAGAUAUUUCGAUAAUUAAAUAAUGGCCAACUAUUUAAUCAUAUAAAAUAAUCAUAUUAGGAACUUGAGAAGUUCGGUAAAAUUUUCAUUCCCUCAAAGGUUCAAGCCAAAUAAAUUUGAUAAGGAUUUUGAGAAGUUUGCUAAAAUUUUUAAACAAAUGCAUAUUAAUAUCCUUUUUGCCGAUGCUAUUUUCAGAUUCCUUCUUAUGAAAAAUUUCUCAAGGAAAUCAUGAUCCGAAAUAGAAAAUUGGAGGAUUAUGAAGCAAUAGCAUUAACGGAGAAGUGCAGUGUCAUCAUACAAAAUAAGCUACCACCAAAAUUGAAGGAUCCAGGGAAUUUCUUUAUACCAUGCAUGUGAGGACCAGAAAAAAAUUUUAUUUUUUUUAAAUUUUUCUCCUAUUUUUGAAAAAAAUUAAUUUAUAUUUCCUUUUAUUUUACUUUACUUGCUUAUUUACUAGUCUUAAUUUGAUUGUGAUUUUAAAGGUUAAAUUAAGAUUUUUCUUUUUUCCCUUUUAUAAUCUUGAUGUAUGCUAAGUUUCGUAGAGUAUUAUGGUAGUUUAACUGACCAGUGAGAUGUGCGCAUUAUAUUUGGUGGACGAGAAUGGAUGUGAUACUAGAGGAAUUAUGUGAUUAGAAGUGUUAAGAGUGUAUUAGAAGAAUACAAGAUAGAUUGGUUAUAAGAGAAAUACAAGAGAGACAAAGGGAUAGACAUGAAACCAAAGCUCGACAAGUGUCGUGCAUUCAUGAAGUCUUGACCAAGACUUAGACCAAGAGAAGUCUUGUGUUUAUCUUUCAAAAUUGACUCAAAAACCUUCACUUUCUUCUUCGUUGUGGCCGAACUUAAGGGAGAGAGAGAAGAGAGAAAACUUUCAAAAAAUCCUCUUGAUUUCAUUGCUUAAUUUGUGAAAAAAUCGAAGAUCAACCCUAAUCUGCUCCAUAAAACCUUGAGUUAAUCUUGGAAUGAAACUUUUGGUGGAAUCAUUUGAGGAAGAAAGUUCUUAUCUUACAAUUUAUCUUGGGAUUUUGAGGUAUUAUACUAAGAACCUCUCUUUUUCUUUCUUAUUUUGCCAUUUAAGCAACAUAUAACUUGAUUAGGAUGGAUUUCAUAGAAGAAUUCAUGGUUUUGCUUAGUAGGUUGCAAUUUUCAGCUUUAAAGUAUAUUGUUCAGCCUUGAUAUGAAUGGUUUAGUUUUGAUAUGAGGUUGGAUAUAAAAUUUUAGCUUUGUUAUGAGGUUAUCUAGCUUCUAUAUUCGAAUUUCCAGCUUUGAUUUAUAUUUUCCAGCCUUGACUUGAGAGUUUCCAGCUUUGAUGUGGACUUAUGAGUUUGGAUAUGAAGAUAUCUAACUUGAACAUGCACUUCUAGCUUUGUUAUAUGAUUUUUCUAGCUUUAGUGGUCAAUUUCCUGCUUUGAGAUGAAAAAUUUCAGCUUUGGUGUAAGUGAUUUGGAGCUUGAUAUAUAUGUUCAAAGUUGAUAGUUUUGUGGCCUAAAGUAUGCACUAUUUGUCCCCUAUAAUAUGUGGCCUUGAUUGAGAUUCAUUUACCAUGAAACUAGGAUUUGAAUUGGAUGGUUAACUUAAAGAAAUUUGGGGACAUAUUGCUGGAUUUUCUCCUUGUUGGUCAAGUGAGGGUUGAGGCAUAAAUUUAGGGCAUUUUUGUUUUCCUCUUGCAUAUGAUUUUACUCAAAACACUUGUUACAAUCUAUUUCUUUGCAUGUGCAUUAGUUUCGAGCCAAGACAAGAGGUUUAAAUGAAAGGAAAUGAGUUUUAUCAAAUAAUUUUCUAGUUGGACAAUUUCCAACUUUGCACCUUGAAAGUCUUGACAUAAUUUCCUCAAACUUUUGACUAUAAUCGAUGCUUGUGUGCUCCAAAUGACUCUUGAAACAUGGAUUUAGUAUGCACACGAGGUUUUCCCCUUAAUUUGAACAAGAAAAUGUUAUAUUUUUUACUAGUUAUAUGGGGAUAAAACUUGUGAACUAGUGUAUUUUCUAAAUGAAGUUUUGAACCCUCAAUUUCUUCAUUGUAUUUUGACUUUGUUUGCUAGUCUUUUAAUAUAGUGUAUGACUACAGGACUCAAGAAAUUUCAAGAGGACAAACUGCUGUUGAAGUGAAAGAUUACAAUUGAUUGGUUAGUGUUCUUCGCAUGUUGUGCUUUAAAUAACUAUGUGGAAUGUUUGUUUGAAUGUCAAAUACUUUUUAAUGAUUGUUAAAUAGAUUUUCAAUGGGUGAGUGUGUACUUUAUUACACUUAACCCAAAGUGAAAGUGCAUUUUCAAUGAUUGAAUGUUAUUUGUGCAUGAAUGUAAGCCUUUAACUGAAUUGGACCCUUACCCUUCGUUGCCAGUCGACUCGAGUCAGAAGCAGACUCGAUCGGGUGGCUGGUGACCCUAUGACAGUAUUUGGUAUACUCAAGUAUGACCACGAAAUUGGAUGGAGUACUAGCCAGUGAAUGCAAUGCAAUGAUUGAAAUGAAUAACUGAAUAAAAUGAACACUGAAGGAGUUUUCACUUUCAAAUAUUUUUAAAUGUUGGAGGGAUAAGCGAAAUGGAUGAUGAAUGAAUGACCGAAUGAAUGGCUUCAAUUGAGUAGUAUCAUUUCAAUGAUUGAAUGAUUGCUUCGUGAAUGACUUGCUUAUUGUUGUGCAAAGUGUAUAAUUGUCAAUUGUAACAUUUCUGUGCUUUAUCUACCUAACUGCUUGUUUGGGAACCUCACUGGAUUUUUUGCUCAUUCUAUUAGUUUGUUUUCUUUACAGGAGUGGAGGCCGAAACAAGUAAGCGUGAACUAGUGUAGAUAAUCUUCAUGUGCUUGUACAUGAAAAUUAUAAUCUUCAUGUACAAUCUUCAUGUACUAGUGUGUAGAUGGAAUGUAUUUGGGAUAUUUAGUAAUGUAAUCCUAUAUUGCACUUUUAAAUUGUAAAUUAAGUUAGAAUUAUUAGUUGAAUUGGGAACUUUUAUGUUAAUCUAGAGACGUGAAAGAUUAUUUCAAGAAUGUUAGCGAGUGAGUCCUGACGAGAGUUGGGCAGGCGGUCCGCCCAACCCUUGGAUUUGUCCUAGAGAGAGGUGGAGUCGUGAUAGGUGUUGAAUCUGUGCAAUAAUAAUAAAUAAAACCUAACUACCACUUGAAACAGUCAAUAAUCAAUUCUAGUACUGGAGCAGGGACCCUAGGUGUGCAAUGAGUUACUUGAUUCACCUUGUUCCCGAAGAGUUUGCUUAAUCCGAUAUUCCAAAAUUAAUUAUUUAACUGAAUUCACUAACUAGUAGACAGUGGCAAGCAGGGUCGUCUUCUCAGGGACUGGAGAGAAAUUUGUUUCUUUUCGAGUCAAGACAAAUGGGGGUUUUCAGGAUUAAAUGCUAACUAAAUGAAUUAAAUGCAGAAAAUAAUUAAUUAAAAGAAAUAAUUGGGAGAACUCUAGCCAAGGGUACACUUCAGAAAUGGUUCAUGCACUGAUCAUUGAUUCACAUAUAAUUCCAACAUUUAUUAAUAGAUUAGUCAUAGUUGUCAUGCACGCGAUAAACAACCAACCUUUCCUUAAUUUCUCGAUAGUUAAGGCACAACCGUUAACUAUUUCUUUAACCCGGAAACAACCCUAGGUACCACCGUAGGAUUUAAUUUCUAGAUUGCAUUAAUAAUUAGAAAGGCUCAAUCCUAACUAACAAACACACUACGAGAGUUUGUUUAAAUUAGAUUGUAUGUUUCCCUGACAUAAACCCAAUUAUGCCAGUUGCAACUGAGAUGGGGAUAACCGAACAAUUACGGAUUCAAUUACGUCUAAUUAGAAAAAUAGCCUAUGUGAAUAAUUAAUUAUUGCGCACUAAUCAAUCGUACACAAGAGCUAUAACAAUUAAAAGAAGGAAACAUAUAAAUACCAAUAAAUGGAGAAAACAGUUAAAAUAAUUUAGAUCUCACAGGAAUUGUCGAACCAAAUCGUCAGAUGCCCCCUUGACUAGAAAACAAUAUUAGUUACUCUCUAUUGAGAGUAACUCACGCAAUUCCAUUGAAGGAAAUUGCGUUACUGUUUUACAAUAGAAAAAAAAAAACUACUCAGAGGAGAAGAGAGCCAAGCGGCUGCCGUCCUUUUCUUUUCUUAUUCCCUCGCCGGGUAGUAAUCACGCGGGAUCCGGCUUUUUCUCCCUCAAAUCCGUGCAAAGGAAAUCAAAGACAAGAAAAAUUGCUGCUUCCUCUUUUGUCUCCAGCCUCUUGAAAGAGAGCUAAUCUCUCCCGAAUCAUAAUCCCUAUUUUUUCUCCUAAUUGGUUGGUAUCUUGAUACCAAUCAACUUUCUAAAAAGAUUCCUAUCACAAUUUAAUUUCCUAAAAACUCUCCAAAUCAUUUGAGGAUGAUCUCGCUAAAUCGGGAAGGUCCUGAUAGCUAUCAAAUUAUGAAAUUGAUUCAGAUUUGGAGAUUGCCCAAUAUCAAUCCCGACUUUUCAGUUUUGAGCAGUGAACUUAGGCGCGCACCCGUGCAACCAUCAGAUGUUUUUCACUAGAAAAUCUCCAUUUAAUCACAUUUCAUUCCCGCUCCUGAAAUAAGCACAAAAUACCAAAUAUAAGUAGAAUCCGACAAUUAAAAUAAUAUUUGGCUAAAAUCAAGGGGAGAAUAAUUAUAAAUUUAGCAACAAAUUAUGACCUAUCAAUUUCCUCCACACCUAAACCAUACUUGUCCUCAAGCAUGAGAACACAAAUCAAGUAAUCAAAUUCAAACAAUGGUAUUACUCAAAUCUUCCAUUGCCAAGAUAUAAUUAAGACAUAUGUCAAGUAUUAGUGGCAAUUUUCAAGAAAUAUCUCUCCAGUUAGCUUUCAAGAUUAAGGACUCUUUCAAUUUAUGACUAACUAAUUUAAGAUUAUAAAAUAUUCAACCAACAUCCAUAAGCAAAUGGUUCGACUAUUAAGCAAAAUCUCAACAUUAAAAUUCAUGGAUCAGCGGGCUAACAAUUCAUUCAAACACUUCCACAUUUUUCACUAUUAGCACUUUUUUUUCUAAAAUAUCCCCACACUUGAUUGAUUUUUUUUUUCUUUAGGGGGAAUGUUUAGUCUUUAGCUAUUUAAGCGCUUUGACGCGAACUCCGACAUUGGUCAAAUAAAGGAGUCCGGUUACUCAACUUUUAUCGCUAAAGGACCACAUACUCAUAAUUAUCGUCGCUUUUUGACCCGAAAGUCGACACUUGUGGUGAAGACCUCUGGUUACUAGGCAACGACACUAGCGAAGUAUAGCUGAAUACUAUUCAUAAAUAAACACCAAAUUAAAAUUAAAAAUCACACAAACCCGCUUCGUUUCUGAAACACGGAGAACUAAAAUAAUAGCUGAACCAAUUUGCACAAAAAAUGCUAGACAAUAUUUACAAUACUUAGAGAAAUUAACCAAAAAGUGUAAAAGUCACAAAAUCUCAAAUAUUCAUCAAAGAGAUACCCUUAAAUUUAACCAUGUCAUACUUAACACUUUAGAAUGUAAAAUCUCAGCAAUAGAAAAAUUUGAAACAUCUAACCAUCAUUUAUCAGAAACAAUCACAAAUAUGCACAAGAUAGAUAAAAUUUGGAUAAAAUUUGACAAAGUCAAACAAAAAAAAAUUCCAAUAAAAAUGUCUAUACUUGCACUUUUACAAUAAAAUACCAAUAUACUACUCCCCCCACAUCUAAAUCUUACAUUGUCCCCAAUGUAAGAGAUAAAGAAUAGAAUAAGAAACAAAAGGGACAACGAAACUUCCCUGAUCACGCAAUGGAGGGUCUCAAGCAGUUAUGGCAUAGGUGGGAAUGGUCGGUUCUUCCUUUUAUCCUUUGUUUGAGCAAAGAUGAGAACAGGCAGUAAGGGACUGAAGAGAGGGAGAACGCUAGCGGUGAACGAUGGCUAGCAGCGGGGGCUGAACGAAGACGGCGGCUGGAGCGAACUGGGAAGGUGCUCGGUGCGGUGGCGACGGAGCAGCGGCGGACAGUAAAGCGGGCGAAGGCAGCAGCGGGAAAGGGGACAAAAAGGGAAAGAAAGAAAAAGAAAAAAAAAGAGAAGAAAGAAGUAGAACCAUGGGUUUUUUUUUUUUUUUUUUUUAAUAAAGGAACCCCUGUGUCAAGCGUGGGCACACCUAACUGCCUUCGAGUCUUCUGACCAACCAUCCGAAAUUAAGAUCCUUAAGCGUGACCACUUGGCGGGGGCAUGCCUAAUUACUAGAGAGUCUUCUGACCAAUUUUUAAAAAUUGAGUUCCUUAGACGUGGGCACUUGGCGUGGGCACGCCUAACUACUAUAGAGUUUUCUGACCGCAGACGAAAAUUGUCUUCCUUAAGCCUGACCAUCUGGCGUGGGCACGUCUAACUAUUGGAGAGUCUUCUGACCACAGAAAAAUACUUGCAUUCCUCAGGCGUGCCUACUAGACACGGGCACGCCCAACUACCAGCUUCCUGCCACAAAAACAACAAAUCACUAAAUGCAACUAACACUUAACAAAAACUCCAAAAAUAUAAGGAAACUAAAAUAAAGGCCUUGGGUUGCCUCCCAAGUAGCGCCUUUCUUUAAUGUCUUUGGUUAGAUAUUGCCAUGUUUAUUCAUGGGGGAUAAAACCGUGCAACUCGUUUCAGUGCUUCAUCUUCUAUGCAGUGCUGAUAUCUCUCGUAAAUAAAAUAAUCCUUAAACCCACGAGAUAUGGUCUUCCAUGGAUUAGUAGAUGACGCCAAACAAAUAAGUAGUGACCUUAAUUCUUCACUCACUCCUCCAUCACGAGCACUUACUGGUUCGAGAUAUUUUGCCAUUGCAACUCUUAACUUAUUCCUGUCAUGAAACUCAAAAUCUUUUGGUAUAAUAAAAUCAAUUUCACUAACAAGAAUUAAAGAAUAAGAGUUAGGAAAAUAUUUAUUAAGAAAUGGAGGAGAUGUUACCGCCUUUGGAGAUUGUUCACUGGAUUCAUUCACUUGAACCAUUUGACGUUAGGGUCUCAUUUCUUGCACUUUAACUUUCUUUUCAACUGCGUAUUUAGAUCUUUCUUCUUGAGACUCUUGCAGUACCAUGUCAUUCGUCAGGAUAAUUGCACUCUCAUCUUUCUCAUGGUUGAUAAUAGUCUGUGAGGGCAAUUCGUCACACAUUCGAGAAGUCAAUUGCGUUAUCCUAGAUGUCAAUUGAUUCACUUGAUCUGUCAGGUUACGCAUGCUCGCUUGUGUCUCCUGAUAAAAAUUCAUUAUCUCUUGAUGAAAAUUCAUUGUCUCCUGUUGAAGUUGAUGUGUGUUAGAAACUAUUGAUUUUAUCAUUUUUUCAAGAGACAUACCUGACAUGGAUAAUGGCUGUUGAGACUCUUGCUGUUGAAAAUCCAUUGGCCUGGUUGCAUAACUAAAAUUGGAAUCAUCCCACCAUCCUUGAUCAUACCCGUUUGAAUAAGGGUCAUACUACGUUUGAUAUUGAGGUGAAAAUUUUUCAAAAGUAUCGAUUGGAGCACUUAGACCAUCUUAAAAUACAGGGCACAUGUCGGUUGAGUGAUCUAAGGCAAAAUAAGUUCCACAAUUUGCAACAGCCCAUUGAUCAUUAGACAAAAACACGAGUCUCAUAACCCCUUCUAGAAAUAAAAUUCAGUCUAUCACCAAAAUACGUAAUGUUAGCAGCCAUAAACUAUAUAUAAAAAAAAAUAAGAGAACAAUAAAAACAAGAUGAACUAUAAACAAAAUAAAUUAAUCAGGCACUAGUCCCCGACAACGGCGGCAAAAAUUAAUAGGUGCUGAACCUGUGGAAUAAUAAUAAAUAAAACCUAACUACCACUUGAAACAGUCAAUAAUCAAUUCUAGUACUAGAGCAGGGACCCUAGGUGUGCAACGGGUUACUUGAUUCACCCUGUUCCCGAAGAGUUUGCUUAAUCCGAUAUAUUAGAAUUAAUUAUUUAACUGAAUUCACUAACUAGUAGACAAUGGCAAGCAGGAUCGUCUCCUCAAGGACGGGAGAGAAAUUUGUUUCUUUUCGAGUCAAGACAAAUGGGGGUUUUCAGAAUUAAAUGCUAACUAAAUGAAUUAAAUGCAGAAAAUAAUUAAUUAAAAGAAAUAAUUGGGAGAACUCUAGCCAAGAAUACACUUCAGAAAUGGUUCAUGCACUAAUCAUCGAUUCACAUAUAAUUCUAACAUUUAUUAAUAGAUUAGUUAUAGUUGUCAUGCACGCGAUAAACAACCAACAUUUUUUUAAUUUCUCGAUAGUUACGGUACGACCGUUAACUAUUUCUCUAACCCGGUAACAAUUCUAGAUACGAUCGUAAGAUUUAAUUUCUAGAUUGCAUUAAUAAUUAGAAAGCUCCAAUCUUAACUAACAAACACGCUACGAGGGUUUGUUUAAAUUAGAUUGUAUGUUUCCCUGACAUAAACCCAAUUAUGCCAGUUGCUACUGAGAUGGGGAUAAUCGAACAAUUACGGAUUUAAUUACCCCUAAUUAGCAAAAUAGCCUAUGUGAAUAAUUAAUUAUUGCGCACUAAUCAAUCAUACACAAGAACUAUUACAAUUAAAAGCAGGAAACAUAUAAAUACCAAUAAAUGGAGAAAACAGUUAAAAUAAUUUAGAUCUCACAGUAAUUGUCGAACCAAAUCGUCAGAUGCCCAAUUGACAGGUGCCGAACCUGUGCAAUAAUAAUAAAUAAAACCUAACUACCACUUGAAACAGUCAAUAAUCAAUUCUAGUACUGAAGCAGGGACCCUAGGUAUGCAAUGGGUUACUUGAUUCACCCUGUUCCCGAAGAGUUUACUUAAUCUGAUAUACCAGAAUUAAUUAUUUAACUGAAUUCACUAACUAGUAGACAGUGGCAAGCAGGGUCGUCUCCUCAGGGACUGGGGAGAAAUUUGUUUCUUUUCGAGUCAAGACAAAUGGGGGUUUUCAGGAUUAAAUGCUAACUAAAUGAAUUAAAUGCAGAAAAUAAUUAAUUAAAAGAAAUAAUUGGGAGAACUCUAGCCAAGGGUACACUUCAGAAAUGGUUCAUGCACUGAUCAUCGAUUCACAUAUAAUUUCAACAUUUAUUAAUAGAUUAGUUAUAGUUAUCAUGCAUGGGAUAAACAACCAACAUUUUCUUAAUUUCUCGAUAGUUAAGGUACAACCGUUAACUAUUUCUCUAACCCGAAAACAACCCUAGGUACAACCGUAGGAUUUAAUUUCUAAAUUGCAUUAAUAAUUAGAAAGACCCAAUCCUAACUAACAAACAUGCUACGAAAGUUUGUUUAAAUUAGAUUGUAUGUUUCCCUGACAUAAACCCAAUUAUGCCAGUUGCUACUGAGAUGGGGAUAAUCGAACAAUUACAGAUUCAAUUACCCCUAAUUAGCAAAAUAGCCUAUGUGAAUAAUUAAUUAUUAUGCACUAAUCAAUCAUACACAAGAGUUAUAACAGUUAAAAGCAGGAAACAUAUAAAUACCAAUAAAUGGUGAAAACAGUUAAAAUAAUUUAGAUCUCACAAUAAUUAUCGAACCAAAUCGUUAGAUGCCCCCUUGACUAGAAAAUAAGAUUAGUUACUCUCCAUUGAGAGUAACUUACACAAUUCCAUUGAAGGAAAUUGCGUUAAUGUUUUACAAUAGAAAAAAAACUACUCAGAGGAGAAGAGAGCCAAGUGGCUGCCGUGCUUUUCUUUUCUUAUUCCCUCGCCGAGUAGUAAUCACGCGGGAUCCGGCUUUUUCUUCCUCAAAUCCGUGCAAAGGAAAUCAAAGACAAGAAAAAUUGCUGCUUCCUCUUUUGUCUCCAGCCUCUUGAAAGAGAGCUAAUCUCUCCCGAAUCAUAAUCCCUAUUUUUUCUCCUAAUUGGUUGGUAUCUUGAUACCAAUCAACUUCCUAAAAAGAUUCCUAUCACAAUUUAAUUUCCUAAAAACUCUCCAAAUCAUUUGAGGAUGAUCUCGCUAUAUCGGGAAGGUCCUGAUAGCUAUCAAAUUAUGAAAUUGAUUCAGAUUUGGAGAUUGCCCAAUAUCAAUCCCGACUUUUCGGUUUUGAGCAGUGAACUUAGGCGCGCGCUCGUGCAACCAUCAGAUGUUUUUCACUAGAAAAUCUCCAUUUAAUCACUUUUCAUUCCCGCUCCUGAAAUAAGCACAAAAUACCAAAUAUAAGUAGAAUCCGACAAUUAAAAUAAUAUUUGGCUAAAAUCAAGGGAAGAAUAAUUAUAAAUUUAGCAACAAAUUAUAACCUAUCAAGUCGUCACAAUGCAUUAUUGAUAACAUUGAAUUUUUUAAAGUAUUAUGUAACCUUGGUGCUAGUUUAUCAGUAAUUCCUUUAAGAGUGAUUAGACAAUUAGAUUUACAUGAGUUUAAAAGUACUAAUAUUGCUUUGCAGUUAACAGAUAGGUCUAUUAGAUAAUUAUUGGAAGUGUUGGAGAAUGUAUUAAUUAAAGUGUAAAAAGUUAUCAUCUUUAUGAAUUUUGAGGUAUUAGAUAUGAAAAAAAAUGUCUAUAUCAAUUAUUCUUGGCAGACCAUUUUUAGCAGUUGCAGGUACUAUUAAUGAUGUUAAAAAUGACAAACUUAAGUUUCAAGUAUGUAAAGAAGAGAUAGAAUUUAAUUUGAAUGAAAUAAAAAAAAUACCCUUUUUUUACUGAUCAUGCUUGUUCUAUUGGCACAAUUGAUAAGUUAGUCAAAGAGUUGAGUCGAGUGAACUGUGACUUCGACCCUUUUGAGAUUUGUUUGAUGAGUUAAAAAAUGCUAGAGGGAGACUGUGAAGAAAUUAAAGAAUUGGCUAAAUAUUUAGAUUUUCAAAUAGCUUAUAAACGGGAUAAUGUUUAUGAAAAUCUUGAUCAAAGAAAAGGGCCCCCACUAUCCUCGGAGAUUGAAGUCCCAAAUCAUUUAUGGUUUUUGGAGAAAAUAGCACUCUACCGGUAAUUAUUAGUGCUCACUUAGAUGAAGAACAAUGUGCGAAAUUGUUAAGGAUUCUAAGAAAACACAAGAAGUCCGUUGGACAAACAAUUUCGGAUAUCAAAGAUACAAGUCAUUCUAUAUGCAUGCACCGCAUAUUAUUAGAAAAAAAUCGCAAACUGAUGGUGAAAAUGCAAAGAAAACUCAAUCCAAAUAUGAAAGAGAUGUAAGAAAUAAAAUUCUCAAAUGGCUCGAUUCAUGUAUAAUCCUUUUUUUCUCUAAUAGUAUUUGGAUUAGUUCAAUGCAUAUUGUCCCUAAAAAAGAUGAAAAAACUGUAGUCAUGGGUAAAAAUGAUAAAAUGAUUCCAUCUCAAUUCAUGAAUUGGUGGAGAGUGUGUAUAGAUUAUAGAAAAUUAAAUGUGGUUACUAGAAAAAUCACUUUUCCUUAUCUUUUCUUGACCAAUUAUUUGAGCGAAUAGCCGGUUAUGAAUUUUACUGUUUUUCUAAUGAUUUUUCAGAUUAUAACCAAAUAACUAUAAUUCCGGAGGAUCAAGAGUAUACCACAUUUACUUACCCUUAUGGUACCUUUGCCUUUAGAAAGAUGCCAUUUGAUCUAUGCAAAAUCCCUGCUACGUUCCAACAUUACAUGGUGACCAUAGUUUCUAAUUACAUUAAGAAAAUUAUGGUGAUAUUUAUGGAUGAUUUUUUGGUAUUUGGUUCAUCUUUUGGUCAUUAUAUUCAUAAUUUAGAUUUGAUUUUACAGAAAUAUGAUGAGACAAAUCUUGUGCCAAAUUAGGAGAAAUGCCAUUUUAUAGUUCGAGAAAAAAUUGUCAGAAUCAGAUAAAGAUAAUAAUGACGAAACUGCAACCAAACCCGUGAUAGUAGAUCCCUACAAAACAUAUAAACUACCAAAUUUGCAAACUUUCAUGACAAUAAGAGCACCUUUAGAAACCUUCAUAACGUCAUUUUUAACUGUGUAUAUGCACCCAAGAACCUUUAGAGUGUCCAAAGAAAUGAGAUUCUUUUUUCAAAUCAAGAACAUGUCUAAUAUUAGUGAGCGUUCUCAAAAUACCAUAAUGUAUUUUAAUUCAAACUGUACCCUUACCAACAACAUCACAAACAACAUUAUUGCCCAUGAAAACAAUUCCAGCAUUACAAGAUUCAUAAGUGAAAAAUAAAUCCCUAUUGGAACAUAUGUGAUAAGAGCACCCCGAAUCUAAAAUUCAUUCAUUUUUAGACCUUGUCCUAUCAUCAAUCACAAAAUAUUUCUUUCAUUCUCAUCAACUGCAGCACAUGUUUCGACAAUUUAGGUACUUUUUUUCAUUAGGUUUCCCCUUUUACUCUAAUCCUUUCAAUUUAAAGUAAUUUGCAUUAAUGUGUCUCAUUUUGUGACAGUAAUUGCAUUAAAAAUUUUUGCGUUUGGGUUUAGAUCUAAAUUUAGAUCUACUACUGUCAAAUGUUUUUUUAUUGGUUCUGCUCGUAACAACCAGACUUUCCAUCUGAUUUCCAAAUUUCUUUAGUAAUAUCCCUGUCUAUCUGCUCCUUAGAUUUUAAUGUAAAUUUAAUUUCAUGAUACGAAAUUGUUUCUUUUUCAUAAAUCAUAGUAUUGUAAAAAUAUUUAAAAGUGGGAAAGGAAAUACAAAAGUAGCAGGGCUUGAUUUUCAACAUCAAUUUUCAAAUCUAUAUUCUCCAAAUCCAUAAUAAUGGAAUCAAAUUUAUCAAGAUGUGAGAGUAUAGAUGUACUUUCAGUCAUGCGAAAUAUAUACAAAUUUUAUUUUAAAUAAAGCCUAUUCUCAAUUGUUUUCUUCAUGUACAAGGCCUUAAACUUGUCCCACGCGGCCUUUACCGAAAUUUCAGUAGUUAUAUCCCGCAAAAUCUCAUCAAAGAGAUUUAAGAUAAUAUUGGAUCUUAUCUUCUUAUCUAUUUUAGCAAAAUUUAUAUCUGUCACACUCUUUGACUUUUUAUCAAUUUUUUGUAUUUCUAAAUCAACUCCGUCUUGAAUCAAAAUGCUCUCUAUCUUGAGCUGCCAUUUCCCAAAAUUGACAUUCCUGUCAAAUUUUUUGACAAUAGUCUUUGUUAUUAUCAUUGUUGCUACAAAAUUUAAACCCUCUGGAGAAUUUCUGAUAUUAGUUUGUUAGGUUUGGAUCCAAAAAAUUAACGAAAAGGAUUUUUGACAAUCCUAAAAGACAAAUAACAAAGAAAAAUAAAUAAAACAGGAAUACAGAAAAUUUAUAUGAUUCGGUCAAAUAGACCUACGUUCACGGGUGGAGCAAGAGCAAAAUUUUACUAUGAAUAACAGAAUACAAAAAUGUUUUAGACAAGCAUUUUUAAAUCCAAAACACCUAAUACUUGAAACACAAAAGAACCCAAAAAUAUUUUAUUAAACAAAAAGAUUUAAAUGAUUCAAAGGCCCAAAAUAACCCACUAAAACUCUGUUAAUUUGAUUCAUCUAAUUCCAUCACAGGUUCAUUAUAUUUAUAGGCAGCUAAAGGAAAGACUCCCUUAUACCAAAGACAGGUGGAACAAAGUCACUUUAACAUUUUUUUUUUUAUCAAAAAUGCAGAAUUGGCAACAACAAUAAUUACAGUCACGCUUUGUACUUUCUUGCCUGCCCUUACUGUACAUUUUUCUACAAUGCAUGUUUGGCGGUUGACAUUUUUUUUCCAGCAAAAUAGCAUUUUAUCGAUCUGAGCAAAACCGUACAGAAUGUACUUAUUCCCUCAAACAUAUCAAACGUGUAAAACCUUAUCAUAUUUGACCCGUAAAACAUAAUAAACAUGCGUAUACGAAACUAUAAACGAUGUCCCAAAAGAAUUAUCCCCACAUAACGAGAGACAAAUUUCACCCAUUAUAAAACUACUUUCGACGGGGAUUUUUGGUCAGAAUGUAUCAUAGAAAUUUAUAAUUUACAAUACCAGGUCAAUUUUAUCUUAAAAGUUAGGAGGACUAUUGUCAUCCAAUUGACGUUGACUAACUGCCUGCCUUCCAGUCACAAACUGACAACGAUACUAAAUCACAAACUUGACAACAGAUACUUGUUUUUUUUUAUUAGAGAACGUGAGGAACGUGAGGAGCUAACCACGUCGAAAUCAAAAUAACACAAUACUAAAUCAAUUUCAUUGGGCGAAGCAACCUCUUAACUACUGUUCUUUCUGGGAAUCAAGAUUUUAAAAGUCAAGAUAUCCUCGAAUUCUUGGAUAAGAUCAACAGUAUUGGUCAUCACCCUUCCGUGUAUGCUUUUCUCAUCUAUGUUUCUAGUAACCUCAUUUUCGUUCCUCUGCGAUGACAAACUGUUCUGGAAAUAAUAAUCAUUUGACCACAUGAUUAAAAAUCACUAAUGCAUUGCCAUAUAAAGUAAUCUCUCACCAUCUUACCUUCAUUUGAUAAUUACAUUUUAUUUCCUAACCAUUCUAAUUUGUAAUUCAAUUUGACUAAUGAGUAUUCAAUGGACACUCGUUAAAAGAAAUUUGUAUUAAUUUUUUGAAAAAAAUAUACUCCCUCCGUCCCAAAAUAAGGGACGUUUUUGGGGAUUCUAACUUAUUAUGCACAGUUCAAUCAAUUUGAAUGUGAGACAUUGUUUUCCAAUCGUGCCCCUUUGACCGAUAUCAAAUCUUAAUUGCUGUCUAUGGUGAUGUGAAAAGAAUCUGUGGGUCCAUGUAAAAUGUAAGCUCUUUUUCAUGCUGUUGCCAAGCACGCGCCUAUUUAUGGCCAUCAAAAUUUUUGGUGCUGUCCACGCACCUUUUUUUUGGAUGUCUAUGUAUUGCUUUUGUAGUUCCAUCAUACUUGUUUUUUAUUUUAUCAAUGUCUCUUUUGAGGCUACAAAUGGAAUGUUAGAGAAAAAAAUUGUAGUGUGACUCAAAUUUUGGGACAUGAAAAAAGGUGAACUAUGACAAUAACAAUGGGACGGAGGGAGUAGUUUAUUUGUAAAAGUAUAGCAAUUCGAGAUGUGCAAUAUAAGUGUGUAUGCGUAUUUAUGUAGCAAUUUAGGUGUGGUCAUUAGCAAAAUUUUUCCUAAUUAAGCCUUUACUUAGUAACUGGCAUUUCUCGCCAAAUAUAGAUUGCGUGCCAUUAAAAAAUUCUUCAAAGGGCGGUGUGUCUUUUCACACUGACCUUAUCAAAGACGCGUCCCAUGCUGGUCGGCCGUGACUUUGGUGAUUAGGUCCGACAAGUAAUGAAUUUACUUAUGGGGUACGUCACCCCAUUUUUAGGCCUAUAAAUACGAGGAGCCUGUUUCGUUAUUUUGAUGUGCCAAACUCAGCUACAAAGUUUUCGACAGUCACAACCAGUUACAAAUAUCCAUUUUCGUUCAUAUUAAUUAGCUAGCUAGUUCUCCAAGGGAAAAAAUGGCUGAAGCCAAAUCUGCAACUGUUACUGAUCAGGUGAAUAGUGAUUCGAUUGCCUAGCCAUACCUAGAUUUCCUUCUUUUUCAAGUUUGUGUGUGGUUUUGAGAAUCAACUCAUAAACAACUUGUAUUUGGAAAAGUAUGAGGAGUUGCAAGUUAAAGUAAUUUCAACGAUCUUGAAUUGUCUUAUUAACUGAUCGGAUUUAGUCUUCUUCUGAUUGUUUGUUUAUUUGAAGGGAUUCUAAUUGAUUUUGGGAACUCAAUUGUUUUGCGAUUUUCUUACUGGUUAAAAUGUUUGGGAUUUACAGAUCGACAUCAACUCAAUACAACCAGUGGCGCCGGCUGACCCUCACGUGGUCGGGAUCGGACAAUUUGUAGUGGAAAAAUUUCACCACGGCAAGCUGCAUUUCAUCGCCGUGAUUGGCGGAUUCACUUGGAAUUGUGAAGGAGGCAAGUACUACGCACUUAUCAUUCAAAAUCAGGAUUAUGAGGGCGCCACAUUUAUCCAUAAAGCACUCGUUGUUGAGGCCAAAGGUGAAACGAAACUCCUCUGGCACAGGAAUUAAUCAAGCACUACUAUUGAUCAGCUUAUGCAUGGAUGAUGUACCGCUGUAUUGUACUAGCAUCUUUCCACUGUUGUACUAGUAUGUUAAAUAAGGUGCACUUAUACCAACAAAAUGCACCAUUCCGUCUAUUUUUUAAUUUGUAUCCUUGUAAUAACAUGUAAAAGAUGCACUUUUACGAACAAAAAUGUAGCAUUAAAUGAAUAAAAACAAUAGUCUGUUUUUGAGUUUUAUCUGUAUAUUUUGUUUCUAUGUUACUUCCAAGCAUGUUCCGAUCCCUGAAUUUGUAUGUCAACUACGUACUAUGUUCAUGACUAGUUAUAAAGUCUCACUGGUUAAGUAAUAAAGCAUAUAAAAGAUUAGGACAAUGCUUUAGUAACGAUAGUUAUCGUAACGAAACAGUUUUUUUUUACCUAAUAUAACAGGUUGUUGCACUUUUAGCGACCAUUUGAUUAUUUGUUGAACCUAUCCACCUAAAUAGGAUAACACCUAAAAAUAUGGAAGUAAGUUUUCCAUAUAAAAUAGUAAGUUAACCUUAAUAGAUUAGUAAUUUUUAUACCUCAAAAGGUAAAUUGGAAUAAAUAUUAAACUUACUUUUUAAAUAAAUAAAUUACUCCUUUAUAUCCCAAACUUACUUUUUAGAGAGUAAGUUUAGUUCAAUUAACAGUAAGUUUUUAUACAUAAAUAGUAAUUCUUACUAAUAACAUGGUAAAUUUGAUUAAUGAUCAAAAUUUACUGAUUUUUGGAAUACAUGUACAAUUUUACAUUAAAAACUUAUCUCAAACUAGUAUUAGGAAGUUUAUUUGAAAUAAUGAUAAGAUGUUUUAUUAAUGAUUAAAACUUAGUAUCUUAGUUAGUAAGUACUCGUAAUAUACCCGUAUAAUAAAUGAUUAUAGGUAUAAUUUAAAAUUUUUUUGUAUUUAUAUAUUUUAAAAUACUAUGAAAAGUAGUUUCAUUUUUCAGAUAACCUUGUAAAAUAUGUAAUAAAAUUUUGUCAUAUUAUAAGUUUUUAAUCAUUUUCAAUUUUUGAAAAGUUUGAAAGUUUGGAUAACAAUAACAACAAAUCUUCCUAAUUAUAUAUAGAAUAUCACUUGUUUAUAUAUCUCAAUUUUUAUAAUUUAACACCUAUGAAUAUAAUAAGAUGAUAAAGUUUUAAUAAAUUUACAUUUGGGACACAAGAAUUAAUAAGAGUUAAAGUCCAAACAAAAUGAGAGAGAGUAUAACAAUAAAAAUGACAAAAUUAGUAUAACGGUUAAUAUAAGAAAAUCAGUAUGAUCUGGACUUUUUUCCUUGGGAGAUUAUUCAUAAAAAUAAGAUCCAAAAAUUAAAUGAAAAUCACUUGCACAUAUAAUCUAUUGUAUAAUUUAAAUUAAAUUCAGUUCAAGUAUAAAACGGUCCUAAAAUAAUUAGCGCACUAUGAUACAAUGUUAUUUUAACAACAAAAAUUUUUUUUACUCAAAGUCUCAAAUAUCCAUGACAUACAUAUGAGGGAUAUUUUACCAUAUUUGUAUCUAACUGUAAGCACAAAUUUUGUUGCCCAAAAUAAAAGACACGAAAACCUACACAAAUGUCAAAUUUAUUAAAUCAAAUAAUAAGUGAGUUACAAUCUCUAAAAAUUAUUUUUUAUUUUGAUAAUUACAAUCUCUAAAAAUUCUUGAAUCAAAGAAAUUAAUCCCCUAAUUCUUCUCUUCGAAAGCACUCCUAAUUAAAGCAUAAUAAAAUCAAGUUUUUUUUUUAACUUUUUAAUGUAGUAGUUAUAUUUACUAAAAAAUUAGUAAACCAUUCCUACAAUGCAUUGAUUCUCCUAAAAGUACUAAUAUUUUGUAAAUAAAUUGACAUAAUUUUGUAAAAGAUUUUAUGCAUUUUCAUUAAUAUAAUCAAGAGAAUUUUGCACCUUUAAAAUAUAAAUAGAAAGAAAGGAAAAUGGUAUGAGUAUAAAGGUGACCAAAUGCAAUAUAUAUCACAUCAUGUGUUUAGAUAUGAUUUGUUAAAUAAUCAGUAAUUUAGUCCUGGUCAAUAUAUGAUGCAUAUUGAUUUCUUAUAAAUUAAAAUAUAAUUUAACAAUUAUGCAUUAACAGAAUUCGUAGUUUGAAUGCAAUCAAUUGAGCACCUAUUUCCUUUUUUUAAGAAGCUAUUAUUUAUUUUAUUACUUAGGUUAUAUAUUUACAUGUAAAAUAACAACAAUAGCGUGCCAAUCCUCGGACCAACAGAAUUUCAAUUAUUGUUAACUAAACUAAUUUUACAUUGAUAAAAAUUAGUCUAGAAAAUGAAAUGUUAAUGGCAACAAUUGGUAACAAAUAGCAAUCUUUUAAUUUUGGGAAAAUAAAAAAUAAGUUCCCAAAAGUAUUUCACUUUUAUUUUAAAAAAAAUCUCAACUUGUUAAUUAAAUUCAAAAUGAUUUUAUUAUAAGAAAUAUUCUUCCUCAAAUUAACAUCAAUGAUUAGACAUGAGAUACAAAUAUGGAAAAAAAGAGAUAAAAAUAUGGUAAAAUAUCUCUCAUACAUAUGUAAUGGAUAUUGGAGACUUUUGGCAAAAAACAUUUUUGUUGUUAAAAUAAUAUGUAUUGUAGUGUGCUAAUUAUUUUAGGAUCAUUUUGUACAUGAACUAAAUUUAAUUUAAAUUAUACAAUAGAUUAUAUAUGCAUGUGAUUUUUGUUCAGUGGUUGGAUCUUAUGUUCGUGAACAAUCUUCAGAGAAAAAAAUUCCAGAUUGUACUAAUUUUGUUAUACUAAUUCUGUUAUUUUUAUUGUUGUAUUAAUUGUUACACUAUUUCACUCAUUUUGUUAGGUCUAUAUUAAUACAAGUUUAAUUCUUAUUAUUUUUUGUGUCCCGGACAAUAAAUAUAUUAAAACUUUAUCAUCUUAUUAUAUUAAUAGGUUUUAAAUUAUAGAAAUUACUUAGAUAAGUAAUGUUCCAUAUAUAACUAGGAAGAUGUGUUGUUAUUAUUAUCCAAACUUUUAAAAUUUUCAAAAAUUAUUCAAAAUUAUAAUACAACAAAAUUUUAUUAUUUUAUAAGGUUAUGCGAAAGGUCAAAAUAUUUUUCACAAUAUUUUAAAAUAUAUAAAUACAACAAAAUUUUAAAUUAUACAUAUACUUAUGUAUUAUACAAGUAUAUUACGAGUACUUACUAAAUAAGGUGUUAUGUUUUAAUCAUUAAUAAAACAUUUUAUUGUUAUUUCAAAUAAACUUCCUAGUAUUGGUUUGGCAUAAGUUUUUUUAAGCAAAAUAGUACAUUUGUGCCAUAAAUUAGUAAGUUUUGGUCAUUAAUCAAAUUUACUAUGUUAUAAGUAAGAAUUACUAUUUAUGUAUGAAAAUUUACUAUUACUUGAACUAAACUUACUCUCUCAAAAGUAUGUUUGGGAUAUAAAAUAGUAAUUUAUUUUUUUAAAAAGUAAGUUUCAUAUUUAUUCCAAUUUACAUUUUGAGACACAAAAGUUACUAAUUAUUACGGUUAACUUACUAUUUUAGAUAAGAAACUUACUUCCUUAUUUUUAGGCAUUAUCCUAUUUAGGUGGAUAGGUCAAACAGGUAAUCAAAUGGUCGCUAAAAAUAUAGUAACCUGUUAUAUCAGGUAAAAACUGUUUAGUUAUCAUAACUAUAGUUACUACAGCAUUUUCCUAAAAGAUUAAUUGAUUUAUUGAGAAUAAGAAAUGCGGAAAAGUUUUAAGUUUUUUCAAGUGGCACUCGUUCUUCUUUCAAGCAUAUUUUGGAUGUUCUUCAUAAGUACGAAAACUGUUCAGGCCAGCAAGUUAACAUAAGCAAUAGUUGUUUCUUGACCCAUCAACGGUUUAAUGUGGCACGGCGACGAAUAAACACAAGUGUUACGGGGUUUUCUUGUCAAGUUUUUGGGUUGUCCGCCAUAUGCAGGCCGUAGGAAAAUUUCCUAUUUUCGACAUCAUGUCAGGCCAUUGCGGCUCAGAUUCUCUCUUGGAAGAGUAAAUUCCUUUCUCAUGGUGGCAAGCUGCUCUGGAUUUUUUCUGGGGUUCGUCAGAGGAGCAAAGGAACAUGCCGGUUUCUAUCUCGGAAUGGUCCUAGCUAGUUCAUUGAUCCAGGUCCCAGAGUAGAGCUCUCUGGUCCUGCCAUCACCAAACUAAGAACAUGUUUCCUUGAAACGCCCAUAGAGAAUGCUUUCUAGGAUCAACCAAAAAUGAUAAUAAUAACAGUAAACGUACCUCCAUUUGGCCAUAAAACACGAGGCUUGUUAGAAAGAUUUUCGGACUCCGCAAAAUAGUAGAAGAGAGCUUUACCGGUCUUCGGAUCAACAGUAACAUACCCUGAAUAUUGAUCAAACUUUAACCCUUUUGGUAGCCCCGGCAACGCUACUACAUUGUCAGCCGCCUUCCAAACCCUCUUGAGGACCAAUAUAAACUGGCGUGUUCUCAUGCCCUGAAUCCUCAUCAUUUACGUAAUUGUCUACUUGAUGGGUGUCGAAACCACCAAAAAUAAAAUUCCUACUCCAAAAAGAUAUACUUUUGAGUACAAUGGUGAGUGGAGUCAAAAAAUAAUAAUGUAAAAUUAAAUAAAAAUAAUUCAAUAAAAGAUAAAUCUCUAGUCAAAGGUCUGAUGUAAGGAAUAAAAUCACUUAUUUAUAAAUAAACUGGUUAUGAUUGUUAUAAAUUCUGACAACCUACCAACUAACUCUCUUUGCUGCCCUCAAUAACCACAACAACCUCUGUGAUUAUUUCUUUUGCCAAUUUAAAAACUCUAAACAAGCUCUUAACAUUUAAUCCAUUGACAACAUUAACUAUUAGAAAAGCUAUCGGUUCUAAUUAACAAACACAUAAGUUUGGUUUAUUUAUACUAGAUUGUCUAUUUUUGUGACAUAUAUUCAAAAAUUUCUACUACAAUCAAAUUAUAUCACUUGCCACAAAUACUAAAAUCAUCAAACAAUUACUGAUUUAACGAUUUAGAUGGCAGUAGAGUAUUUCGACAAUUAAAUAGUGGCCAAUUAUUUGAUCAUAUAAAAUAAUCAUAUUAGGAACGAAUAGAGAAUAUAUAAAUGCUUAUAAAUAAGUAAAACAACAAAAAUAAAUCAGAUAUCACAAUAUUCGAUGAAACAAAUUUCAAUUAUUCUUCAACUAGAAAAAAAAAAUUCAGCCACUUCUUAUGUUACAUUUGCAGCCAAAGAAAACUAUAGGUUUUAUUGGGGAAAAAAUACGGAAAAAAAAAAGGAAAAGCAAAGAGAGAAACGGCAGGAAAGCAAAAGAGAGGAGGUCCCUUGCUUCUGGUUCCUUCCGUCCAAAAACAAAACUAUCGUUCUCAAAAUUCAUAACUACUAAUCUAAAUAGCACCUACCGUUCUCAAAAGUCAUAACUACUAAUCUCAAUAGCACCUACGUUUCCUGGCACUGAAGGAAAAUGAUUCCUCCUGCUAAAGAUGUGGCCGCAUGUCCCAAACUAAGGGGUUCACUUUCUUUUUUUAUUUGAAGCAUGGGGUUCACUUUCAAUCCCUCCAAAUUUGGACUUUGCAGCAGAAUAAAAUGUGGCCGCAUCUUGUAAAGUCUAGCCUUUGAAAAUUCAGCUUUUAAUGCAUUUUUUACUCCCUUUUCGUCAUAAAUUUCUAACAACAACACCAAAAAUGAUAUAUGAAUAGAAUCUAACGAUUAACACCAUAUCAUGACAAAAUAAAAGGAAAAAUAUUCAUAAAUUAAGCUCAAGAUUAACCAUCUAACACCAAUCCUGUUGACCUAUGUGCUUGGAGAAAUUUUUUGAGAGUCUCUUGACCUUUUCCCUGGUAACAUUGUACAAAAAUAUAAGCAGGCUUACGAGGGCUAGAGAUAAGAUGAGUGUGCCAUUCAUCCUUGACACAUAUAGGUCUAUAACCUGUGAACUUGGUUGUUUCACCAAAACAACUGAUCACCUCUAUUUAUAUUGAGAUUUCGAAACAAAUUGUUUGCCUUUUUCAUAUUUAUAAUUCACCCUUCUGCCAUUUAAUAAAUGGCUUUCGCUUUCAAAUUAAUCAAAAUGAAUUUAUCUACACGCCUUGCAUUUUGAACUCGAUUUGGCAUUUUGAGACCCAAGCCCAUUUCAUUCCUACCCAUUUUUAUUUCAUCAUGCUCAAGGGCUUUGAAGGCUUUAUGCCAGUUUAUUUGUAGCCCAUCCUCUUUCUAGGGUAGACAGACAUCUCACUUUUUCUGAGUAGUGAUGCUUGAAUUCCCUAGGCCAUACAAAAGAGGAAAUAAGACUUCCCACUUUCUUUAGAAUAUCUUUGGGUAGUAUAAAGGUUCUAGUCCAAUAAAAGAUCAAUUUCUGGAUUCGACAAGCAGCAAUCUUCCUCUGUAGAUCAAUUUCUAGUUGGCCCAACCUUGAAUCUUGUACUGCAACUUAUCAAAGGAUGGGCUGACAGUCCUUGAAGCAAUGAGAAGCAGCCCAAGGUACUUUAUAGGCAAGUUGCACAGAGGCAUGCCCACAACGUUACAAAGAUCAGUGCCAACUUCCUCAGUAACAAAAGCCGCAAAAGACCUGGCAUUUGAUUAGAUUUGGCUGGAGUCCUGACAUCUGCUGAAACUCAUCCAAUGUUUGUCUUACGACCACAAACGAUUUGUUAGUUGUAGCAGAAACAAGAAAUAGGUCAUAAGCAAAGGCAGCAUGGACAAAUUCAGUUCCCUGCACUUUGGGUGAAAUUCAAACCCCAUACAUUUAAUAUUAUCAAUAAAUAACAUUGAGAAAAACUCCACAGCUAUAAGAAAAAGAUCAAGGGGAGACUGGAUCCCCUUACCGAAUGUCCCUCUCACUUCUAAAAUAUCCCACCAAUGCUCCAUUGAGGUUGAUGGUGAAAUGUGCAAUAGAUACACAAUUUCUAACCCCAAGAGAUAAAUUUUUCUGGAAAGUGCAUAGUAUCCAUUGCAAGAAAUAAGAAAUCCCAAUUGAUUGUGUCAUACGCCUUUAUCAGGUCUAUUUUCAACACUGCACGAGCUAAUCCAACUUUCUUGCAGUACCCUCUCACCAAUUCAUACAUUACUAGUGUAUUAUCUGCUAUACUUCUUCCUAUUAUAAAGCACUCUGAUAUUCACCAAUGAUUCGACGAAUUAAACUUUCAACCUAUUAGUUAGCAAUGCUAAAUCGCAUUUACAUAGCAAACAACAGCAGGCUAUAGGCUUGAAAUCCCUCAUUUGUGUUGUAUUCUGCAACUUUGGGACCAGUGUAAUUAUAGUACUAUUUAAAGGAUAAUGCAUAUACUUCUUGUCAAAACAAGAUUGAACAUCUCGAAUUACUUCAUCACCAAUUACAUGCUAAUUCUUCUUUAAAAAAAUUGUGCACUAAAGCCAUCUGGGCUUGGAGCUUUACCGUCCUUCAUAGUAAACAUAGCAUGUUUAAUCUCUUCAGCUGACACACUAGCCUGGAGAAAGUCGAAUUGAUCACUAGUGAUGGUUUUGGCAUUUAUCUGUUGCAGCUUGCCCUUCAAAUCAGGGUACUAAGAGUUAGAUUUACUGAACAGAGUCUGAUAAAAUUCCACUGCAAUUUCUUUAAGCUCAUAGUCCUCAACAAUAUCACCUUCAUCAUUCGAGAGAGAAUCUUAUUCCUGGCAAACAUGACCCUUCAUCUUUCUGUAGAAAAAAAGCAGUAUUUUUGAUAGGGUAUGAAUUGCAUUAUCUUUAUAUGUACAAAUUGCUAGUUAACGGUGAUAGUUGAGCUACAACUUGAAUAGAAAUUGUUUAAUUUUGAUCUUAUGUUAUUUUAAUAGGUAGAGAGCUCAAUUGGAAAGAAAAUGGACCAAUCUUGGCAAGACAAUCAAGAAAAGCAGCAAUAAAAGAAGAAGAAGAAUGAACAAACAAGGGUUGCUGGAUUACUAAGGAUCCAUAGGCAAAUCCACAGCGAUCUGUGCAUGUAUUCUCAAUAACCGGCUCCAGAUGUCAAAAUGGUCUUCACAUUGAACUUCUUCUGGUUGUUAUGGUUUUGAGCUUCACCCAAUGACCGGCCCACUGAAAUUAAUAAAAGACUUUAAUUUAUUAAAAGAAUUUCUAUAUUUCUUUAUUUUUCUCAAUAUCACGAACAAGAUCUAAUAAUAACAUUAAUUAUUAAUGGAACAAACGAGGGGUUAGGUCUGAGGGUCAAUUGGGCAUGAGAGAGGGGUUGGUUGUUCUUUGAAAAGAUAUUUAUCAUCUGAUUGAUGAGUAAUAAUAAGACAAUUUGCGGUUAAUAUACUUACUAAGUAGGAAUCUACUAAUCUAGGAAUAAAAAUUUGAGUUAUCAAGGUGAGUUUAUGGGCCAAUAAAUAAAAGAUUUUUAUCUUUGAAACCAAUUGCAUUGGGGUGGGACAGUGCAAGAGAUAUCAUACAAAAGAGAUUGAAUCCUCCAAAAAUGCUAUGAAGUGCUCCGAAAUGGUUGAAGUAGUUGAAUAGGAGGAUCGCUAUGACUAUAGCCCUUGGUAAAUUUACCAUAAACGAAAAUGAUUUAUUUGAUAUUAUGGAUGAUUGGUUACGUAGAGACCGUUUCAUUCUUCAUCCGGAAUUGGUGCCUUCACGAUUUUUUUCAACUCCAAGAAGUCUAACCCUAUCCUAUUUGGGCUAAAAUUUUAAGAAACUAUAAAUAGAAGUUAUUUAGAUUAUUUUUAGUGGAAGAAACACAUUAGACUAGCAUCAGUUCAUCACAUAAAACUCUUUCUUGGGAGAUCAAGAAUGGGUUCAAGGCACGGGAUCAAAGAGAAAUCGAGACGGAGAUUGGAGCAAGGAAAAUUGAGAAGUUUUCUUUACUUUUAUCUUCAUACUUGUAUUUAGUCUUUGAGUUCUUGAUUUUUAUAAUGAAUAUGAUGAACUAAUUUGUCUCUAGGGUUGGAUUUUAUUAAAAAGUAUUGAUUAUUUAUUUUAGUUAAAUUCUUUACGUUUGCCUUAAUUUAUCUAUUUUGACUUAAUUAUAUGUUAUGCUUAUCACCAUAGACAUGCUCUUAGAUUUUGUGUUGAACUAAAAAGGGACAUACAACCAUGCAUAAGAUGAAUAGAUAUAUUUAGCCUAAUUAUGAGAAUAGAUUAGAUUUUGUAUAACAUAAUUGAAAUCACCUAAGAUCUUAAAGGGUUUAAUUAAAUAAUUAUGAUCUUGAGAGAGAUGUAAGAUAUAAUUGGGCACAAUUUAGAUGUAUUAAUAGAUAAUAUAAAACACCUUUGCAUGAUACAUUCUUGGCAUGUUAAUAAAUUAGUUGGAUAAUUAAUUCAAAUUCUGGAUCAAAAUCUAAAACUCUAGUCUCUUGCCAAUUAUUUUCUCGCAUCUAUUUUAUUUGACUUGAUCAUUUAUUUUACCUCUUAAUUAGAAAUUAAAUCCUUUAAAUUUAAAUUUCAUUGUCUUCUCCUAAUAAUUAUAGUAGAGAAAACACUCCUAACCUAGGAAAAGUCAAUUCAAAAGGAGAAUGCAUGACUGAAGCGAAGAAAUAGCUAGAUCUGAGAUGAUUUUAUUAUACAAUCGAUCCUAUGCAGUAGCAGAAAUAGCGGAUCAAUUUUUAUCACCAAAUUGUUGCCACUACACUCUGGGCUUAUCCUUAUAGAACUCCUCUUCAGCGAGAAUCAAUCUUGUGUAUUCCUAGAUAACAACUUUCUCUGCAGCAAUUAACUCCGGAUCAAAAGGUUGCUAUUGCAUAUGCUGCUGCACUAUUAUCAGUUGCUUUUUUUUUUUUUUGCUUUGAACUCCACCAGAGAUGUGGUUAUAGUCUCUUUUAUUCAGCUCUUGAAGCUUACCCAUAAGCUGUUUUAGUUCAAAACAGAUAAGCUGUAUGGGAUUUAUUAACACUCCAGGAUCAGCUUGCCAAGAAUCCAACAGGACAUCAAAAAACUCAUGCUACAUCCAAAAGCUAAUGAAUUUAAAAAGCUUUGGCCCAAAGUUAACUUGAUCUGGCUAUGUAUUCAGAUUGGUAAUGAUGCGACCAAAAAUUGUUAGUCUUAAUGUUUGGAAAGUGCUACUCUUUCUCAUAUCUAUAGGAUUGCAAAGGAAUAAAGUUAUCUCGGUCAAAACUUGUGUAGGGUAUUUAGAAAUUUAGAAAUGUAAAAUUUGAUUACGUAUUGAGUUUAAUUUUGUAUGCAUGCCCCAUGCACAUCAAGCUCUAUUCCAUAGUUUGAAAUAUGUCAAUCCCAGACCUCCUUCAUACUUUGGUUUACAAACUUCUGCCCAAAUAACUUUUGCGUGUGUCCUCACUCCUCAGCUCCACUCCAGACCAUAGAAAGGCAUUCAAAAUACUCUCCACCUUUGCAACAGACAACUUGGGGAGGACAAAUAAACAAAAAGGCUAUUAAGUAUAAAUUCAAGUAAAAUGAGCCUUCCUCCAUAAGAGAGUUUCCAAGCUGCCCAACUUUUAAUUAUAGCCCCUAUUUUAUCAAGAAUAGGCUAGCAGUCAAUAGCACUUAGCCUAGUAGAUAUUAAAGGAACACUUAGGUAUCAAACUAGCCAGUGUCCCAAGCGAAUCCCCACAGCUUCAUUCAACUUCACACAUUGCUAGUUAGAUAUACCGGCUGCAAAAAUCUCUGAUUUAACCAGGUUUGGUUGAAGACUCGACAUCUCAGAGAAUUCUUUCAAAGUGGCCUGAAUCACAUAUCAAUUUUGAGUCUAUUUGUAAGAUUAAUUGGUAUAAAUUGUCCAUUUUAUGUCACUAAUUUGCACCUUAAGUGAUUAAUGGAUUAGUUGUGAUUUUAUCAUUUCACUUGCAAAAUUUCUUUGGUUUUGUAGGAAAAAUGAUUAAGCUUAAUUGGACGUGCAAUGAGCUGGGAUGAGAAGCUUAAGGAGUCACAACAAUGGCUAAAAGAAUGGUGCAAGGAAAGCAUGAAGCUUGGAAGAAAAAAAGAAGGAAACAAAGAAGAAAAAAAAACUAGAGAGAAACCACGCCGUCUACGGUUUCUCCCACAGUUUGUGGCCAAUGAAUCAUUUCGUAGCAAAUCAUUUGUUCUGCACAAUCCCUGGGAGAAUCUCUCGAGGGAUUUGAUCUAGGAAUUCAUGGUAGCUGCAACUCACCAACUUGCAUGGUUUUUCUUUCUUUUUUUUUCGUGGACAAGACUCAAAAAGACAUUUUGUACCAACUUUUGGAGGAUCUAAGAGUUUCUUUUGUUGACUCUUAACAAGGAAGAAACACGUUAUUGGAGAGGGAGAUUAGUUCUUGACAAGAGAGAGAGCUUUUUCUUCUCUUUUUUUUUAGUUUUAGCUUAGUGUUAGUUUUAGAUCUAAUUUUCAUUUUUCUCUUCAAAAACUUGAAGAGCUCUUGAUGAACAAUGUAUUUUUUAUUGCAAUGAAAAUGAUGAAACUUGAAGAUCUUGUUUCUUCACUUGAAUAAGCAUUUCUUUCUCUUUACUCUCUUUGUUGUGCCAUUAAUGCUUAGUUACAUUGAAGACAUGAGUUUUAUUAUUAAAUCUACUAUGUCUAGCUAAAUCUUCUUGUUUUAGGGGUAGAUGAAGCUAUUUGUGCCUUGAUUAUGAUUGAAUAAAGUUGAUUAUUGCUAUAUCUUGUACUUGCUAGUUCACUUAUUUUUGCUUUAACACUUGUAAAUGCUUGAUCACCAUUUACAAACCAUGAUAGUUGUUGUUAAUCUAUGAGAAUAAUUAACAAUGAUGAAAUAGAAUAGGUGAACCUAAUGAGUAGACACACGAAAAUAAUGGUACACUUAGGUGGAUAUUUUUGGCAUUUCUAGAUCUAGAUUAAGUCUUCACUUUAGAUUUCACCAUGAGAGUAGGGAAAGUAUAAUGUUGGCUAAGUUCAGUUCAUUGGCGAGAACGAGUUCUGAAGACUUGAGUGAAAUACAUCCUUAGCAAGACAAAAGCAUGAGUGAUAAUUGGCUAUUUCAUCCAUAGUUAGGUACAUUUAGUGGAAUCUAUACCCUAGGACAUUUGUCUUUAGUUGAGUUUCUUCAAGUUGUUAAUUUGCCUUGCAUUAUUUUAGCUUUUUGAUGGUUUCACUUAGUUAAAAUUCUUGAGUAGUUUAGAUAAUAAAGUGAGCAAAAAACCUUAGUAGUUGAGAGUGAUUCUCGUGGGAUUCGACCUUAUUUCCUUUGUACUACAAUACACGAUCCAUACACUUACCGUUAACAAGGGAAUUAGGUUUAAAAUUAGAGUGCAAGUAUAAAUCUCGUCAAGGAUUUAUGAGAUGGAAUAGCCAUAAUGAACAAAUCAUCAGCAAAGGAAAUAUGGUAUGAUUUCAUCUCUGAACAUCUGGGGUGGUAUUCAAACCCCAUCUCUUCAAUGUUUGCAUCCAUGAUCUGAGAAAACGCUUCCAUUACUACCAAGACAAAGGUGAGUAGAUAUAAAAUGUCCUUGCCUAAACCCUCUACAACUUGCAAAUUAGCCAUUUAGGUUGAGAGAGAAUCUAGUAGUCAUAGCACAGUUUUUUGCGCAAUUAAUAAGGUAGAGGAGAAGUUCAUAAGUUUGAGAACUGUGAAAAAGAAACAGCCAUCUAACUGUAUCACAUGCUUUCGUGAUGUCAACUUUCAGAACACAUCUUGCUUUUCUCCCUUUCUUAUGAUAAUUUCUCACCAACUCUGUUAUUCUUGAUUUUGAUGAUCACAAAGCAUUUUGAAAUGUUUAUCUAAUUCUCUUCAAAUAUAAGCGUUUUGCUUUUUAGAGAAUCAGGUACAAAGGUGUCAAGGAAAGAAAAUCAAUCAAAAGAAGAAGCAAAAACAGGGCACUCAUGUCGGACGUCCGAAAGGAUGAAGAACAUCAAGAAGGAAACUCUGUCGGACGCUCGUGAGGAAGCAUCGGACGUCCGGGAGGAUCGGACGCACGCCUCGGAUGCACAUCGAUCGUGUCGGACGUCCGAAAAAUUUCGCAAAGUCUUGAUGACUCUCUGACGACGUUCGGAUGCAGAAGCUGACGGACGAUAAAAAUCCCAUUGGACGUCCGAAUGACAACUUGGCUGAUUUUCGGACGAUGGGAUCGGACGAUGACUAAGCUGUCGGACGUCCGACAGCCCCAACGGCUAGCUGACUCUUCAUCUGUCUUCUAUCCGUUGGAAGCAUUAAUGAAGCCCAUUUUUGUUCCCCUUUAAAUACAAACGAUUCUGAACCAGAGAGAGACUUUUGCACACUUUGUUUACAAGAUCUCAAGAGAUAUUUUAGCUAGAAAAUAGUCUCCUAAGCAAGGUUUGUUCUCCAAGUAGUGUGAAGUUCUUGUAGCACUUCUCUUGUGUUUGAAAUUUUCAAUAGUGUAGCUUUGUUGAGGGUUUUUUGAGUGAUAGUAAAACUUCCUAACUUGACUAAGUGAGGCUUGGGGCAAGGAGGAAGUGAUCCCUUCAUUGUACAUUGAGUUGAUUAUUUUUCAUCAAAGAGAAGGUGCUCAUCUUUGUGAUUGGUCUUCAAGUUUGAGGAAAGCUUGGUAGACAAUCGGUUUGAUACUCUAUCUUAUUCCUUUUAGUUUAAUAAAAUUCUCAUUGCCUAUAUACAUUCUUAUUUCUGAUCAACAUUGCUCUCUUCUUUAAAUUUAUUUGGCUGAUCACUACUUGAAAAGAAGGUAAAUUUUUUAUUAAAGAAAAAGUGCAUAAAUUUAAUAAAGUAUUUUUAAUCAACCUAAUUCACCCCCCUCUUAGGUUGUCUUUGGGCCUUACAAUUGGUAUCAGACCUUGGUCUCUUAGAGAUUAAUCUCAAGCGGCUUGGAGUAAAGAUGACAACCAAUCAUACCAUGUUUGUUGAGGGGCAAUCUGUCACUAGGCCUCCCAUAUUUACUGGUUCCAAUUAUGUUAGUUGGAAAGAAAGAAUGAUUAUCUUUUUGCAAUCCAUUGAUAUUGAGCUAUGGCUUAUUGUGAAUGAAGGAUCGCAUGAUGCUAACGUUCUUGAUGUAGAUACAGGUUUGUUUCGGCCAAAAAUAAGAGUUGAGUUUAAUGCUCAAGAUAGAACCAAUCUCACAUUGAAUGCCAAAGCCAUGAAUGUUCUUUAUAGUGUCUUAGACUUAAAUGAAUCAAUUAGAGUAAAAGGAUGUAAAUCUGUCAAAGAAAUGUGGGAUAAGCUAAGAGAAAUUCAUGAAGGUAGUGACAACGUGAGAGAACAAAAAAAGUCUAUCUUGGUCACAAAGUAUGAAUCAUUUAAAAUAGAACCCCUUGAGGAUAUUGACAAAAUGUAUUGCAGGUUCAAUGACUUGAUCAAAGAUCUCGAGGUGUUGGGCAAAGAGUACACCUUGGGAGAGAAAAACAGGAAAAUUCUCAAUGCGUUGGGCAAAGAAUGGGAAAGUAAAAUGACUGCAAUAGAGAAGGCUAAGGAUUUGAAUUCUGUGCCUAUUGAAUCUUUCAUUAACUCACUAACCUCCUAUGAGUUGAAAUUGAAAACUAAAGUGCAGGAGGAAGAGGAUGCGAGAGCAAAGAGAAACAUAGCUCUAAAGGUAGCUCAAGGUGAAGAUGAUCCAGCUCAGUUGGAUGAUGAAGACUCGGAUGGUGAUGACAACGAUCUUGUUCUCAUCACAAAAAAUUUCAAGAGAAUCUUGAAUAAAAGGAAGUUUAGAAGGGGAGGACCUAGCAAUCAAUUCCAGAAUCAGUCUUCAAACGCAAGGAACAAAGGAAAACAAGAAUUCAACAACAAACAAUUAGACAAAUGCUACGAAUGUGGACAGUCUGGACACUACGCAAACGAAUGCUCCCUGAAGAAAAAGAAAGAUGGAAAAGCUGAUCGAAAGCCAAGGUUCAACAACUUUCAGAUUACAUGGAAUGAAUGUAACUCCGAAGGCGAAAUUGAAGAAGAAGAAGAAUCAUUUCAAAUGGCCUUCAUGGCUAUUGGAGCUAAUGAGGUAACUUCCAUACACUCUCAAUCUGAUAGUGAUGAUGAAGAUGAUGAUGAUCUUGAAUCCUUUGUUGAAAAAUUGCAUAAUGCCUUGAAGGAAUCUUAUGAUAAAAACAAGCAGCUAAAACAGAAAAUUAUCUUUCUCAUUCAAAAUAAUGCAAGUCUUUUUCAACAAAAUAAACAACUAAAGGCUGACAAUGAGUGCCUUGUAAGAGCCGGAUUUGAUGUUCAAAAUGAACUUGAUAGAAAGACAAGUGUUUGUGAAAUGCUAAAGAAAAGACAUGGUGAUUUGAAUAAAAGGAUGGACAAUUUGGAUGAGACUUUAAAAGCUAGAAAACAAGAUUAUCUCAAAAAGAACAUGUCAACCACCUUUCUUUCUGCUCAUGAAAGAACAUUAGCACACAACAAAAAUGCACAUGAUUUUACAACAUAUAGAAGGAGUGGAUUGAGAUUUAUCAAAUCAUUACAUGUUAAAGACUCUUCCAUUAUGUGUAGUUUUUGUUGUCAAAGAGGGCAUUUGAAAGGAGAUUGUUAUGUGAAAAGAAAUCUGAACAAAGGAAUGAGAUGCAUGUGGUUAGUUAGACAUAAUUCUAACUAUUGUGGACCCAAAAGUUAAAAGGUACCAAACACUCUCUCUUUUCAGGGAAAAGGCUCAAACAAGUCCAAAUGGUUCAUUGACAGUGACUGUUCAAGGCAUAUGAUCGGUGAUUCUUCUUUGUUCAUAAAGCUAAAAUCAAAAUCAAGUGGAAAGGUGACAUUUGGUGAUGAUGUGAAAGCUAAGACAAUUGGAAUAGGUGAUGUUGGUAAGGAUUGUGAAACUUUUGUUCAUAAUGUGCUCUUAGUUGAUAACUUAGAUUAUAACUUGCUUAGUGUUAGUCAAUUAUGUGAUAAAGACUUGAAUGUGUUGUUCAAAAAGCAUGAAUGCAUUGUGCUUGACUCUAAAUAUAAUGUUGUGUUCAAAGGUAAGAGGUUUAAUGAUAUUUAUAUUGUUGUUCUUGAUAAACUUGAUUCAUCUAGUUUCCAAUGUUUUAAAGCCUUAAAUGAAGAUCCUUGGUUGUGGCAUAGGAGACUUUGUCAUUUUAACAUGGAAUUACUAAAGAAAAUCUCGAAAAAAGAGCUGGUUAGGGGCUUGCCAAAAAUCAGUUUUGAAAAGGACAAAAUUUGUGAUGCAAGUCAAUUUGGGAAGCAAACAAAGAUUUCCUUUAAACCAAAGAAGUGUGUAUCAACUUCUAAACCUUUGGAACUCUUGCAUCUUGAUUUAUUUGGUCCUACUCAAAUUACUAGUUUGGGUGGUAAGAGAUAUUAUUUUGUGAUUGUUGAUGAUUAUUCUAGAUAUACUUGGGUGAUAUUCCUUGCUCAUAAAGAUGAUGCUUUCAAGAAUUUUACUUCAUUGUUUGCUAAAGUGCAAAAUCUGCUUGGUUUAAAAAUUGUUAGGAUUAGAAGUGAUAAUGGGACGGAAUUCAAGUUUUGUGAUUUUCUAAAAUUUUGUGAUCAUAAUGGCAUAACACAUGAGUUUUCUAUUGCAAGGACUCCACAGCAAAAUGGUGUUGUAGAAAGGAAAAAUAGGACAUUCCAAGAGGCUGCUAGAACUAUGUUGAGUGAAUGUAGUUUGCCAAAAUAUCUUUGGGCUGAAGCGGUAAACACCGCAUGUUAUGUGAUGAAUAGAAUCCUCUUGAGACCUAUUUUGAAUAAAACAUCUUAUGAACUGAUUUUUGAUAAGAAACCUACGGUUGGAUAUUUCAAAAUUUUUGGUUGUAAAUGUUUUAUUUUGAAUUUAAAGGAACAUCUUGGUAAGUUUGACAAAAAAUCUGAUGAAGGAAUAUUUUUGGGGUAUUGUGAAAACAAAAAAGGAUAUAGAAUCUUUAAUAGAAGAACUCUUGUGAUAGAAGAAGCUAUACACAUAACAUUUGAUGAAACUAAUGAUGAUAAUUUCAAAAGUUCGAGUGAGGAUGAUGAUGUAGGUGUUCGUGAAGGAAUGAAAAAGCUAACAAUUGGAGAUGAAGGAAACUCUAAACCGGAAGCAAAGGAAAUGGAGGAUGAAGCUCAUGAAGAUCAAGAAAAAGAAGAUGAAGACAAGAAUGAUGAUUCAUUCAAAGACCUUCCCAAAGUUUGGAAAUUUAGCCAAAAUCAUCCAAGAGAGCUUAUAAUUGGUGAUCCAUCCGAAAAGGUAAAGACUCGUUUCUCAUCUAAGAAAUUGAUAGACAAUUUUGCUUUAGUCUCUCUUUUUGAACCUAAAAAUAUCAAUGAUACCUUAAAGGAUGAAAACUGGAUUUUGGCAAUGCAAGAGGAACUUAAUCAAUUUAAGAGAAAUAAGGUUUGAACACUUGUUGAUAGACCUCAAAAUCAACCUAUCAUUGGCACGAAGUGGAUAUUUAGAAAUAAGUUGGAUGAUAGAGGUGUAGUUGUAAGAAAUUGACGGGAUUUUUGUAUCAAUGCAAGUUUAAUUCCGAUUUUACACCCGUUGGACUGCAAGUAUACAGGUCGCAAUUGUAGUACAAGAUGUGUAUCGGGUCGAUCCCACGAGGAGCAAUUUAAACAAUUACUAAGCCCUUGUUCUCUCUAUUAUUUAGACUUACAAUUAAUUUGAGCAGAGAAAAUCUAAUGCUGUAAUCUACAAAUCUGAUAUACAAAUCUAGUUUAACAAAUGCUGAAUGCAAAUAGAAAAAUUUCACUUAAUGAAGAUUCUAGGGAUGUAGAUUCCACUUAUGGCAUAAACUACACAAAUGAAUGGAUUUACUUCUUGCUAUUAUUCUUGCUUAACCAGAGAUUUAUUUCCAAGAUUACCAAGUCUCAUUUUCAUGAUGAAAUGGCUUAGGGCAAUAUAGAUUUCCCUAUUUUCAUGGUGAAAUACUACUACUACUCCGUUUUAUUUCAUGAAAUGCUCAAUAAUCCACCUAAGUGUAUCUCUAUUUUCAUGAACAUACAACUCAAGCUCUACUCAUGUGUUUCAAUUGUUAUUACCAAUUCUCAUUGAAUAAUAACACUAUAAACAUGCUAUUGGUGAUCAAUCAAUAACAAGUAAUAACAGCUACACAAGUAGACAAGUUAAUACAAGAUAUAACAAGUGUAAAUCACAUUCAAUUAGUAUUAUUUAGCCAUAAGUUUCAUCUACUCCCUAGAUGAAGGAGUUUAGCUACUCAUGAAUGAUUUAACAAUCAAACUCACAAGUUUAUUAAUGCAAAACAUCAUAAAGUACAAGUAUAAGAAAGAUAAAAGAAAGCUUAGCCAAUUGAAGGUGAAGCUCUCCAAUUCCUGCUAUGUUCUUGCACAAUAUGAUUACAAGUGAAACUCUCCAAAAAAUGCUUCUCCAAGUACUCCUAUCUAGAAAGAAAAAAUGUUCCCAAAUGAAAAACUAGCUACGUAUGGUAAUGCUAGGCUUCUCCCUAUAUCUCUGCAUAAAAAACACUCAAAGGCUUAUUUUUCCAAGUCAAAUUCCAACUUUUGAUUCCCCAAAUCUAACUUUGUUAUAAUUGUCAAGCACCAAUGUUUUUGACUUGAAAAUAAGCCACCUUUCUUGCCCUUUUGACUUCUGAAGCAUGUGCACCGAAUUUCCUUGCAUCUUAUAGCUGGAAAGUAGUAUGAACACAAGAGAAAAUGGCUGAGCAAUUUGCAGAAUUUCGGCUACAAAACGCACUUACACAAAACGCGGCUACAACUCGCGUUUUUCUCACUCGCGUUUUUACUUUGACCUUAUUUCAACUGCGAUUUUAUCCAUGAUGCAAGCCGAAUUGGUUUUUGUACAAAACACAAAAGUUGUAACCCUUUGAGGUAGCUUUCCAAUGCUCUAAAAAUCAUCCAAAUCGGAGUUUUUUAGCCUGAGAUAUGAUCGCAAUACUAUCACCUGGUCAAACCCCUGUUUCAGAUUCCGACCACAGGGUGCAGCUUCUGUAUUCCAGAUUUUUGUCCAUGAAGAUGGCAGAACUGGAUUUCAAUGUCUUCAUACAAAUUGUAGAUCUAUUUCUUAGCUUUAAAAUGGUAUAAAGAUCACCUCAAUCCGAUAAGUGUAGCUCCAGAUAUGAUCAAAAUAUUGAAGAGUGUCAAAACUGUCUUGAAGUGCAAUUCUUCACUUGAACGUUUUUCACUUCAUUUUUCUUUUCACCACUUAAAUUCAUCACCAAAUCUCUAUUUUUCACCUCAUUUGCCAUCCUUUGGUGAUUGAGUCAUCAUUCCUGCAUAAAAAUGAAGGUUUUACCAUUAAAAUCACUAAAAAUGCAAUAUUAUCCACUUUUACCAAAAGUAUAUAAUUUUACCAAAAACCUCUUUAUUUUAAUUAUAAAACUAAAUAAUCAACUCAAAAUCAACUAAUAAAAUGCACUUAAAAAUACGUAAAAUAAACUCUUAUCAAAUACCCCCACACUUGAAUCAUUGCUUGUCCUCAAGCAAUAUAAAAUUCCAACCAUCAAUGAUCCAAAAAUUGAAAAUAAACAUAUAUAGUAUUUCAACUCCAUUUCCUUGAAUCAAGGUAAAUAACCCUUAUGUGAUCUAUCCAUUAAGUUCAAGUACUCAUAAUAUCAAGCAAAGAAGAGCCAAGUAUACCAUAAUUUUACCAAUUCAACUCACUUCUUAUUUUUAUCCAAUUUCGCAAGCAAGCAACUCCUAUAGUCAAUAAAGAUGCUAACUAAUCUCAUGAUCAACUUCUUAUUUUUCUUAAAGAGGGAUUUAAUUUACUUUUGUUUUUUUUUAUUAUAUAUUUUAAGGGUUAAAUAUUACUUAAGUUGUGAAAAAUGCCUUUUGACACGAAGAUCAACAUUUUUAGAUGCAGAUCCCCGGUUACUCAACAUUUCACAUACUCAAGUUGCUUUGCAUACUCUUAAUUCAAGUACCUUUUUACGCGACUGUCGACAUUUGUAGAUGUCAACCCCCGGUUAUUCGGUACGAGAAUCAUUGGAGUAGAAUAACCCUUAUUUUUUUUAUUUUUUUUUUAUUAUUAUUUUUUUCAAUAUAUAUAUAUAUCUAAUAAAAUUCCCUCUAAGAGUAAUCAUGAGAAGAGUAUGACACUUAUUAACCAUAUUAAUUUCUUAUCUUAUAAAAUUAGAUAAAAAGAAGAAUUUUCAUCAAAUAUACAAAAUGUAGGCAUAAUUUUCUCCACUUUACUAGAUAUACUUUCCUAUAGAUGUAAAAAUUAUAAUCACAUAAAAAUCAUUUCCAAAUUUCAUGAGAAAAGAAGUUUCAAAAUCGCAUAUAUUUAUUUCAAAAGGAUAAGUGACAAAAUUUUAUUUAUUUAUUAUAGUUAAUAACAUAUAUAUGUAUAAGGUUUUGGAAAAAUUUUGACAGAGUCUCCCCUUAAAAGUGGACUAAAACUCCCUGCCAGCAACCACAAGAAACUCCAUUUAAGCACAAGAAUUAUAUCAAACACAACUAAAACCACAAGUAUCAUACAUAUUUCUCCCCCCACACUUAAAUUACACAUUGUCCUCAAUGUGUAAGGAAGAAAUGAAACAAAAGAAGAAAAGAAAAGAAAGAAGUACUCCCCAAGUCAAUGGCUGAGAUCCUUAUCAGCCACUAAUCACGAACCACUGUCAAAAUACAAGCACCUACCACAUAGAAAACAGAAAAAUAAAAUGAAGUUAAACAUUUUAAGUUCCACAAGUUAAGAUAAUUAGGCAAGCAAGUUCAUCAACUAAAGAUAGCUUCUGCAGUGUGCCAAGUCAGUCAUCCCCCUCGGCAUCAUCGUCAUCCUCUGCAUCACGAUUGGGUGGUGGAUGAAUGCCCAAAUGAUCUUCAAUUCGGCUUAGACGAUUCCUAACGUCAGCGAACUGGAAUGCAAAGUCCUCCAUAUGGUCAAAAAGUCGCUGCCAAUUAGUUUGUGGUGGAGGAGGAGGUGGUGCUGCAGUAGAAGGUCCAGCUUCAUCCCGACCAUGUCUAGCCUUUUGUUUCCGCUCCUGAACAGGGCGUGGAAUGUCUCCCGUGCCAAUACCAAGGCGGCGAAGAGUAGUGAUAGUCAUCUCAGCACGUGGUGGAACAUAUUCCCGCCGCAUGCCUUCCAAGGGAACCUCAAAACGGGGGAAGAUUAAAGUCAGUAGACGAGGAAAUGAAAGUUUGAAGGAAGUUGUCUUACGCCUCGCCGUAGACCUAAUGUGGCUGAUGAUGAUGUUAGGCAAUGAAAUCCGAGCAUAUGGAGAUGUCCGGUUAUGGAACAUGUAAUCCAAGAAAUAGAUAUCGCUCUUGCGGACCUCCGUGUGCCCCGUCUUCUUUGGGAUGACAUUGUGAGCCAUCAUGUAAAUGAUAAGACGAUGACGAGGUUCGAAUACAUUCGCCAAUAUAGUCUCCUUUCUGGUAGAGCGAAAAGGUUGGUACUCGAGACCAAACCUAGCCAUGGCCAAUGAGGGAUCCCACCUCCUAUUCGGGGGAACAAACUCCUUCUUCAAGUCUACUGGACGUCCGUCAUCCAUACACCCCAAAAUAGCAGCCAAAUCUUGCCGUGACAAGGUGAUUCGUCUUCCACGCACCCAGGACUCAACUAUUUCUCCACUAUGGCGCGCCUUACUUUCAAUGUUGGCGUAAAACUCACGCACCAAGUCUGGGUAGUAAUGGUUUGGAAGGGUGAGAAUCGGAGCCCAUCCUAGCUGAGCAAAAGCUUCUGAGAUGUUGUACAUCAUCUCAACUGGUGGACUGACGUGCAUCUCAAACAAAAAUUCCAAAUUAGCACGCGCCUCAUGCCACUCCUGAUUCCUGCGAGUGUUGAACCUAGCACUGUCAAAUACCGAUUUUCCCGCUCCACGGGAGGUGCCCUCACCAGGUCGAUGGUUAACUGGUGGAGGAGAAGGUGAAUUCUCCUCUUCAGUCACCUCCAUCUCUUCAUUAACCUCCCUCUCCUCACUACUAGAGGAUGAAAGUACCGCUCUUCUUCCCCUUGGCAUAGUACCUAAAAAAUAUUUCAAUUAUCCACAUGUACUACAACUCAUUAUGUAGCAACAAAAAUUCAGCAUUAAUCCAAAUAACCUCAAAUACAAUUGCUCAAGUUCUAAUCAUUCAAUGGUCGUACAAGACAUAUUUUCUGCCUAAAGUUGCCCAAAAUCACCAAAUUACACAAGAUAUGUAUCAAUUAUACUUUAAUUAGUGAAAAUAGGAACAAUUAUGAUUAUAACUAUUUAGAAUUAAUAAUAAUAAUAUGCUUUUAGCUAUAAUCAUGUUUAGGCAAAAAUUAAACUAAUUAACUCACCAAAUCAACCAAAUUACCCACUAUACACAAUGCACAUGCUAAAAUAUCAUCAACUAACCAUUCUUAACCAUAAUUAGUUAUUACCAAUAACUCAAAAACAUCCUAAAUCCAUUUUCCAAUUUCCUCCAAAUAUAGCAAUUGUGAAUUUUGAAAGCAAUAAUGACCAACAACUUGCUACAUUUAAACAUGUAAACAUACUUAAACAAUCUUAAUAAGCAUGAAUAAAUUAAAAAAUGGUCAAAUACAUCAUCAAAUUUUUGACAUUAAAAGAUGUCACAUAGCUCAGGAUAAAAAAAAAAUGACUUUCUAAAAUCAAAAGAUUUGAUGAAGAAACUUACCUCAAUCACGUAGAAGGAUGUUUGGUGAUGAUAAAAAUGUCAAAAGCCCUAUGAAACAACCUCCAAUUGACCUCAAAUGGAAGAAAUUAGAGUUUAAGAACCCUAACUUUCAAUCCCUCCAAAACCUGAUUUUAGGUGUUUUUCUUGGAUUCUAAUCGGUUAAAAAGGGUAUAUGAAGCUCAAAAGGUGUUGGGGUGAUGCUUUCUAGCAAGAUUAUGGAGUAAAAAUGAAGAUUUGUGAGUUGCUUAGAAGAGAAGAAGAAAAACGCGCCUGAAAAAUUAAGAAGAGAGGAAAAAAUGAAGCUGAAAUCGCGUUUCUGAAGGCUAUAUUCAGACACAGAAAACGCGACUAAAAACGCGCCUUCAACUCACGUUUUUUAAGUCGCGUUUCCUGUACAAAUAUUGCAGGACUGAAAACGCGACUGUGUUGGAAAACGCGACUCUGAGUCGCGUAUUUGAAGUCGCGUUUUUUGAGUCGAUUCAGGCUUGAAAACGCGAAUUCCAUUAAAACGCGACUUUAGGUCGCGUUUUGAAGGCGCGUUUUCUUCUCUGCAGGUGCAGAAUUGAAAACGCGAUUAUGAGAAAUGCGACUUAUAAGCGCGUUUUCUUGAGAAACGCGUUUUCUGCUGCGAUUUUUAGCAAAAUUUCAACUUUUUGAAAAAUUACAAAUGGUACCCCAAUGACUUAAAAUGCAUCAUAGAUCAUUUGUUUGUCAAUUUUAUUGAUUGGAACAAAUGUAAAACAUUAAAAACAUGCAUUUUACCCCUUUAUAAUGAAUCAAAACACCUUUAACGUGAAUCGAGGGGUUGAGUUGCUUGAUCAAAGUUUGCCCUUUUCACCUCAAAUGGUCAUUCUUGCUUCCAUUUGCCAACCCUAUAACACAAAAACAACAAAUUAACUAAAACACUUAUUUAAGUCUAAAAAUCACAAAAAAUUAACACAAAUAACAUAAACAUUGGGUUGCCUCCCAAUUAGCGCUUUUGUUUAUAGUCGUUGGCUCGACUGAAAAAGUUGAAUCACUUUAGAGCAUUAGGGAGCGAUUUUCUCCCCAUGGGUCGAAACUCCCGAGCCAAUCCACCAUGUGGUGAACCAUGCAUUGAUCUUCAUAGUCCAAUUUCCUCAAAUGCCAAGGAGGAAUAUUAGACUUGUCAUAGAGAGGCUCAACUUCACCUUGGAGUGGAUUUUGCUUGUUUUUGCUGAAUUGGCUCAACUUUUCACUAUUUUCUUCAUGGAAUGGCGAAUUUAUUAAGCCAACUUCCAUCCUUAUCUUCUCCUCCUUUGUUCCUACACCAUGAAAGUUAGUACCAAGGACAUUUAUAAAUUUAACUUCUUCGGUCCUUUCUUGGUUAACCUUUUCAUCAUAUGGCAUAUUAGAAACAAGAGCAGUAGGCUCUAUACUCCCUUCUUUAUUAUCCAAAUUGAAUUCCAAUUCCUCACCAUUAACCCGUAAUAUAAGCUUACCUUUUUCUACAUCAAUUAUAGUUCGUGCAGUGGCUAAAAACGGUCGUCCUAGAAUAAUUGGCAUUCUCACAUCUUCUUCAAUAUCUAAGACAACAAAAUCCACAGGUAUUAUAGAUUGUCUUACCUUUAUGAGCACAUUUUCCAAAAUACCCAUGGGACGUGUGAUUGACCGAUCCGCCAAUUGCAAUGUAAUAUUGGUAGCUUUUAGCUCUUGAAGUCCCAAUCUCCGGGCAACCGAUAACGGCAUAAGUGAUACACUUGCACCUAAAUCACAUAAAGCAUUAGAAAAAUGCAAUUGACCAAUAGUGCAAGGAAUAGAAAAACUUCCCGGAUCUUUCAAUUUAGGAGGGAGUUUAUUUUUAAUCAAUGCACUACACUCUUCCGUUAAUGCUAUCAUCUCAUUAUCUACAAUUUUCCUCUUCUUUGACAUGAUGUCUUUCAAGAAACGUGCAUAAGAGGGAAUCUGUGUUAUAGCAUCAAUGAAAGGAAUGUUAAUGUGCAAUUGUUUAAACAUUUUGAAGAACUUUUCAAACUCCCGAUCCUGUCCAUCUUUCUUCAACCUGUGAGAAAAAGGUAUCACAUUAGAAUUUAAAUGAGAAUUUAAUUUGGGAUGAAGUGCAUCAAUAUCAAUGAUAACAUGAUCAUUUUGACUUUCUUGCUCCCCUUCAAUUGCUUGCUUCUUGUCUUUUUCACCACCUGAAUUUUCAAAAUCGAAUCCCUCAACCGUUUUACCGCUUCUAAGAAUGAUUGCAUUGACAUGCUCUCUCGGAUUCACUUCGGUUUUACUUGGUAAUUCACCAGGGUUUCUAUUGUUGAUCACAUUGGCAAUUUGACCAAUUUGAACCUCCAAGUUUCUGUACAUCCCAGCUAAUUGGUCCAACCGCCCCUCAACUCGCUCUAAUCUAUCCGAAGUCACCUUAGCAAGUUUUUCCACCGCGAUCUCCCAACUUGGUUUAGUUUCAGCCUGGGGUUGCCUUGGUUGAAAUCCUGGCGGAUUGGUUGGCCUUUGUUGAUUGCCUUGAUCUUUCCAUUCAAAGUUUGGAUGAUUUCUCCACCCCGGAUUGUAAGUAUUCGAGUAGGGAUUAUUUGGAGCAUUUCGGUUGUAAUUAUUGACAAAUUGUACCUGCUCAGAAUCAACACACUCAUUAAUAUCAUGUUCACCUCUACAGAAAGAGCAACAAGCUACGUGAGCAUUAGAUGAACUUGGGCUAACUCCACCUUGUCUACUCAAUAACUUCAUCACGUUAUUCAUUUGGGCACUCAACAUAUUGAGAGUGUCCAUUUCUAUCAUACCUGCGUGACGUCUUGUAUUACCUCUCUCAUUGGCCCAUUGGUAGUUAUUUGCUGCCAUUUCUUCUAUCAAAUUAUGAGCCUCUUGGGGUGAUUUACCCAUUAAAGCUCCACCUGCAGCUGCAUCGAUAAUAGUUUUAGUAGAAAAAGCUAAACCAUUAUAGAAGGUUUGUAUGAUUAACCAUUCCGGCAGUCCAUGAUGUGGACAUUUCCGAAGGAAAUCUCUAAACCUUUCCCAUGCCUCAUAUAAUGAUUCUCCCUCCAAUUGACUAAAACUAGUGAUAUCCAUUCUAAGCUUAGCAGUCUUUCCUGGUGGAAAAUACUUAUUUAAGAAUGCUCUUGAUAAAUCAUCCCAUCCGGUGAAAGUAUUAGGAGCAUGAGAGUGUAGCCAAAGUUUGGCCUUAUCUCUCAAUGAAAAUGGGAACAAUCUUAGCCUUAUAGCAUCAUCACUAACUCCAUUCAUUUUAAUUGUAUCACAAAUUUCCAAGAAUGUAGCUAAGUGUGUAUUAGGAUCUUCUACUGCAUUACCUCCAAAUUGAGAUUGUUGAACCAUUUGAAUAAGUGAUGGUUUAAUCUCAAAGUUGUUAGCAUUUACCGAAGGCCUUGCUAUGCUCGUUUGAGAUCCUUGUGUUCCCGGUAGAGCAAAAUCUCGUAGAACUCGCCUAUUUGCUUCGUUUUCUGCCAUUUCUUCUUCAAAUGGAAGCUCUAUUAAGAUUUCCUCUAUUGGUUGCCAAAUCUCUUGUUCCUCUUGUUGUAGUGUGUUCCUCCUUUGUCUAUGUAGUGUCCUCUCAAUUUCUGGAUUGAAAAGUGCAACUUCUCGAGACGCCCGGUGCAUACACUACAAACAAAAACAAGAGAAAUUUUGCAGUUUUAAUUCAACAACUUGAAUAAAAAUAAUGAAAAUAUCUAAAUUAAUAGAGAUGAUUAGGCUCUAAUAUUGCCGCUCCCCGGCAACGGCGCCAAAAACUUGACGGGAUUUUUGUAUCAAUGCAAGUUUAAUUCCGAUUUUACACCCGUUGGACUGCAAGUAUACAGGUCGCAAUUGUAGUACAAGAUGUGUAUCGGGUCGAUCCCACGAGGAGCAAUUUAAACAAUUACUAAGCCCUUGUUCUCUCUAUUAUUUAGACUUACAAUUAAUUUGAGCAGAGAAAAUCUAAUGCUGUAAUAUACAAAUCUGAUAUACAAAUCUAGUUUAACAAAUGCUGAAUGCAAAUAGAAAAAUUUCACUUAAUGAAGAUUCUAGGGAUGUAGAUUCCACUUAUGGCAUAAACUACACAAAUGAAUGGAUUUACUUCUUGCUAUUAUUCUUGCUUAACCAGAGAUUUAUUUCCAAGAUUACCAAGUCUCAUUUUCAUGAUGAAAUGGCUUAGGGCAAUAUAGAUUUCCCUAUUUUCAUGGUGAAAUACUACUACUACUCCGUUUUAUUUCAUGAAAUGCUCAAUAAUCCACCUAAGUGUAUCUCUAUUUUCAUGAACAUACAACUCAAGCUCUACUCAUGUGUUUCAAUUGUUAUUACCAAUUCUCAUUGAAUAAUAACACUAUAAACAUGCUAUUGGUGAUCAAUCAAUAACAAGUAAUAACAGCUACACAAGUAGACAAGUUAAUACAAGAUAUAACAAGUGUAAAUCACAUUCAAUUAGUAUUAUUUAGCCAUAAGUUUCAUCUACUCCCUAGAUGAAGGAGUUUAGCUACUCAUGAAUGAUUUAACAAUCAAACUCACAAGUUUAUUAAUGCAAAACAUCAUAAAGUACAAGUAUAAGAAAGAUAAAAGAAAGCUUAGCCAAUUGAAGGUGAAGCUCUCCAAUUCCUGCUAUGUUCUUGCACAAUAUGAUUACAAGUGAUACUCUCCAAAAAAUGCUUCUCCAAGUACUCCUAUCUAGAGAGAAAAAAUGUUUCCAAAUGAAAAACUAGCUACGUAUGGUAAUGCUAGGCUUCUCCCUAUAUCUCUGCAUAAAAAACACUCAAAGGCUUAUUUUUCCAAGUCAAAUUCCAACUUUUGAUUCCCCAAAUCUAACUUUGUUAUAAUUGUCAAGAACCAAUGUUUUUGACUUGAAAAUAAGCCACCUUUCUUGCCCUUUUGACUUCUGAAGCAUGUGCACCGAAUUUCCUUGCAUCUUAUAGCUGGAAAGUAGUAUGAACACAAGAGAAAAUGGCUGAGCAAUUUGCAGAAUUUCGGCUACAAAACGCACUUACACAAAACGCGGCUACAACUCGCGUUUUUCUCACUCGCAUUUUUACUUUGACCUUAUUUCAACUGCGAUUUUCUCCAUGAUGCAGGCCGAAUUGGUUUUUGUACAAAACACCAAAGUUGUAGUCCUUUGAGUUAGCUUUCCAAUGCUCUAAAAAUCAUCCAAAUCGGAGUUUUGUAGCCUGAGAUAUGAUCGAAAUACUAUCACCUGGUCAAACCCCUGUUUCAGAUUCCGACCACAGGGUGCAGCUUCUGUAUUCCAGAUUUUUGUCCAUGAAGAUGGCAGAACUGGAUUUCGAUGUCUUCAUACAAAUUGUAGAUCUAUUUCUUAGCUUUAAAUUGGUAUAAAGAUCACCUCAAUCCGAUAAGUGUAGCUCCAGAUAUGAUCAAAAUAUUGAAGAGUGUCAAAACUGUCUUGAAGUGCAAUUCUUCACUUGAACGUUUUUCACUUCAUUUUUCUUUUCACCACUUAAAUUCAUAACCAAAUCUCUAUUUUUCACCUCAUUUGCCAUCCUUUGGUGAUUGAGUCAUCAUUCCUGCAUAAAAAUGAAGGUUUUACCAUUAAAAUCACUAAAAAUGCAAUAUUAUCCACUUUUACCAAAAGUAUAUAAUUUUACCAAAAACCUCUUUAUUUUAAUUAUAAAACUAAAUAAUCAACUCAAAAUCAACUAAUAAAAUGCACUUAAAAAUACGUAAAAUGAACUCUUAUCAGAAAUAAAACUAGAUUAGUUGCUAAAGGAUAUGCACAAGAAGAGGGAAUUGAUUUUGAUGAAACAUUUGCUCCCGUAGCUAGAUUAGAAUCAAUUAGAAUGCUUCUUGCUUUUGCUUGCUUCAAAGGUUUCAAAUUAUUUCAAAUGGAUGUUAAAAGUGCCUUCUUAAAUGGUUUUAUUGAUCAAGAAAUAUAUGUGGAUCAACCCCCCGGUUUUGAAAAUACAAAAUUUUCAAGUCAUGUGUUUAAACUCUCAAAAGCAUUAUAUGGACUAAAACAAGCUCCAAGAGCUUGGUAUGAAAGAUUGAGUGGUUUCUUGAUUGAAAAUGAUUUCAAAAGAGGUAUUGUGGACACCACACUUUUUACUAAACAAGUGUUAAAUGAUCUUCUUAUUGUACAAAUAUAUGUAGAUGAUAUUAUUUUUGGUGCUACUAAUGAGUAUAUAUGCAAGGAUUUUUCCACCAUUAUGCAAAGUGAAUUUGAAAUGAGUAUGAUGGGAGAAUUAAAUUUCUUCCUUGGAUUUCAAAUACAUCAAGCCCUAGAGGGAAUUUUUAUAAAUCAAGCAAAAUACACCAAGGAAUUGCUGAAAAAAUUUGGCAUGGAGGACUCAAAACAAGUUGGAACUCCAAUGUGCACUUCUACAAAACUUGACAAAGAUGAAGAAGGUAAACAUGUGGAUGAAAAGCACUAUAGAGGUAUGAUUGGAAGCCUACUCUAUUUAACCGCAAGUAGACCCGAUAUUAUGUUUGUUGUUUGCUUGUGUGCUAGAUUUCAAUCUUGUCCAAAAGAAUCACAUUUGAACGCUGUUAAAAGGAUUUUUAGGUAUUUGAAAGGUACAUUAGACUAUGGUCUUUGGUAUGCUAGAUCUUGUGAAUUUGCUCUAUAUGGAUAUUCGGAUGCGAAUUUUGGUGGUUGUCGUGUGGACAUAAAAAGUACUAGUGAAACUUGUCACUUUCUUGGUAAUUGCUUAGUUUCUUGGUUUAGCAAAAAAUAAAAUGCAAUCUCUUUGUUUACAACCGAAGCGGAAUAUAUUGCCGCUAGUGCAUGUUGUGCUCAACUUUUAUGGAUGAACCAUACCUUGAAUGAUUUUGGAUUGUUAUAUGACUGCAUGCCUAUAUUCUGUGAUAAUACUAGUGCUAUCAAUUUGACCAAAAAUCCAAUUCAGCAUUCCAGGACAAAACAUAUAGAUAUAAAGCACCACUUUAUUCGCGAUCUUGUUCACAAAGGUGAAAUUUGUGUGAAUUAUGUUUGUUCUAAAGAUCAAAUUGCUGAUAUUUUUACAAAAGCUUUGCCACUGGAACAAUUCAUUCAUCUAAGAUCAAAAUUAGGGAUAAUCGAAAAAUCAUCUUAAAAUUUUUCUGUUCUAAGCUUUCGGACGUCCGAAAGCAGAUGAACGGACGUCCGAUAAUGUUCUUCAGCUAUUUUUCCAGAAAGUACCUGUUCGGACGAAACUGUCGGACGCACUACUUCGUUUGGCCGUCCGACAGUGCAACGGUACACUUUUUAAAGUAACUUCCCUCCUCAUUUGCUUCAGACUCUUCUUCUUCUCUUCUCACUCGGACGAAAACUGUCUCCCCCUUUCACUCUCAAUUCAUGCUAUUCUGAAGCACUUAUUCCAAAAUUGACUCAAGCAAAAACUUUUUCGGAUCAUUGCGAGUUCAUUUUCCUGAUCUUUUCACCAAAUCUCAUCACAUUUCGACAGUUCCCAAAUUUCCCUCAAAACCCUAUUUUCUCAUAACCAUUCUGCUCAAUCAUCUUCAAGGCUAGUUUACCCCAAAAUUCUUGUGUGAUUCCCUCCCAUACUACUGUGUGCAUCAUUAGCAUCGUACAUCUCACGCAUUUCACACAAUGGUGAAACUUAGAGGAGGAAAAGUGUCUGCCGGACGCAAACACACACUCAGGGAUGAAGAUGCUGAUUCUCCUAGGGCCAAAAGAUCCUCCAAAUGUGUCAAAAAGGGGGCAGUAAAGGCUCAAACUUCACAGCUGUGACGCCCCCACUUCUCCCUAAGGCGAACCAAAGGGUAUCCGCGGAACGCCUGCCUAACUCUCGCCAGAACUCAAGCAAUUCCAUUCAACUUAUAGCCGGACCACACAAUACAAGCCAAUAACUUAGAUACAAUAAAUACGGAAGCGUUCAAGCUUAAUAAUCGUCAUCCAUUAUUCAAUCCACACGUCGGUAUACAAAAUACAUUUCGCCCCAAAAGUUACAUUUCCAUACCCAAAAGUACAAUCCAAAACCAAAGGCAUAACCAAGAGUAAUAGCAAACCCUAAACAAAAGUACAUCAGGAGGGUUUCUUCAUUUCACCUCCGAGUUCACACCUGUUAAGGAAAACAAAUCUACAGGGUGAGCAAAAACGCUCGUGAGGCCAAGAACACACAUGCAGACACGUAGUCCAGAUAACAACCAAAUAACAAUUCAAGUAAUAGCUUGCAAGUAAUUAAUAAUGCCAACAAAAUGUAACCAGAAACAAUUCAAGGAUAUGGAAGCUCUCAGGAGCUAAGUUCCACAUUUGCCGAUGUCAUUUGUAUAUCUCCCCGUGAUGACUCUCCGUCAACCGGGUUAAUAUUUUCAUAUCCGCAGUUCACCACUUACUUCUCAUCCGUCAACCAUACACCGCUUCGGGCCCGCACGACAUUUAUAAGGCGAUACUUUACGAGUAUGCCAAGCGAGAUCUCUCAAUAGAUCAAGCUUAUCAUGUGAAUCUCAUGGUUCACCGAGGUUCCCGACCAAGCCCAUGCCGGCUCGAGUUCCAAGGUCGGCCUAUGAGUUUGGGCGUCCCCCAUGUAUCAUGUAAAUGUCGAGGAGAUUCACUCCAUCGACGUAUGCAAUCAUAGCAUACCAUGGGAUAUAUUCAAGCAUUCAACAGGUUUAAGCAUGUAUUGUAGGUCAUGUAAACCAGGCAGAACAUGUUAGACAUGAGUCAUUUGUGCCAAAUGAGAACGAGUGCGAUUAAGUACACACUCGACUCCAUUUUUUAAAAUCAAAUAGACUAAGCAUGUAAUCAGGUAAGUCAAGCAUGAAUCAAGACUUUAGAGUUCAAGUAGGCAUACACUUGAGACUCACCAAGUUAUGCAAGCAAGUAGGUUGGAGAGAGAGUUCAAACUUCCACGGUAGGGUCCUCUUGGAGGUCCUCGUGUGUGCCUGAACAUCGAAUAUUAGAUAAUUACUAUAGGUCCCCAAGUGGUGAGAAAGAUUGGACACGAGUAAGGUUCGGAAAUAUUUGAAAACUUCGUUUGACCUGUCUUUGAAGUUGGAUUCUCAAAGGGGUGCAGGACUCAAGUAAAAAUCGGAUUAUUAUCCUUAAAAUCAUUGGUUGGAAUCGAGUACGAGCAAAACAAUUGCAAAACGAACGAUCGAAAUCGAAAGAGGGCAGGCCACGUCACAAUCCGGCCGGAACCUGGCGGGAUUGGAGGCAGUGGCUAACCUCCCUUUUUUUUUCAAAUUUCACCACCAAUCCGGCAGACAAUCCGACCAGAAACUGGCCGGAUUCAAGGCCGGAUUCUGGUGGAAUAGUUCCCGCGUGGAUUUCCUUUGAAAUUUCAGAAUUUUCGAUUUUUGGUCAAAUCUUUGAAAAAUCAUAACUUCUUUUCUACUAGUCGAAACUUGAUAAAUUUGAUACCUUUGGAAUUGUCUUUCAAAGUGCUAAAAGUCCUUAGAAGACACUGUUCCAUGAAUCUAAGUGAAAGGUAUUCAAAAAUGAGCCUAAAGUUGCUGUUCUAGAUUACCAGGAUUGAGCCGGGGUUGGUUUUUCGCUAACUUUGGAAAUUCGGCAAAAAUCACUCGUUGCAAACCGGCCCUUGUAACUUAUAACUCAAUUAGAAGUACAAGUAAAGUUUUGGACAGAAUAAGCGACUCAAGAAUCGGAGUUUCGAGCACCAAGAUAUGGUAGCUCAAAGUUGGGAAAAAUUCAAGACUGUUACAAAAUUUCCAGAUUUGGUUCCGACUUUGGACCUUUUAUUAAGUGUCGAAACGGACUUGGAUUGACACCAAAUUUUGCAGUAUAAUACUUCCAUAUGAAGGGUAUCUCUCUAUCAAAUUUCAUGGAAAAAUACCCUCGUAAAGGUGGUUAAUCAAUCAACCAAAGUUUGGAAAAAUCCUUAAGGCAAUCUGUCCAAAUCUAAGAUUUUCAAAAACGAGGCAGUCGCCGUAUUUUGAUCAUAACUCCCUCAAUUUAACUCGGAAUUGGGAAUGGUUGAUAGUGUUAGAAAAUACAUUCACAGGGCUAAACUUUCACAGAAGAAAUCGUUUCAAGUUUCAGCAUGCAACUGGUUCGAAAUUAAGCCUAAAGUUGCAGCAUUAUCAAAUCAUUUCGGCAGAACGGAGAAACAGGAUAGCUGAAUUCAGAUGAAUGGUACGGUUCACACACAUGGAACCAGAAUGUGCAUUAUACACCGUUGGAAACAUAGGAACGUCUAGUUUCAAAUGCCGCUAACGGCACUCGAUUUCGACGUCGGAGUACGGAGUUAUGGACGAAACAUGAACACUGGUCUGGAUUACGACGAAACCGUUUUCCAGAUUACUAGCUUUGGGAAUAAAUUCGUUUGACCAACCAAAACUCAGUAUUUUUCAAUGAAAAUUUUUACACAACUACUACAACAUAUAAACAACACAAUCAAGCCAUUAAAUCCUCAAAUUUCUGCAUUAAAGUGACCGAACAGAGCAGGGGUAAAAUGGUCAAACUUGGCCAUUGCACUCAACGUGAGUUUCCAGCAGUUUUCCUUCAACAAAUCACUAACUUAAACACUGAUCCGAUAUCAUAAACUUCAUCAAGCACAAAAUCAGCAACAACCCAAGAGUGGGAAUUCAUAGAGCCCACUUUUUUUCCAACAAUACAAGCUACUAAAGUGAAGAUUUCAGCUCAAAUGCAUAAAUCAACCUCCAUAAGACAAGUUUAAGGUAGUUGAUCAUUACCUACUUUGAUGGUUGUUCAAAUCAGAAAAUUUCGGUCCCUUUGAAGCCUGAAGAAAACCGUGAAGCUCCUCCCUUUUUCAGCUUAAAGUGUUGUCCAAGUGUAGAGUUAAGUGUAUGUGAAGUUUUGGUUGAAUCUAUGGAGGUUUUGGUAGUGAUUUGGUGAAUUUGUAGAAGGAAUGGUGAAGCUGUUACGGCUGAAGCUAUCCGUCCAUUGCAGCUAGAAGAAAUGAGAUGCGGUUCUGGUUUCCUUUGCGUACAGAAGACGCUUGACGUCUAAUAUUUUAAAUACGUCAAAUCAAUUACAACUAGUGCCCUACGCGCGCGUUUUGUGUUCGAUUUCUCUUACGUUUGUUGCACUAGUGCACUAAACCUCUAGGGCACUUACAUUCAUAUAACUAUUAUUCAUUCUUAAUUGUCCCAAAAUAAUGGUCCAAAGUCCCUCAAUUAAGCGCGCACGUGAAAACACGUAUUUCUAAUUUAGGCGCAAUAAAAUUGAAACCUUUGAGAAAUUCUUAUAACGAUCGUACCACUAGCUAUUACUUGUGUGUUUAAACCUAAAAUUGUCUAUUUUAGGACCAUUGUAUAGGUCUCAAAUUUUUGAGCCUAUUGUACUCCCAAUUGGCUAAAGUGUUUAGACACGUUUUCACUUUUUCGCUAAACAAACUUAUAAGAAAAUAUUUGUUUAUUUAUCUAUAUUUUUAUUUUAUUUAUUUUUAAAAUGAGACACUUUAGAAAUAUAACGAAACUAUAAAACCAUGUACUUAGGUCUGAAAAGGUUAGAAAAUAUUAUUCGUGGUAAAAAUUCAAAUAGAUAAUUAAUUGAGGCAAAAUUAGGGGUUUUUAAAAAUAAUAAUUUUACGAGUCCUCACGUGAAUUGAGUAUUAAUUCCUCCAUUAACCUUUCUUAAUCUAUUAUUGAUCGUUCUUAAUUCUCCAAUAUUAAUACAUUCCCGAUUCAAGUAUAACCUAGAAAAACGUGCACCCGUCGUUCCGGACUAAACAAAUUUUUGAAAAGCGAAUUUUUCAACAAAACGUUUUAAAAAUAUAAAGAGGCGUCAUUCCAUAUAAAUGGAUUUAAAAUGGUCGAAAUAAAUAAUUCGAAGAAAAUGAGUGAAUAAUCAUUUAAAUAUUCCAGUAAUAUUCUAUAAAAAUAAGAAAAUUUUCGAGUCCUCACAACAGCCUUCCGCUCAGCCUGAAUCCGGACAGGGGACUACCUCAACCGCUCUCCCAAUCAACCACAGUCUCCCCAUUCUUUGAUGAUGCUGCCAAAGAAAAACACUUCUGGAUAUCCCAAAAAGGUUUCAUUCCUCAACGUACCAUAAAUCCCUCUGAAUUUCGCAAGAUAGGUUUAGAAUCCAUUCUGCGUCUAUUUGAAUUCCAGAAAUGGUCACAUAUCAUUUCCAUGCCUAACGUUUAUUACCCUGAAAUGCUAUAUCAAUUCUUUGCCAAUCUUAGGAAAGACACUGACCACACUGAAAUUAUGUCCUGGGUAAAUGGGGUAGAUUUAGUGUUUGAUCCUGAGAUUGUGAAUGCUGUUUUAAAUAUUGUUAUAGAACUAGGAUGCAAAAGUAAAAUUGCCAAUUUCUUUUCUUAUGAAGAGCAUCCCACUGCUGAUAAUCACUUUGAUAGUGCUAAGAUGUUGUCUUAUUUUCAAAAGAAGUUUUCUGCCCCUGCUGAUGCAAAACUAAAUGACCUUACUCCUGUGAAUCUCAUUGCUUUCUCAAUCAUUUCAAAUUUGCUUGUACCUACCGAUGAUCAUAGGACAGAUGCCAAUAAAAUGGAGCUGUAUCUUUUUUAUUGUUUUCGAGAAAAAAUUCGUAUUGACUUUGGCUUUGUCAUGUGCAAGUUUUUAUUUCGUUUUACCACUGAUUCUCGUAGAAAACUGUCUUAUGGAAAAUUUCUUCAGAAGAUUUUUGAGUUUUACAAAGUACCCAUCCUUGGUGCUUGUCCCAAAGAAACGUUUUCUUCUGCCUUUACUAAGGCUUAUUUUGAGCGCAAGAAUCUUGUCUUUAGGGAAAAUAUGUGGGCUUAUAAGGGGGCCACGUCUAAUGAACCUAGAUCUAAGGCUACACAUGAUCCCUUCGCACUUCAUCCUCUGUUGCACUAACUUCUAUUCAUCCUAGGAAGACUGCCACUAAGGCAUCUUCUUCUUCAAAUUCUGAAGUGGUUGAGCUCUUUCGAGAUCUUAAACAACAUGUUCUACUUCUUGAACAUGAUCUCAUGCUCACCAUGUCAUCUGAGCAACAAGCAGACUUCGUGGAUAAAAAGAAUCUUCUCUUUCCCCCACCUGUGGUUGAGGAAGUUCCUUAUGGCAAAGAGCCACGCUCUAAUGAUCCAAGUUCAUCAGCUCCUAUUCGCUCUAUGAGUCCUGCUCCCAUCAACCUCACCUCUACUCCCGUGGCACCUCAUGAUCCUUCCACAUCUGACAAAGGCAAGAAACCAGUUGGUGAAGAUGCUGAAGAUGAUGAAGACACUGAGGAGGAGGAUCUCUCUCAGUAUCUGCUUACUCGAAGGACGCCUGGGUCCACUUAGUUUACCAUUUAGGAUCACUAGCCCUAUUAGGAUCAUUUGCAUUCUGUUUGACUGUUUUCUAUUUACUGGAUGUUAGAUGGUUGCCUCGGACUCUUUUGUUUCUUUGAUUCUGGUGCUUGUAAUGUUCAAAACUGGAUAUGUGGAUGUAAUGUUUGUGAUGCUCGUAAGCUAUUUUGUUAAGAAUGUUUAGUUCUUUUUCAUGUUACUGGUUCUUGUAAUGUCUCUUUACCUUUUGACUUUUGUGAUGACAAAAAGGGGGAGAGAUGGUAUCAUAUGGAUAUGGAUAUGUGCGUAUGGAUAUGCAGGAUGUGUUGAAUUGUCUGGACAGUUGGUAAAAUGUCCGGUUCCUUAACUGUUUUUGGAUGAUUGAAUAAAUCUGUGAAGUAGCCAAGUGAGGGGGAGUUUUUCAAUUUUUUGUUCUACGAUUGCAUGAGAAAGGGGGAACCUAUUUAUAAUCAUCAAAUUUCAUUUGAAACCAUUAUUUUGUCAUCAUCAAAAAGGGGGAGAAUGUUAUUCUUGAUUUUGAUGAUCACAAAGCACUUUGAAAUGUUUAUCUAAUUCUCUUCAAAUAUAAGUGUUUUGCUUUUUAGAGAAUCAGGUAUAAAGGUGUCAAGGAAAGAAAAUCAAUCAAAAGAAGAAGCAAAAACAGGGCACUCAUGUCGGAUGUCCGAAAGGAAAAUGUCAGACAUUGGAAAGGAUGAAGAACAUCAAGAAGGAAACUCUGUCGAGCGCUCGUGAGGAAGCAUCGGACGUCCGGGAGGAUCGGAUGCACGCCUCGGACGCACAACGAUCAUGUCGGACGUCCGAAAAAUUUCGCAAAGUCUUGAUGACUCUCUGACGACGUUCGGACGCAGAAGCUGAUGGACGAUAAAAAUCCCAUCGGACGUCCGAAUGACAACUGAUAGGCUAAAAUUUAUCUAUUUAUUUUAUUUUUAUUUUCCCCUAUUACCUGACUUGAUGUGGAUUAAUUGCUGGAUUCUACUCAUUUUUCUUAAUUUACGUAUAUUUCAAGGAGUAGAACGAAAAUAUGAUAACAGGUGCCAAAUUGACAGGAAAAGAAUUCAGAUGAUAAAUCUUGUCCAAAGGGCACUUUUGGAACGGGAGAUGUCACGCCCAUUUUGGUAAUUUUCGCAAAGGAAUGACGGACGGAGGGCUUCUCUUCCUGCUGUGAGCUGCCGCAAUAAAGAGAAGAAGAAGAGGAUCAGAUUGGGGGCUGGCUUUGUUUUGGAGUUUUUUUCGUCCUGUAGCUAGUUUCAAUUUUGACUUGGCUUAGCCUGGAAUAGCCAUUCUCACGUAUGUGAGGAAAAAGUAGGAUCAGCCUUGACUUUUCCAUUAGUAGCUUUUAGGUGUUUUCUUUUUCUUCUUCCGUCGGAUGAGCCGACAAGCAAGGACAGUCCAUUGUACUCUGCAACUUUACUGUGCUUUAUUGUUUUGACCGGAUUGAAGUUGGGCAUUUCCUGAAUUGAUGGCCGCAGCUCUCUUUACAAUUUCUGGUGGGUUUAGCUCAUCAAGUAUGAACUAACUUUUCCCUUCUAGUCAAGGAGCAACGAAGGCUCUGGUUCGCCUAAAAAUUGUGAGAUCGAUUUAAUUUAAACUUUUCCUUUUAUUUAUUGGUAUUCGCAUAUUCCCUGAUUACUAUGCUUAUGAUUAUUUAAUUAAUUGGUUGUCUUGGAUCCGGAUAAUUAAUUGAUUGGGUAAUCUAUUGUCAAUUGGGGUAUUAAAUCCGUAAUUGUUUAAUUACCUCAAAAUAGUGGCAACUGGCACGAUCAGAGUCGUGUCAGGGGGAUACGCGGGCUAAUCUAAAAUAACCCUGGUAGUGCGUUAUUUGGUCAGAAUAGGGCUUCUCUAAUACGUAAGGCAAUUGGGGAAUUAAAUUCUAUGGGCGUACCUAGUAUUAUUUCUUAAUUAGAGCAGUGAUUAACGGGCGUACCUUGAUCACCGACACAGUAAGGAGGGGUUGACUGACAUCGCUUGUUUGGUAGUUAUAACCUAUUUAUUGAUGAAUAAUUGAAAUUGUCUUUGCUUCAAUGAUCAACUAGGUGAACCAUUGCUGAAGUUAUUCCUUGGCUAGAUCCUUAAUUAUCACUUAUUAGAUUUUAGUAAAUUGUUAUUUAAUUUCUAGUUGGCUAUUUUAUUUUUAUCAUUUUAUUUUUAGUUGAAUUGUUUAAAUUGUCACUCCUGAUAUAAAACACCCCAUUUGUCACUGUGAAUUUGGAAAGGAACAAUUACUCCCAGUCCCUGUGGAUUCGACCCUGCUUACUGCUAUCUACAGAAAUUACUUUUAGUUUGAGCAGGUUUUAUUAUUGCACAGGCUUCGACAACCUGUCAAUUUUUGGCGCCGUUGCUGGGGACUGGCGUUAUUAUUUGUUUCUUUUUAAAUUCAUUUUUUGUCCUAAUUUUCUGAUUUUCUUCUAGUGUAUGUCUCGAUCUUCUCGUACAGGUGAUUUGAUUUUUGACCCUGAAGUAGAGAAGACCGCGCGUAGAACGAGAAAGGAAACCAGACAGCUCAGAGAGGAGCACUCCAGUGCUACAUCUCAGAGACCUGAGUCAGGAGUUGAACCAACAGAUUCAUUUGGUGGCACUUCGAGUGACUCGGAGCAAGAAGAAAUCUCCAUGGCUAAUGCACGAACAUUAAGGGAGUUGGCUGCCCCUAAUUUAAAUCAGCAGCCUUUGUGCAUUACUUUCCCGAGUUUGAGUGAAAACACUUCAUUUGAGUUACAAUCUGGUCUGAUUUCUCUUUUACCCUCUUUUCAUGGUUUACCAGGUGAGGAGCCGUAUAAGCAUCUGCAGGAGUUUGAUGUCGUGUGCAACAGUAUGAAGCCCCCGGACAUUACAGAAGAGCAGAUAAAAAUGAGGGCAUUUCCCUUCUCCUUGAAAGAUUCUGCGAAGGACUGGCUGUACUACCUGUCACCAGGUAGCAUCACCACGUGGGACCAAUUGAAGAAAAAAUUUUUGGAUAAAUAUUUUCCUGCAUCCAGGGCUGCAAGUCUGAGGAAAGAAAUUUGUGGGAUCAAGCAGCAUUCAGGGGAGUCACUCUAUGAGUAUUGAAAACGGUACAAGAACUUGUUGCACAGGUGCCCCCAACACCAGAUAAGUUAGCAAUUGAUCAUACAGUAUUUUUAUGAUUGGCUCCUUUUCGGGGACAGGAGCAUAAUUGAUGCUGCGAGUGGAGGGGCACUGGUGAACAAAACCCCUCAAGAAGCACGGGAGUUGAUAGAGAGGAUGGCAGAGAAUUCACAACAAUUCGGUACGAGGGAGGAUUUUUCAAUACGCAGGGUGAAUGAGGUAGAGACACCCUCCAUGCAGCAGCAGCUAACUGAGUUGACCGCGUUUGUUAGGCAACAGGCUGUGAGAAAUGCAUCACAAGCCAGGGUAUGCGGGAUUUGCACUGGUAUAGGUCACUCUGCAGAUAUGUGCCCAAUGAUUCAGGAAGAAACUGCAGAACAGGUGAACAUGGCUGACCACGCGCCCGUGCAAAGGAAGCAGUACGACCCUUACUCAAGCACCUACAACCCCGGGUGGAGAGAUCAUCCCAACCUCAGUUAUGGAGGGAAUAGGCAACCCAACUUUACACCGAACAGGCAGUCUAACUUUGUGCCAAAUAAGCCACCAGGGUACCAGCAGCAGUACCAACCCCGACCACCUCCGCCCUCAAGCUCUGGUCAAUCUUGGGAGGAGAUGAUGAAACAAAUGAUGACAACCAUGGCGCAAAAUCAGCAAAGGACGGAGGCAACCAUUAUGCAAAAUCAGCAAAGGAUGGAGGCAACCAUUAUGCAAAAUCAGCAAAGGACGGACUCCGAAAUGCAGGAUAUAAGGAAUCAGAUAAGUCAAAUGGCCACAACAAUUAACCGUUUGGAUUCCCAGAACCAAGGGAAGCUGCCAUCUCAACCUGAGUUGAACCCGAAGAAUGUGAGCGCCAUGACCCUAAGGAGCGGGAAAGAAAUUAAGGGGCCUGAACCUGUGAUCCCUAAGGAUAAGGAUGAGGAAAAGAUCGAAAAUGAGCUUGAAAGGGAGAACAGCAAUGGUGCAGAUCUAAAGGUACUUCCUGACCCAGUAAUUACAGUUAAAACUAACCCGCCUCCUUUUCCUAGCAGGUUAGAAAAACCAAAGAAGCAGGAUAAGGAAAAGGAGAUUUUGGAGGUUUUUCGCAAGGUCGAGAUAAAUAUCCCCCUGUUAGACGCGAUCAAACAAGUACCAAAAUAUGCCAAAUUCCUAAGGGACUUGUGUGUCAACCGAAGGAGGUUGAGGGGAGAUGAACGGGUCAUUGUUGGGGAGAAUGUGUCAGCGGUCCUGCAGAGAAAACUUCCACCCAAGUGCGGGGACCCAGGUAUGUUUACUAUCCCCUGUAGGAUAGGGAACACUGUGAUUAGAAGGGCCAUGUUGGAUUUGGGAGCAUCAAUUAAUGUCAUGCCUAAAUCUAUAUAUGUUUCUCUGAAGUUAGGUCCAUUAAAAGAAACUGGAAUAAUCAUUCAAUUAGCUGACCGCACUAAUGCAUAUCCUGAUGGGUUGAUUGAAGAUGUGUUGGUAAAAGUAAAUGAUUUGGUGUUUCCAACUGAUUUUUAUGUAUUUGAUAUGGAUGAUGACCAUUCCUCCGAUCCCUCACCUUUGUUGUUAGGUAGACCCUUUAUGAGCACAGCACAAACAAAAAUUGAUGUUAAUAAGGGUACCUUAUCCAUGGAAUUUGAUGGGGAAACUGUGCACUUUAAUAUCUUUGAUACUAUGAAAUAUCCCUCAAACUCCAACUUUAGCUCAGUUUUCUCUGUGAGUGCUAUUGACCCUGCGGUGCAGGAAGUAUUUGAAACUGUUGGCAGGGAUGAGUUGGAGGUAGCUUUGACCAAGUACCUCGAGUUGGAGACAACUCCUGAGGUGGAGUGGAGUGAAGAUCUAAAAUGCACAAUAGGUGCAUUACACUCAUUGCAGAUCACCACGAAAAGGUAUGAAGUCUUACCUAUUUUUACUCCCGAACCUCACCAGAGGGUAUUGUCAUCUGUGGUGCAGGCACCUGUACUGGAGUUGAAACCUCUACCAGAGCACCUGAAAUAUGCAUAUCUGGGUGAUAAUGAGACACUCCCGGUGAUUAUCUCAUCGGCACUGUCAAAAACCCAGGAGGAGAAACUGAUCCGGGUCCUUAGAGAGCAUAGAGAGGCGAUAGGUUGGACAAUUGCGGACAUUAAGGGGAUCAGUCCGGCCAUCUGUAUGCACCGGAUUAGACUAGAUGAGGAUGCCAAACCUGUACGACAGGCUCAAAGGAGGCUUAACCCCCUCAUGAUGGAGGUGGUGAAGAAGGAAAUUUUGAAAUUGUUAGAUGUGGGGAUUAUUUUUGCAAUAUCAGAUAGCCCUUGGGUGAGCCCGAUCCAGGUAGUCCCAAAGAAGGCAGGAGUGACGGUAGAGGCCAACCGAACGGGUGAACUCGUGCCAGUGCGAAAACCCACUGGAUGGAGGCAGUGUAUUGACUACCGCAGGCUGAACGCCGUCACCAAAAAGGACCAUUUCCCUCUUCCUUUCAUUGACCAAAUGGUUGAACGUUUAGCUUGUAGAGCUUACUAUUGCUUUUUGGAUGGAUUUUCAGGAUAUUUUCAGAUAGCAAUUGCACCAGAGGAUCAAGAGAAGACAACCUUCACGUGCCCGUUCGGGACCUUUGCCUAUAGACGAAUGCCAUUCGGGUUGUGCAAUGCACCUGCAACAUUUCAGAGGGGUAUGGUAAGUAUUUUUUCUGAAUAUGUGGAGAAGAUAAUUGAAGUUUUCAUGGAUGAUUUCAGUGUGUAUGGUGAUAGUUUUGAUACAUGUUUAAAUAACCUGAAAUUGAUCCUGAUAAGGUGUAUAGAGACUAAUCUUGUGCUUAAUUGGGAAAAAUGUCAUUUUAUGGUUGAGCACGGGAUAGUCCUGGGUCAUAUUGUAUCGUCUAAGGGCAUCGAGGUUGACAGGGCUAAAAUAGAUAUUAUAUCUGCUUUGCCUUACCCCGCUAGUGUGCGGGAGGUACGCUCUUUUCUUGGACAUGCAGGUUUUUACCGGAGGUUCAUCAAGGAUUUUUCAAAAAUUGGAGCCCCGUUGUUCCAACUCCUACAAAAGGAGGUGACCUUCGAAUUUGAUGCCAAAUGUGAGAAAGCCUUCGACAAGUUGAAAGAGUUGUUGACCUCACCCCCAAUCAUCCAGCCCCCUGACUGGAGUCUACCAUUUGAGAUCAUGUGCGAUGCCAGUGAUCAUGCUGUAGGGGCUGUGUUGGGGCAAAGAAUGGGAAAGGCAGCCCACGUCAUCUAUUAUGCGUCCCGAGCACUGAAUGGAGCUCAACUGAAUUACUCCACUACUGAGAAGGAGCUUCUUGCAGUUAUUUUUGCUUUAGAAAAAUUCAGGUCAUAUUUGCUAGGUGCUAAAGUAAUCGUAUUUUCUGAUCAUGCGGCAUUAAGGUACCUAAUGACCAAGAAGGAUGCCAAACCGAGGCUCAUCAGGUGGAUAUUGCUACUGCAGGAAUUUGACUUAGAGAUAAGAGAUAAAAAAGGCUCAGAGAAUCUAGUAGCAGACCAUUUAAGUCGCAUACCAGUUGGGGAGGAUAGCGAGGCGUUGAAAGAUGCAUUCCCUGAAGAGCAUUUAUUUUCUUUAAAUUCUCAGUUGCCUUGGUAUGCUGAUCUGGUCAAUUAUUUGGUAACUGGUAAUUUUCCUGCAGGUUGGCCAAAAUCGAAGAGGGAUAAAUUGAAGAGCGACGCCAAGUACUUCAUCUGGGAUGACCCGUACCUAUGGAAGAGGUGUGCAGAUCAAGUGAUGAGAAGAUGUGUAAGUGAAAUGGAAUUUCAAUCAAUUUUAGCUUUUUGUCAUACUUUUGCCUGUGGAGGUCAUUUUGGACCCAAGAGAACUGCUCAUAAGGUUUUUGAAAGUGGAUUUUAUUGGCCUUCAUUGUUUAAGGAUGCCUAUGUGUUCUGUAAGUCAUGUGAUCGCUGUCAAAGGGUAGGUAAUAUAGCCCGUAGGGAUCAAAUGCCCCAAGUCCCGUUGAUUUUUGUUGAAAUUUUUGAUGUCUGGGGUAUAGAUUUCAUGGGGUCUUUUCCUAUUUCAUUUGGUUUUUUAUAUAUUUUGCUGGCAGUUGAUUAUGUGUCUAAAUGGGUGGAGGCUAAAGCCACUCGGACUAAUGAUUCGAGAGUAGUUGCAGAUUUUAUCAGGUCUAAUAUUUUUGUGCGAUUUGGAAUGCCAAGAACUAUUGUCAGUGAUAGGGGAACGCACUUCUGCAACAGAACCAUAGCUGCGUUGUUUCGCAAGUAUGGUGUACUCCACAGGGUCUCAACGUCGUACCACCCGCAGACUAAUGGGCAAGCGGAAGUAUCGAAUCGGGAGAUUAAAUCCAUUUUGGAGAAAAUGGUGCGCCCCGAUAGAAAAGACUGGAGCCAAAGGUUGGAGGACGCACUCUGGGCCUAUCGGACGGCGUACAAGACUCCUAUAGGGAUGUCACCGUAUAGGUUGGUAUUUGGGAAGCCGUGUCACCUUCCAGUGGAGUUCGAGCACAAGGCUUUUUGGGCGAUAAAGCAAUGCAACAUGAAUCUAGAGGAGGCCGGUGCCCAACGGAAGUUGGAUUUGCAAGAAUUGGAGGAGAUUCGGAACGAGGCCUAAGAAAAUGCAUUAAUGUACAAGGAGAGAAGUCGGACAUUUCAUGACCAACAAAUUUCAAGAAAAACAUUUGAAGUUGGUCAGAAGGUCCUCCUAUACCAAUCAAGGCUCAAGCUAUUCCCAGGUAAGCUACGUUCCCGUUGGAUUGGACCUUUUAUUGUUACUCACGUUUUUUCAUAUGGUGCAGUCGAAAUCCGAAGUGCUAAGACAGACAACAAGUUUGUGGUGAAUGGACACCGUCUCAAACACUAUUACGAAAGUUUUUCAGGUGGAGAAGUGGAGGCAGUACAUCUAGACGCACCACCGUGUCUUAAUCAGUGACACUUUACCAUGUCUAGCCAAAGACAUUAAAGAAAGGCGCUCCUUGGGAGGCAACCCAAUUGUUCCUUUUAAUUGUUUGUUCAUUUUCGUGUGGUAGUUUAGAUGUAUUCUCCUUGAAUUCGACUGAUUUUGGGUUUCAAUUUUCAUUUUUGCUGAUUUAUAGGUGCCCUUCAGUCAUGACGCGCCCGCGUGGUGAUGUGCAGGAAGCUCACGAUCAGAAACUUCACAAACUUCUGGGAGCUCUCUUGCCCUCAUGACGCACCCGCGUCACGUUCGCGGGAAAGGUAAGGAUUCAAAAAAAUAAAGAGAAAAAAAGAAAAAAAUAGAAUAAACAUUUCUUAUCACCGUAGCUUUAGUUUCCAAAUUUCAAAAAAAAAAAAAAAAAAAAAAAAAAAAAAAAAAGAACGAAAAAUUAUAUCCGUGGCUCAAAGAGCCUCAUAACUGAAAAAAAAACAUCAAUUUCUCUCUUUUUCUUUUUCUUUUCUUUCUUUUCUUUCUUUUUCUUUCUUUCUUUCUUUCUUCUUUCCCUUUUCUUUCUUUCUUCUCCCUUGUUUCCUCUUCUUCUCUGUUGUCUGAUUCCCUUUGCCCGCCGCCCAACUCACGCACGCUGCCACACACUCACGGCCCCGCUGCUCCCUUUCUCUCUGUGCACGCCGACCGAGCGCCGCGCCAUCAGUCCCACCAGCUCCGCUCACGCCGCGAGCUCUCCCCCUCUCUCUUCGAUCCGCAGCCAUCAGUCGCAACCCACGCCUCCACUGCUGCCAACCAGCAGAUCUCCAUCGCCUGCCAUCCACUUGCGCCGCCCAACCGCGACGCACGCCGACCACCCCAGCUCCGCCUGCGCGCUCUGCCCAAGCCGACGCCAUCGCUGCUGAAAUCGCGCGCUGCGGCUGCUCUGUGCGUCUCUCUCUCACAGCUCCACUCCGCCACGGCUGCCGCACAUCGCGGCCCAUCACCACCUACGCGCACCCCAACUGCGCGACUCUGCCCCUGCGCUGACCGCUGCUCUCUCGCGGCUGCAGUUUGGUAGAUUGGGCAAUGACCAUUAUCAAAUUUUGGUGUCUUAUGCUUGAGGACAAGCAUGGUUUUGGUGUGGGGGGAAUUGAUAGGCUAAAAUUUAUCUAUUUAUUUUAUUUUUAUUUUCCCCUAUUACCUGACUUGAUGUGGAUUAAUUGCUGGAUUCUACUCAUUUUUCUUAAUUUACGUAUAUUUCAGGGAGUAGAACGAAAAUAUGAUAACAGGUGCCAAAUUGACAGGAAAAGAAUUCAGAUAAUAAAGCUUGUCCCAAGGGCACUUUUGGAACGGGAGAUGUCACGCCCAUUUUGGUAAUUUUCGCAAAGGAAUGACGGACGGAGGGCUUCUCUUCCUGCUGUGAGCUGCCGCAAUAAAGAGAAGAAGAAGAGGAUCAGAUUGGGGGCUGGCUUUGUUUUGGAGUUUUUUUCGUCCUGUAGCUAGUUUCAAUUUUGACUUGGCUUAGCCUGGAAUAGCCAUUCUCACGUAUGUGAGGAAAAAGUAGGAUCAGCCUUGACUUUUCCAUUAGUAGCUUUUAGGUGUUUUCUUUUUCUUCUUCCGUCGGAUGAGCCGACAAGCAAGGACAGUCCAUUGUACUCUGCAACUUUACUGUGCUUUAUUGUUUUGACCGGAUUGAAGUUGGGCAUUUCCUGAAUUGAUGGCCGCAGCUCUCUUUACAAUUUCUGGUGGGUUUAGCUCAUCAAGUAUGAACUAACUUUUCCCUUCUAGUCAAGGAGCAACGAAGGCUCUGGUUCGCCUAAAAAUUGUGAGAUCGAUUUAAUUUAAACUUUUCCUUUUAUUUAUUGGUAUUCGCAUAUUCCCUGAUUACUAUGCUUAUGGUUAUUUAAUUAAUUGGUUGUCUUGGAUCCGGAUAAUUAAUUGAUUAGGUAAUCUAUUGUCAAUUGGAGUAUUAAAUCCGUAAUUGUUUAAUUACCUCAAAAUAGUGGCAACUGGCACGAUCAGAGUCGUGUCAGGGGGAUACGCGGGCUAAUCUAAAAUAACCCUGGUAGUGCGUUAUUUGGUCAGAAUAGGGCUUCUCUAAUACGUAAGGCAAUUGGGGAAUUAAAUUCUAUGGGCGUACCUAGGAUUAUUUCUCAAUUAGAGCAGUGAUUAACGGGCGUACCUUGAUCACCGACACAGUAAGGAGGGGUUGACUGCCAUCGCUUGUUUGGUAGUUAUAACCUAUUUAUUGAUGAAUAAUUGGAAUUGUCUUUGCUUCAAUGAUCAACUAGGUGAACCAUUGCUGAAGUUAUUCCUUGGCUAGAUCCUUAAUUAUCACUUAUUAGAUUUUAGUAAAUUGUUAUUUAAUUUCUAGUUGGCUAUUUUAUUUUUAUCAUUUUAUUUUUAGUUGAAUUGCUUAAAUUGUCACUCCUGAUAUAAAACACCCCAUUUGUCACUGUGAAUUUGGAAAGGAACAAUUACUCCCAAUCCCUGUGGAUUCGACCCUGCUUACUGUUAUCUACAGAAAUUACUUUUAGUUUGAGCAGGUUUUAUUAUUGCACAGGCUUCGACAACCUGUCAACAACUUGGCUGAUUUUCGGUAGGGCUGCAAACGAGCCGAGCCGAGUCGAGCUUUGAGCUAAUCGAGCCGAGUCUCGACUAAAUUUUACCAAGCUCGAGCUCGACGAGCCGGCAAAUUUCGAGCUCGAGCUCGACUCGAAUCAAGUCGAGCCGAGCUCGAGCUCGAGCUGGAGUUCGAAAAAAAAUAAAAAAUAAUUAUUUUAUUUUUUAAAAAAUAAAUAAAAUAAUAUUUUUUUCUUAAUAAAUAAUAAAAUAUUAAGGAUAUAUACGUAAUUUUACUAUGAAAAUAAAAAAUAAAAAAAAUAUAUAUAAUAUACGUAAUUUUAUUAUUAAAUAAAAAUAAAAAAAAUAUAUAUAUAUACCCAAGCUCGCGAGCCGGCUCGCGAGCUAACGAGCUUAAUAUUUUGAGCUCGAGCUCGAGCUCGAGCUCGACUCGAGCCGCUCGCGAGCGGCUCGAUUCGUUUGCAGCCCUAAUUUUCGGACGAUGGGAUCAGACGAUGACUAAGCUGUCGGAUGUCCGACAGCCCCAAUGGCUAGCUGACUCUUCAUCUGCCUUCUAUCCGUUGGAAGCAUUAAUGAAACCCAUUUUUGGUCCCCUUUAAAUACAAACGAUUCUGAACCAGAGAGAGACUUUUGCACACUUUGUUUACAAGAUCUCAAGAGAUAUUUUAGCUAGAAAAUAGUCUCCUAAGCAAGGUUUGUUCUCCAAGUAGUGUGAAGUUCUUGUAGCACUUCUCUUGUGUUUGAAAUUUUCAAUAGUGUAGCUUUGUUGAGAGUUUUCUGAGUGAUAGUAAAACUUCCUAGCUUGACUAAGUGAGGCUUGGGGCAAGGAGGAAGUGAUCCCUUCAUUGUACAUUGAGUUGAUUAUUUUUCAUCAAAGAGAAGGUGCUCAUCUUUGUGAUUGGUUUUCAAGUUUGAGGAAAGCUUGGUAGACAAUCGGUUUGAUACUCUAUCUUACUCCUUUUAGUUUAAUAAAAUUCUCAUUGCCUAUAUACAUUCUUAUUUCUGAUCAACAUUGCUCUCUUCUUUAAAUUUAUUUGGCUGAUCACUACUUGAAAAGAAGGUAAAUUUUUUAUUAAAGAAAAAGUGCAUAAACUUAAUAAAGUAUUUUUAAUCAACCUAAUUCACCCCCAUCUUAGGUUGUCUUUGGGCCUUACAAACUCAUGCAUCAAUAGGACAUUAUCUGAAAUAUUUCAACCUUUUAAAAAGGCACUUUGCCUCUUAGAUAUCAGACUUUCCAAAAUUUGUUUAAAUAAUUCAGUAAGCACCCUAGAAAUUAGAAUAUAUUUCUUAGAGUGCAUUGCAACAAGCAACAAGACCAUAUUCCUUCAUUCCCACAGGUGAAGCUAUCUUGGGAACCAAAGUGAUGAUUGUACUAUUCAAUCCUAUAGCCAUAUGCUGAGUAUGAAAACAGUACUAUAUAGCAUUAAUCAAACCAGCACCUAAUAUUCAUCAAUUUCUUUUGAAAAAAUCCACAGUGAAAGCAUCAGGCUCUGGUGAAGUACCUUCUUUCAUGCUGAAUAAAGCUUGCUGAAUCUCUAAGUCAGUAAUUUUCUGAAUCAACUUUGCCCCUUGCUUUUUGGUUAAUCUAUUUUUAAUAAUCUUGGAUAACCUAUGCUCCAUAGUUUCAGAGAAGGAACAAUGUUUAGAAAAUGAUUGCUAAUAAUAUCCAACUACUUCCCUCUUCACAUUUUCACAGUCUGUAAAGCCUUAUAUCCUCAGAGUUUGUGAGACUUAAGAUUUUGUUGUGAGAAUGGUAAAUUUUCAACUUUCUAUGGAAAAAUGUGAUAGGGUAUAAAAUUUAGUGUAUUUAUAUGUAUAAGUUGCUAGUUAAUUAUGUUAUUUGAGCUUUAUUUUGAAUGGAAACUACUUUAUUUUGUUAUUAUAUUGGUCUAAUAAGUGAAAAUCUUGACUGGACAGAAAAUAGACAAAAAUAUGGCGAAGAAGCAAUGGAAGAAGAAAACCUGAAGAGUAAGGGGUUUGACUGGAUUGACAUGUUUCAUUAUUUUGGCAAUAACUUGAGUUACACAAAUUGGAUUGAUAUAAUUCUUGAUUCACUUUGAAGUAAGAGAAAGAUCUACAAUUUUUAUGAGAUAUCAAAGUCCAGUUCUCAUGUUUUCAUAACAAACAAUCCAAAAUACUAAAAUAUAGUUUUGCUGUGAUACUCUUCUGAUUGGUUCUCAGUAUUUUGGACAUAUCUUAGUGUCUAGAUCUCCAAAUGAUAUGAUUGUUAUGGCAUGGGAAAGCUAAUUUAAAGGACUACAAAUUUCAUGUUUGCAAGAGUUGAUUCAGCCUCUUUGAUCGAGUUUUUUUGGCUUCAAAUAUGAUCCACGUGUAGAUCUAUAGUGAUCCAUUUAUGGCUCUGUUAUAACCGACGCCGAUUAUUCAUUCGGUCUUCAGGCCAGGCUUCCUGUAAUCCUAAUGUUCGAUGCCAAACUUUGGGCUGGACUUUAUUGAAAAAUAUGCGAAAAUGUUAUUUUUUAGUUCCAAUAAACCCAAUCCUAUCCCAUUUGAGAUACUACUUUAAGAAACUAUAAAUAAGCGCUAUCUAGGACUUUUUUGGAGGUUAGAAAAUAUUAGGCUACAUUGGUUCAUCCUUUUUACAUCUUCUUUUCUUGAUAGAUCAAGGAUGAAGUGUGGAAGAAUAAAAAAAGAAGAUCAAGACGGGGACCAAAGCAUAGAAAAUUGAGAAGUUUUCUUUACUUUAUCUUCUUGUUUGUAUCUUUUCUUUGAAUUCUUGGUUUUAAUUAUGAAUAUGUUGAACUCAAUUUUAUAGGCUUAGAGUUUUAUGAAGGAGAUUUGAUUAUUUAUCUUAAUUAAAUUCUUUACUUUUGUCUUGAUUUAUUUAUUUUUGAUUUAAUUGCAUGUUUGUGAUUGGCCACUAUAGACAUGCCCUUAGUGCUUGUAUUAAACUAAAAAGGGAUAUACAACCGUGCACUAGAUAAAUAAACAUAUUUAAUCUAAUUAUGAGAGUAGGUUAGCAGUUGUAUGACGUAAUUAUAUCACCUAAGAUCUUAAAGGGUUUAAUUAAAUACUUAUGAUCUCGAGAGAGACAUGCGAUUUAAUUAAGCAUAACUUAGAUAUAUCCAGAGAUAAUCUAAGGUAUUUGCAUGUAAUACAUUGUUGGCAUGUUGAGAAAAAUAAUGGGAUGAUUAAUUUAAAUUUUGUAUAAAAAUCUAAAACCCUAGACUCUUGCCAACCAUUUUCUCAACUCUAUUUAAUUUGCCUUGAUUAUUUGUUCAUUUUUUUUAGUUAUAGAUUGAAACCCCUAUGAAUUUGAAUUUUAUUAGUUGUCUAGAAUAAUUAAAGUGGAGAAAAUUAACUCGUCCGUAUAGAUUCUAUUUUGGAAUACUACAGGUAAUUUAUUACUACAAUCGAUCCUAUACGCUUACAGGAAUUCGUUGAUCAAAAUGCAGUGUUGGCAUCACCCUCUUUCAACCAUUUGACUCUCGAUUUAUCCUUAUAAAAGCUCUCCUCAGCUUGCAUCCUCAUUCAUAGUCUGUCUAUGAUUUUGCUUUCUCAAUAUAAAUUUUGGCCAACACAAUUCCAAGAAGUUCCUAAAUGUCCCCAACACGGUUGGUGAAAAGCCCCAAAAGUCCUUAUAGUUACCUUCUAAACUCGAUGUAAUAUCACUGCAGCUAAGCCUGUAGAGGUUUUAUAAAAAUAUGAUUUUGAGUUUAGCUUAAGUCUAUCAAUAAAACGAUAAAGAAUAUAUUAAAAUCUUUGGUUAUCCUCCUUAUUUUGAACAUUAUAAAUGUUGUUAUUACUUAUUAUGAGUUUACUAUAAAAAUUUAAAGAAGUAAAAAAUUAUAAAUUCAUAAAUUAGUGAACUAAAGAUUCCCUCUUUGAAGAAAAUAAAUUACUGAAGUCCUAUUGCAAGAUUUACCAGAAAAAGAACUCUAACAAGGAGAGUAUAUGCCGAAUUACUAAAAGCAUAGACAAAUAAAAAAGACACAGGGAUCAGGAAAACAUCUUUGUUUGGAUAUGAAGUUAUUUGCAACAAUAAAAAUAAAAAAAUUAAUUGCAUCAUAAAUCCGUUUUCUAAUUAUCUUUUUAUCUUUCUAGCCACCUUUUAAAUCUCAUAUCUAUCAUAUCACAAAGAGUGUUACGAUGUUAUUCCAAAAUAUUAUUCCAAAUAAUUUCCUAUUCAUACGCACUCAAAUAGUUCAAUCUUCAAUAAAUUACGCAUAACCCUAUAUGCAGAUUCCUAGAUUACAACAUAAACCCCAGUUUUAGAUUCUUUCCUUCUUUCAUCCUUUCAAGUUCUUGAGUUGCACCACAUCUUUUAACUACUGUUGCAAUUUCUCAAGUUUCUAAUCAUCGCUUUGUUAGUCCACCAUUUCGCUUCCAAUUGAUCUUGUUCAUUUUACCCUACAAAACAAAGAGAUUUUGCGAGUAAAAUGACAAAAUCAUAGUUAAUUCAUCUAUCAACUUAAGGUGCAAAUCAAAGACUAAAAUAAGCAACUUGCACCAUUUAACUUCACAAAUUAACUCAAAAACAAUAUAAAGCACCUACAGAAAUAUCCACAACUUGAGCUUAUAUCAGAAACGAACACUUUUUAUACUUCUGGCAUGGUUCUUAUAGAAUGAGUAGCGUAGUUUCGUUAAUUGGCAUGCAUAAUGGCUGUUUUUGAACAUUCGAAUCUACAUUAUCUUCACAAUAGAUUGUUGUAUUUCCAAAAUGAGAAAGUUGCUUUCUUUCAUUCGGUUUAAUACAUUUUUUGAUUGUUGGCAACAAAGUUUUGCAAUUUGGCAUUGAAACACAACUUCUUGACGUUCUCUUGCUUUUAUUGUGUAAAAAUGAUUACAAACCAAUGGAAUUUCCAUUUAAAAAUUUAAUAACCAAUUAAGAAAAUGACUUGCUCUUUUGGUGUAAUUGUUAAUCAUCUUCUUUUACAUCAACUCAUUAAGAAAUACAUCAAAUCAAAUACAAAAUGCAUAUUCAAGCUGAAAGUUUUUUUUUUUUAUUUUAACCCUCCCUCCCUUCUCCACACUCCAUCCCAUCCCCAACUGUCAACUUCAGGAUUCAAACUAUAAACCUGGUAGCUCUUAGCCAUUGGACCAAUCUUGCCUAGUUGCAUCAAGCCAAAAGUGGGAAGGAUGGUAAAAUAAUACGAUAAAAUUACAGGCUUAGCUAUAGUAAUUAAGGUUACGUUGGUGUAUAUUUUCACGCCGACCUCAUCAUGGACGUGUAAAAACGUGUUCCAUGCUGGUGGACCAUGAUUUUUGUGAUUCGGUCCUACAUCAUCACAAAUUACUUUAUGGGGUACAGAAUCACAUUUUUAGGCCCAUAAAUACAAGGAGUCUGGUCCUCUGCGACCAAGUUUUCGAUAGUCGCAAGUUUUCGAUAGUCACCAGUUACAAAUAUCUAUUUCCAUUCUUAUUAGUGUUUGAGUUUGUGUCCUUGUACAAGUAUGUCAAAGCUGCACUUAUACGAGUAAAAUGCACCAUUAAAUAAAUAAAAACAGCAGUCUGUGUUUGAAUUUGUAUCUGUGUAUUUUGUUCCUCUGUUACUUGCAAGCAAUUUUCAAUCCCUGAGUUUUGUGUGUCAACUAGGUACUAUAUUCAUGACUAGUUAUGAAGUCUAAUAACUAGUUAAGUUUUACUUAAAAUGAAUCCAAACCUGAAAAAGAAAAAAAAGAUUAACUGAUAAACAAGCUCUAGUCAAGGAUAUAAUUUCGGAAGUGAUUCAUACACCUGCUCAUUAAUGCAAUAAUUAUUUCAUUUAUUUGUUAAUAAACAGGUUAAAGUUGCCAAACAUGUGAUGAUAACCAACUUUUCCUUAAUAUCUCGAUAGUUAAUGUACAUUCAUUAACUACUUUCCUAAUCAAGAAACAACUCUAGGUACGUCCGUAUAAUUUAAUUUAUUGAUUGCAUUAAAAACUAGAAAAGUAAUGUUUUAAUCAAUAAACACACUAUUGGAGUUUAUUUAAAUUAGAUCAUAUGUUUCUCUAACAUGAAACCAAUCACAUUAGUCACCACUAAUUUAAGACAAUUAAACAAUUAAGAAUUUAACUAUCCUAACUAUCAUUAGAUUGUUAAGUUGAAUUAAAUAUCAAAACACUCAUGACAUUCAAACAAUCAAACAAUCAUGAGAAAUUAAAUAAAAAAACAUACGAAUACUAACGAAUAAAAGAAAUAGAUAAAAACAAUUAGAUCUCAUAGUUGCCGAUGAAUCCUUCGUUACUCCUUGACUAGAAAAAGAAAAUUUAGCCACUUAUCACUACGAAUAAUCCAAGCAAUUUUAUUGAUAAAUGUUGCAUGAAUAUUCAACAAAAGCAAAAAACAGGAAAAGGCGGAGAGAAAAGCUCUUCGUUUGGUUUAUGCUUGGUGCCUAGACUAAUAGUCUCUCGGUACCCGAAACAAAGUCUUAAAAUCACGAAGGCCAAGAAUCCCUCCUACUCACGUCACCAACGUUUCCUGCUAUUACUACUACCACUAAUACAUCUAAUCUCCUCUAAUUUUUCUCCGAGAGAAAUAUACCCAUAAUUUAACAAAAGGUAAGUUACUUGUUUCUAAAUACAAAACGAAAACCAAUUAUUUUGGAAAAGGAAACCACUUCACAGAACUUCAAUUUGAAUUGGAAAAUUGCCACGCGCGCCAAAUCUCGAUCUCUUCGAACCCGAGGCUAGAAUUAGGUGCGGUCACAUAGAACACACCAAGAAUCUUCAUUAAACCAAUUUUUACUCCUUUUCUUGCCAUAUUCCUGAAAUUAGCAUCAAUUGCCAAAUAUACUUUUUACUCCUUUUCUUGGCCUAUUCCUAAAAUUAGCAUCAAUUCUCAAAUAUAAGUAGAAUCCAUCAAUUAUUACAAUAUUUGGUCAAAAUUAAAGGAAAAUAUUCAUAAAUUUAAUAGCAAUUACAUACCCUAUCACCCUUCACUCUUUACACCCCUUCCCAUCCCCAACUAUCAACCUCAAGAUUAGAACUAUGAACCUGAUAGUGGGGGAGCUCUUAGCCACUGGACCAACCCUACCCAGUGGUAUCAAGCCAAAAGUUUGAAUGAUGAUAAAAUAAUAACAUAAAAUUAUAGGCCUAGCUAUAAUAAUUAGGUUACGUUGGUGUAUAUUUUCACACUGACCUCAUCAAGGACGUGUAAAAACGUGUUCCAUGCUGGUGGACCAUGAUUUUGGUAAUUAGGUCCGGCAUUACCACAAAUUAAUUUAUGGUGUAGAGUAUCACAUUUUUAGGCCUAUAAAUUCAAGGAGUCUGGUUCUCUGCUACCAAGUUUUCGACACUCACCAGUUACAAGUAUCUAUUUCCAUUCUUAUUAGUUAGCUAGCUAGUCCUUUAAGAAGAAAAUGGCCGCAGCCAAAUCUGGUAUUGGCAGUGGACAGGUGAAUAGUGACUGUAUGCCUUGCUAGACUGGAUUUCUUUGUUUUUCAAGUUUGUGUGUGCAUGGUUUUCGGAGUCAACUUAUAAACAACACGUAUAGAAACGUUUGAAAAAGUAUGAGGAGUUGCAAAUUAAAGUAACUUCAACAUUCUUGAGUCGACUUGAUUAGCAAUAUUUUAUGUUUCUAGUUGUCUACAUGCUGCGGUCUCUUGAAUUGUUUGAUAAAUAAGCUUCUUCCGAGCAAUGUCGUUUCUUAUUAAUUGAUUGGUUCGAUUUAGUUUUCUGGUUGUUCCUUUGUUUGAAAGGACUCUAACUGAUUUUGGGAACUCAAUUGUGUUGGGUUUUCUUACUGAAAAAUGUUUGGGGUUUGCAGAAAGACGAACCUAUUAUUCCUAUGGCGUCAACCGUCAAUCCGAACGACGAUGUGGUGAUUCAGAAGGCAAAAUUUGCAGUUGAUAGUUACAAUGGGCAGGCGGGGACCGGUCUGAAAUUCAACAGUGUGGAAUUCGGCUUCUGCUGGAGCGUUUCUGAUGUCACUGACUACCUGCUUGCCAUUAAUACUCAUGAUGAUAAGGGCCCAUAUUGCGACCCAGCAUUGGUUUCUGAUACACUGAAGAGCAAUGCUCACACUUAUGAGCUCAUCUGGUACAAUCAUAAGAAAAAGUAAUCAAGCACUACUCUUGAUCAGCUGAGUGGGGAUCGACGACUUUAAGUACUUUAAUUAUCUAGUGUUUAUGGUGUGGUUUUCAGUUUAUGCAUGGAUGAUGUACUGCUGGCAUGCAAACAUCCUCCCACUGUUGUACUAGUAUGCAAUGUAAGGUGCACUUCUACCAACAAAAAUGCACCGUUAAAUAAAAAAAUCCGUCUGUGUUUGAGUUUGUGUCCUUGUACUAAUAUGUCAAAGGUGCACUUGUACAAACAAAAAUGCACCAUUGAAUAAAUAAAAACAGCUGUACGAGUUUGAGUUUGUAUCUGUGUAUUUUGUUUCUCUGUUACCUGCAAGCAACUAUCAAUCCCUGAGUUUGUAUCUGUGUAUUUUGUUUCUCUGAUAACUAGUUAAGUAUUACUUAAGAUGAAUCCAAACCUUAAAAAGAAAUGAAAGAUUAGUUGAUACAUUGGGAGUAAGACAAGCCGAUGACGUUGUGGUUCUUCUUUGAAGUAUAUUUUGGAUGUUCUUCAUAAAUAUGAAGACUGUUCAGGCCAGCGAGUUAACAAAAAGUUGUUUCUUGACCCAUCAGCGGUUGAAUGUGGCAAGACGACGAGUGAUCAAAAGUGUCACUGGGAAUUCAUAUGCAGGCCAUAGCUAAAUUUCCGUUUUUGGAUCUCUGUACAACUGGUACACGUAAAAUUUGUCAGCUAAACUCCGCCACCAAUUGUUCACGAUAUGCAGGAUGGAUGUUCUGGACAAGAAUAUAAAGAUUAAAAAGGGGACUACGAUUAUCAACAAGAAUAAAAUUGGAUUUAGAAAAAACAUGGUUGAUUACUUGUAUGAUUUGUGUCUAACGAUAAUUACGAAGCAGAAGAAGAAAAAGAAGGGAAAAAAAGGUUGGAUUGUUACACACACACAUGUAUGUGUGUAUAUAUUUAUAUAUGCAAGUAAGAUCACUAUUUUCUGGAUGAGGGCAGUCCAAAAGGGCGGGUCAAAUGGUUGCCUGAAUUUCAUUAGGUACCAGGUGCAGUCUGCAGAUAGGUGGACCAUGGAACCCAUUUAAUUAAUGGGUUUGGUAGGGUUACGUAAACGUCUUUUUAGUCAAUGAAAGCAUGACGAUGACACAUUCAUAAUUUUUGAUUGGGGAAAAUCAUUCAAAACGUUUCUCAUUUUACAAAAUAACUUUUUUCGUUUCUUAUUUUUAAAUAUAUAAUUUUACGUCCCUUAUAAAUUCACAUUAACCAAAUUUGGUCUCUACCUAGAUUUCCGACUAGUUUUUAGCCAGAAUCUACCACGUGACUUGCAUGUGAUCAUUGUUUAAGGACAAAAUUGUCAAAUCAAAUUUUUACAUAAUCUGAUUCAUAGUCCCUCACAUUUUCACAAAAUGAAUUUUUUCAUCCCCAACAUUUUACAAAAUGAAUUGUUUCGUUCCUCAUAUUUCAAAAAAUGAAUUUUUCCAUCGCUCACAUUUUUCAAAAUGAAUUUUUUCAUCUCUCAUUGAUCAUGUAUACGAAUAGCUUUUUUUUCUAUAAACCCACGUAUAUGUUUAUUUGAUUUUAUUUAAACAGUAUGAGUAACAUGUAAUUUAUCUCUAUUGGAUUUCAUCUAAACAGGCUAAUCAUAGCUAUACACAUGCUAUUCAAUCGAUAUAUAUAGGGGUUUAAAACUAAUAAUUUUGUUUGAAACCCACUUAUAUAUUUAUAUGAUUUCAUCAUUUGAACCUAUUCAAUAUUUUUGACCUUUCUCUUUUGGUAAUAAUUUAUUUAUUGAGUUGUAUAAUAAGGUCAUAUAAUUAAUGGGUCCUAACUCGAAUUCUAUAAUUAUGUUAACAAAUUUCAGUUUAAAUCUGAAAUUUCUACUCGACACUUUUAAGACCAACAGUUGAAUUACUUGUAUUGUGAUUGUCUUAAAAUUUGAAAGUGCUAAUCACUUAUUUCUUUUUGUCAUACUUUUCUUUUGUUUACUUUUUCUAUCCAAAUUUAAUUCGAUAUAAACACUUGAUAAUAUUUAGGAUUAAAUGCCAUCUUUAUUUUCAAAUUUCGAGUUAAAGAAAAUGAAUAUACGUGAAAAACUUAAAAUUUUUUUAAACACAUGUAUAUAUCUAUUUAAUUUCACUUGAGCAGUACGAGUAGUGUGUACUAUAUCUCUAUUUGAUUUCGCAUGCUAUUCGUACGGUUCAAGUGAAAUCAAAUAGAUAUAUACAUAGAUUUAAAAAAAAUUAUUCACACAUAUGAUCAAUAAAAGAUGAAAAAAUUCAUUUGGAAAAAUGGGAAGGAUGAAACAAUUCAUUUUGUGAAAUAUAAGGGACGAAAAAUUUUAUUUUAUGAAAUGUGAGGGACUAUGAAUCGAAUUAUAUAAAAUUUGAUUUGACAAUUUUGCCCUUAAAAUAUGAUCACGUGCAAGCUAGGCACGUGGUGAAUUCCGACCAAAAACUAGUCGAAAACCUAAAUAGGGACAAAAUUUCACCAAUGUGAAUUUGUAAGGGACGUAAAAUUAUAUUUUUAAAAGUGAGGGAUGAAAAAAGUUAUUUUACAAAAUGUGAUGGACGUUUUGAACGAUUUUCCCUUUUGGUUACUCUCACUCGACCCGUUUACUUCAGUCGAUGCACAGGCUGCAUUUCUUAGGCAUCCAGCUUAAAACCCCAAAUUAAAAAUUAAUGACCACCUGGUAAUUUCCCCUUGGGUCUCAAUGUAGGUGGGCUUUGGGGAUAUUUUAACUUUUAAUUUUGGAUAUUUUAACAUUUAAUGUCUCCAAAACCCAGCACAGUUGGAAAGAACAUUAAACAUGUAAUUUUGAAGCCUGUAAUUUGACUAUCCAGCAUUUCUUUCACUCCUCACUUUAUUUUCAACACUGCACGAGCUAAUCCAACUUUCUUGCAGUACCCUCUCACCAAUUCAUGCAUUACUAGUGUAUUAUCUGCUAUACUUCUUCCUAUUAUAAAGCACUCUGAUAUUCAUCAAUGAUUCGAGGAAUUAAACUUUCAACCUAUUAGUUAGCAAUGCUAAAUCGCAUUUACAUAGCAAACAACAGCAGGCUGUAGGCUUGAAAUCCCUCAUUUGUGUUGUAUUCCGCAACUUUGGGACCAGUGUAAUUAUAGUACUAUUUAAAGGAUAAUGCAUAUACUUCUUGUCAAAACAAGAUUGAGCAUCUCGAAUUACUUCAUCACCAAUUACAUGCUAAUUCUUCUUUAAAAAAAUUGUGCACUAAAGCCAUCUGGGCUUGGAGCUUUACCGUCCUUCAUAGUAAACAUAGCAUGUUUAAUCUCUUCAGCUGACACACUAGCCUGGAGAAAGUCGAAUUGAUCACUAGUGAUGGUUUUGGCAUUUAUCUGUUGCAGCUUGCCCUUCAAAUCAGGGUACUAAGAGUUAGAUUUACUAAACAGAGUCUGAUAAAAUUCCCCUGCAAUUUCUUUAACUUGCUCAUGGUCCUCAACAACAUCAACUUCAUCAUUUCUAAGAGAGAGUAUCUUAUUCCUGGCAACAUGACCCUUCAUCUUUCUGUAGAAAAAAAGCAGUAUUUUUGAUAGGGUAUGAAUUGCAUUAUCUUUAUAUGUACAAAUUGCUAGUUAACGGUGAUAGUUGAGCUACAACUUGAAUAGAAAUUGUUUAAUUUUGAUCUUAUGUUAUUUUAAUAGGUAGAGAGCUCAAUUGGAAAGAAAAUGGACCAAUCUUGGCAAGACAAUCAAGAAAAGCAGCAAUAAAAGAAGAAGAAGAAUGAACAAACAAGGGUUGCUGGAUUACUAAGGAUCCAUAGGCAAAUCCAUAGCGAUCUGUGCAUGUAUUCUCAAUAACCGGCUCCAGAUGUCAAAAUGGUCUUCACAUUGAACUUCUUCUGGUUGUUAUGGUUUUGAGCUUCACCCAAUGACCGGCCCACGGAAAUUAAUAAAAGACUUUAAUUUAUUAAAAGAAUUUCUAUAUUUCUUUAUUUUUCUCAAUAUCCCAAACAAGAUCUAAUAAUAACAUUAAUUAUUAAUGGAACAAACGAGGGGUUAGGUCUGAGGGUCAAUUGGGCAUGAGAGAGGGGGUUGGUUGUUCUUUGAAAAGAUAUUCAUCAUCUGAUUGAUGAGUCAUAAUAAGACAAUUUGCGGUUAAUAUACUUACUAAGUAGGAAUCUACUACUCUAGGAAUAAAAAUUUGAGUUAUCAAGGUGAGUUUAUGGGCCAAUAAAUAAAAGAUUUUUAUCUUUGUAACCAAUUGCAUUGGGGUGGGACAGUGCAAGAGAUAUCAUACAAAAGAGAUUGAAUCCUCUAAAAAUGCUAUGAAGUGCUCCAAAAUGGUCGAAGUAGUUGAAUAGAAGGAUCGCUAUGACUAUAGCCCUUGGUAAAUUUACCAAAGGCGAAAAUGAUUUAUUUGAUAUUAUGGAUGAUUGGUUACGUAGAGACUGUUUCCUUCUUCAUCUGGAAUUGGUGCCUUCGCGAUUUUUUUCAACUCCAAGAAGUCUAACCCUAUCAUAUUUGGGCUAAAAUUUUAAGAAACUAUAAAUAGGAGUUAUUUAGAUUAUUUUUAGGGGAAGAAACACAUUAGACUAGCAUCAGUUCAUCACAUAAAACUCUUUCUUGGGAGAUCAAGAAUGGGUUCAAGGCACGGGAUCAAAGAGAAAUCGAGACGGAGAUUGGAGCAAGGAAAAUUGAGAAGUUUUCUUUACUUUUAUCUUCAUACUUGUAUUUAGUCUUUGAGUUCUUGAUUUUUAUAAUGAAUAUGAUGAACUAAUUUGUCUCUAGGGUUGGAUUUUAUUAAAAAGUAUUGGUUAUUUAUUUUAGUUAAAUUCUUUACGUUUGCCUUAAUUUAUCUAUUUUGACUUAAUUAUAUGUUAUGCUUGAUCACCAUAGACAUGCUCUUAGAUUUUGUGUUGAACUAAAAAGGGACAUACAACCAUGCAUAAGAUGAAUAAAUAUAUUUAGCCUAAUUAUGAGAAUAGAUUAGAUUUUGUAUAACAUAAUUGAAAUCACCUAAGAUCUUAAAGGGUUUAAUUAAAUAAUUAUGGUCUUGAGAGAGAUGUAAGAUAUAAUUGGGCACAAUUUAGAUGUAUUAAUAGAUAAUAUAAAACACCUUUGCAUGAUACAUUCUUGGCAUGUUAAUAAAUUAGUUGGAUAAUUAAUUCAAAUUCUGGAUCAAAAUCUAAAACUCUAGUCUCUUGCCAAUUAUUUUCUCGCAUCUUUUUUAUUUGACUUGAUCAUUUAUUUUACCUCUUAAUUAGAAAUUAAAUCCUUUAAAUUUAAAUUUCAUUGUCUUCUCAUAAUAAUUAUAGUAGAGAAAACACUCCUAACCUAGGAAAAGUCAAUUCAAAAGGAGAAUGCACGACUGAAGCGAAGAAAUAGCUAGAUCUGAGAUGAUUUUAUUAUACAAUCGAUCCUAUGCAGUAGCACAAAUAGCGGAUCAAUUUUUAUCACCGAAUUGUAGCCACUACACUCUGGGCUUAUCCUUAUAGAACUCCUCUUCAGCGAGAAUCAAUCUUGUGUAUUCCUAGAUAACAACUUUCUCUGCAGCAAUUAACUCCGGAUCAAAAGGUUGCUAUUGCAUAUGCUGCUGCACUAUUAUCAGUUGCCUUUUUUUUUUUUUUGCUUUGAACUCCACCAGAGAUGUGGUUAUAGUCUCUUUUAUUCAGCUCUUGAAGCUUACCCAUAAGCUGUUUUAGUUCAAAACAGAUAAGCUGUAUGGGAUUUAUUAACACUCCAGGAUCAGCUUGCCAAGAAUCCAACAGGACAUCAAAAAACUCAUGCUACAUCCAAAAGCUAAUGAAUUUAAAAAGCUUUGGCCCAAAGUUAACUUGAUCUAGCUAUAUAUUCAGAUUGGUAAUGAAGCGACCAAAAAUUGUUAGUCUUAAUGUUUGGAAAGUGCUACUCUUUCUCAUAUCUAUAGGAUUGCAAAGGAAUAAAGUUAUCUCGGUCAAAACUUGUGUAGGGUAUUUAAAAAUUUAUAAAUGUAAAAUUUGACUACGUAUUGAGUUUAAUUUUGUAUGCCCCAUGCACAUCAAGCUCUAUUCCAUAGUUUGAAAUAUGUCAAUCCCAGACCUCCUUCAUACUUUGGUUUACAAACUUCUGCCCAAAUAACUUUUGCAUGUGUCCUCACUCCUCAGCUCCACUCCAGACCAUAGAAAGGCAUUCAAAAUACUCUCCACCUUUGCAACAGACAACUUGGGGAGGACAAAUAAACAAAAAGGCUAUUAAGUAUAAAUUCAAGUAAAAUGAGCCUUCCUCCAUAAGAGAGUUUCCAAGCUGCCCAACUUUUAAUUAUAGCCCCUAUUUUAUCAAGAAUAGGCUAGCAGUCAAUAGCACUUAGCCUAGUAGAUAUUAAAGGAACACUUAGGUAUCAAACUAGAAAGUGUCCCAAGCGAAUCCCCACAGCUUCAUUCAACUUCACACAUUGCUAGUUAGAUACACCGGCUGCAAAAAUCUCUGAUUUAGCCAGGUUUGGUUGAAGACUCGACAUCUCAGAGAAUUCUUUCAAAGUGGCCUGAAUCCCAUAUCGAUUUUGAGUCUAUUUGUAAGAUUAAUUGGUAUAAAUUGUCCAUUUUAUGUCACUAAUUUGCACCUUAAGUGAUUAAUGGAUUAGUUGUGAUUUUAUCAUUUCACUUGCAAAUUUCUUUGGUUUUGUAGGAAAAAUGAUUAAGCUUAAUUGGACGUGCAAUGAGCUGGGAUGAGAAGCUUGAGGAGUCACAACAAUGGCUAAAAGAAAUGGUGCAAGGAAAGCAUGAAGCUUGGAAGAAAGAAAGAAGGAAACAAAGAAGAAAAAAAACUAGAGAGAAACCGCAGGAGAAUCCGCCUGCGGUUUCUCCCACAGUUUGUGGCCAGUGAAUCAUUUUGUAGCAAAUCAUUUGUUCUGCACAAUCCCUGGGAGAAUCCCUCGAGGGAUUUGAUCCAGGAAUUCAUGGUAGCUGCAACUCACCAACUUGCAUGGUUUUUCUUUCUUUUCUUUUUUUUUUGUGGACAAGACACAAAAAGACAUUUUGUACCAACUUUUGGAGGAUCUAAGAGUUUCUUUUGUUGACUCUUAACAAGGAAGAAACAUGUUAUUGGAGAGGGAGAUUAGUUCUUGACAAGAGAGAGAGCUUUUUCUUCUCUUUUUUUUAGUUUUAGCUUACUGAUAGUUUUAGAUCUAAUUUUCUUUUUAUCUUCAAAAACUUGAAGAACUCUUGAUGAACAAUGUAUUUUUUAUUGCAAUGAAAAUGAUGAAACUUGAAGAUCUUGUUUCUUCACUUGAAUAAGUAUUUCUUUCUCUUUACUCUCUUUGUUGUGCCAUUAAUUCUUAGUUACAUUGAAGACAUGAGUUUUAUUAUUAAAUCUACUAUGUCUAGCUAAAUCUUCUUGUUUUAGGGGUAGAUGAAGCUAUUUGUGCCUUGAUUAUGGUUGAAUAAAGUUGAUUAUUGUUAUAUCUUGUACUUGCUAGUUCAUUUAUUUUUACUUUAACACUUGUAAAUGCUUAAUCACCAUUUACAAACCAUGAUAGUUGUUGUUAAUCUAUGAGAAUAAUUAACAAUGAUGAAAUAGAAUAGGUAAACCUAAUGAGUAGACACACGAAAAUAAUGGUACACUUAGGUGGAUAUUUUUGGCAUUUCUAGAUCUAGAUUAAGUCUUCACUUUAGAUUUCACCAUGAGAGUAAGGAAAGUAUAGUGUUGGCUAAGUUCAGUUCAUUGGCGAGAACGAGUUCUGAAGACUUGAGUGAAAUACAUCCUUAGCAAGACAAAACCAUGAGUGAUAAUUGGCUAUUUCAUCCAUAGUUAGGUACAUUUAGUGGAAUCUAUACCCUAGGACAUUUGUCUUUAGUUGAGUUUCUUCAAGUUGUUAAUUUGCCUUGCAUUAUUUUAGCUUUUGAUGGUUUCACUUAGUUAAAAUUCUUGAGUAGUUUAGAUAAUAAAGUGAGCAAAAAACCUUAGUAGUUGAGAGUGAUUCUCGUGGGAUUCGACCUUAUUUCCUUUGUACUACAAUACACGAUCCGUUAACAAGGGAAUUAGGUUUAAAAAUUAGAGUGCAAGUAUAAAUCUCGUCAAGGAUUUAUGAGAUGGAAUAGCCAUAAUGAACAAAUCAUCAACAAAGGAAAUAUGGUAUGAUUUCAUCUCUGAACAUCUGGGGUGGUAUUCAAACCCCAUCUCUUCAAUGUUUGCAUCCAUAAUCUGAGAAAACGCUUCCAUUACUACCAAGACAAAGGUGAGUAGAUAUAAAAUGUCCUUGCCUCAACCCUCUACAACUUGCAAAUUAGCCAACAAGGAAGCCAUUUAGGUUGAGAGAGAAUCUAGUAGUCAUAGCACAGUUUUUUGCGCAAUAAAUAAGGUAGAGGAGAAGUUCAUAAGUUUGAGAACCGUGAAAAAGAAACAGCCAUCUAACUGUAUCAUAUGCUUUCGUGAUGUCAACUUUCAGAACACAUCUUGCUUUUCUCCCUUUCUUAUGAUAAUUUCUCACCAACUCAUGCAUCAAUAGGACAUUAUCUGAAAUAUUUCAACCUUUUAAAAAGGCACUUUGCCUCUUAGAUAUCAGACCUUCCAAAAUUUGUUUAAAUAAUUCAGUAAGCACCCUAGAAAUUAGAAUAUAUUUCUUAGAGUGCGUUGCAACAAGCAACAAGACCAUAUUCCUUCAUUCCCACGGGUGAAGCUAUCUUGGGAACCAAAGUGAUGAUUGUACUAUUCAAUCCUAUAGCCAUAUGCUGAGUAUGAAAACAGUACUAUAUAGCAUUAAUCAAACCAGCACCUAAUAGUCAUCAAUUUUUAUUGAAAAAAUCCACAGUGAAAGCAUCAGGCUCUGGUGAAGUACCUUCUUUCAUGCUGAAUAAAGCUUGCUGAAUCUCUAAGUCAGUAAUUUUCUGAAUCAACUUUGCCCCUUGCUUUUUGGUUAAUCUAUUUUUAAUAAUCUUGGAUAACCUAUGCUCCAUAGUUUCAGAGAAGGAACCAUGUUUAGAAAAUGAUUACAAAUAAUAUCCAACUACUUCCCUCUUCACAUUUUCACAGUCUGUAAAGCCUUAUAUACUCAGAGUUUGUGAGACUUAAGAUUUUGUUGUGAGAAUGGUAAAUUUUCAACUUUCUAUGGAAAAAUGUGAUAGGGUAUAAAAUGUAGUGUAUUUAUAUGUAUAAGUUGCUAGUUAAUUAUGUUAUUUGAGCUUUAUUUUGAAUGGAAACUACUUUAUUUUGUUAUUAUAUUGGUCUAAUAAGUGAAAAUCUUGACUGGACAGAAAAUAGACAAAAAUAUGGCGAAGAAGCAAUGGAAGAAGAAUACUUGAAGAGUAAGGGGUUUGACUGGAUUGACAUGUUUCAUUAUUUUGGCAAUAACUUGAGUUACACAAAUUGGAUUGAUAUAAUUCUUGAUUCACUUUGAAGUAAGAGAAAGAUCUACAACUUUUAUGAGAUAUCAAAGUCCAGUUCUCAUGUUUUCAUAACAAACAAUCCAAAAUACUAAAAUAUAGUUUUGCUAUGAUGCUCUUCUGAUUAGUUUUCAGUAUUUUAGACAUAUCUUAGUGUCCAGAUCUCCAAAUGAUAUGAUUGUUAUGGCAUGGGAAAGCUAAUUUAAAGGACUACAACUUUCAUGUUUGCAAGAGUUGAUUCAGCCUCUUUGAUCGAGUUUUUUUGGCUUCAAAUAUGAUCCACAUGUAGAUCUAUAGUGAUCCAUUCAUGGCUCUGUUAUAACCGACGCCGACUAUGCAUUCGGUCUUCAGGCCGAGCUUCCUGUAAUCCUAAUGUUCGGUGCCAAACUUUGGGCUGGACUUUAUUGAAAAAAUAUACGAAAAUGUUAUUUUUUAGUUCCAAUAAACCCAAUCCUAUUCCAUUUGAGAUACUACUUUAAGAAACUAUAAAUAAGCGCUAUCGAGGACGUUUUUGGAGGUCAGAAAAUAUUAGGCUACAUUAGUUCAUCCUUUUUACAUCUUCUUUUCUUGAUAGAUCAAGGAUGAAGCGUGGAAGAAUAAAAAAGGAAGAUCAAGACGGGGACCAAAGCAUAGAAAAUUGAGAAGUUUUCUUUACUUUAUCUUCUUGCUUGUAUCUUUUCUUUGAAUUCUUGGUUUUAAUUAUGAAUAUGUUGAGCUCAAUUUUCUAGGCUUAGAGUUUUAUGAAGGAGAUUUGAUUACUUAUCUUAGUUAAAUUCUUUACUUUUGUCUUGAUUUAUUUAUUUUUGAUUUAAUUGCAUGUUUGUGAUUGGCCACGUACUAUAGACAUGCCCUUAAUGCUUGUAUUAAACUAAAAAGGGAUAUACAACCGUGCACUAGAUAAAUUAACAUAUUUAAUCUAAUUAUGAGAGUAGGUUAGCAGUUGUAUGACGUAAUUAUAUCACCUAAGAUCUUAAAGGGUUUAAUUAAAUACUUAUGAUCUCGAGAGAGACAUGCGAUUUAAUUAAGCAUAACUUCUUUUUUUUUUUUUUUUUCACUUUAAUCUUUAUUUAUGAACUGAAAAGAGUACAAAGAGAGACAGCAACCAACUACUGCCUAACAAGCUAAAGAAGCUCUACUCCUACGAAUGUUCGGAACGCCUAACCGAUCAAGAUUAACAUCACCCCUCACCAGGCAAGGCAACUCAGAAAAUGAAACAUAUGUUGAGUUAAACCCAGCGUCCACACCCACAUUGGCCAAUCUAUCCGCAGGCCUAUUCGCUUCCCGAAAGCAAUGAGAAAUCUCUCUAAACAACCCCUUAGCAUUCAACACCUCCUGUAAACCUCGUUGCAACUGCCAUGGACACCUCACCGUUCCCCGAAUAAUCUGAACUAACACCAAUGAAUCUGAUUCGAUGUGCAAAGCACUGUAUCCCCGAUCUACGGCCAACCGAAUCCCAUGAAGAAGCGCCUCCAAUUCCGCCUGCAAACUUGUUAGCUCCCCAAAAAAACAUGAGAACCCUAGCAGAAACCUUCCCUCAUAGUUACGAAUGAUGCCUCCCCCUCCACUCAUGCCAGGAUUACCUCUAGAGCAACCGUCAGAGUUUAGCUUCACCACCGACUGCUUCGGACACCGCCAACGAACAAUUUGCACCUGAUAACGACGUGCCAAACCAGCCACAGAUUCAAAGAAACUCGGCCACCCGCGGCAAGAAGAAACAGUAUUCUUAAACCUAAUCUGGAAUAGGUCUCGCAGAUCACAAAAAAUUCUAUCACUGACUAUAGCAACAGGCAAACUCUGACCCUCGAACACAAACUUAUUCCGCAUUUUCCACAAAUGCCAACAAAUCAAAGACGGCAGCACACGAAAAAGAAACUGAAGAAACGGGUUCCGAGUAGGCUUCAACCACCAACCAAUCACCUUAUGUCGUAUUGUCGAGGAAACCCCAAACCCUCCCACCACCACUUCAAAAGACUCCCAGAUUUGCCGUGGAACCUCCCCAGUGCAGAAAAUAUGAUCCAGAGACUCCUGACAUGGGAAGGAACAACAAAAACAGCGAGACGGCCCGACAACCCCAAGCUUUUGCAACCUAUCCAUCACUGGCAAUCUAGCCCCCAGCAGACGCAGCAUAAAGAAGGACACAUUACUCGGCAAUUCCUGACCCCAGAGCGAGGAGUAUAGACAAGACCUGUUACCAACCUCACGAGCACUUUGGUAGGCCGACGAUAGGGAGAAAUCGCCUGAGGUACUGGGAGACCAGACCAUUCUGUCCGAAUGCGUCUCAGCGGGAGGUUCAACACGCAGGAUCUGCCCCACCCACCAGCUGGGCAGCACAGAGCACAGCCUCUGCACGUUCCACCGACCAUGCUCCACGAAAUCGGAUACUGCAUAUUCCUGGAAAGAGUCGACCUGGCGACAUAAAGGACCUUGUCCUAACCAAUCAUCAUGCCAAAAACUUGCCGAUCCAUUGGACAAGACCCAGCGAAUCUGCUGCUCAGCAACCCCCUGAAUAGAUAUCAAUCUCUUCCAAGUCCAAGAACUCCCCGGCGAGACGUCCGCAGAGCAAGGGUGGAAAUUUGGGCAGUAUUUACAAUGUAAAAACUCAGCCCAUAAAGACUUCCGCAAUCUAAACUGCCACCAAAGUUUCAUCGAGAAAGCGUCGAACACAUCCCUCAACGACCUCAAACCUGCACCUCCCCUGUCAUAUGGCUGACACAACUGCUCCCAUUUGAUCCAGUGAAAACGCAGCCCCCCUUCGGAGGCCCCCCAGAGAAAAUUAGCAAAAGUCUUCUCCAGUAACCCAAAGAUGGCCUUGGGAGGAGUGGAUGCCGCAAGAAUAUGAAGAGGCAUAGAAGAUAGCACACUCCUGAUCAGGACCAGCCUACCACCGUGCGACAAUAACCUCCCCUUCCACGAUAGCACCCUGGCUAGUAUGGAAUCACAAAUUUCCGAAAAAUAACCUUUCUUCCUCCGCCCAACAUAUAAGGGACAACCCAAGUAUUUGACUGGAAACUCCCGCGAGGGGAACCCAGUGAGUUCUCCAAGCAUACGUUUUCUCGCCCUGGGAAACCUGCUAUGGGGCAAAAAACAACUCUUUUGAUGGUUCACCUGCUGACCUGAUACCGAAGAGUAAUCUCCCAGAGCUUUCAUAACCAAACGAACUGACCUCUUCAGCCCACUUGAAAAGAUAACCACAUCAUCGGCAUAAGCCAGGUGCGUAACCUUCGGGCAUCCAUGAGGUACACUAAACGGUGAAAAGAGGGGGGAGGAAAGCAAAGAAUUUAAGAGGCGAGAUAGGACCUCGGCACCAAUCACAAAAAGAGCUGGAGAAAUAAGGUCCCCUUGCCUUAGCCCUCGACUAGAUUGGAAGAAACCUUGAGGAGCACCAUUGACCAUGACCGAGAACCAGACAUUCGAAAUCAACCUCCAAAUCAUAUCAAUCCACCGCUCUCCGAACCCGAACCUACGCAAGACCUGUAACAAAAAAGGCCACGAAACUCUGUCGUAGGCCUUGGCCAUAUCCAACUUCAAAACUACGUUACCCCCACGAUUCGAUUUCCGAAUAUCAGAUAACAACUCCUGGGCCAAUAAAAAAUUUUCGGAUAUCUGCCUUCCCUGAACAAACCCACUCUGUUGCGGGGAGAUAAUACCAGGCAGCACCUUUGAUAGACGGUUGGCCAACAAUUUUGAAAUCACCUUAUUGACAAAGUUACAAAGACUUAUCGGCCGAAAUUGACUAAAAUCUUGCGGGGAGGUUACCUUGGGAAUCAGCACAAUCCACGUCGAAGAAACACUCCGCGGCAACUCAUGCCCACAAAAGAAACUAAACACUGCGUCGCACAAAUCCUUGCCCACCACCUCCCACGCAAAGGUGAAAAAAGUUCCUGUAAAACCAUCUGGCCCACCCGCACUCUCCCCAUCCAUGUUAAACACCACCUCCCUUAUCUCCUCGUGCGAUGGAAACCGCUCCAAAUCAGCAACUUGAACAUCGGACACAACCUUAGGAAUCACAUCCAAAAUCCUCCAUGACCCAGUGGCAGGCUCCUCCGAAAGUAAGGAUUUGAAGAACUCCACCCCCAUGGCAGACACCUGACCUUCAUCCGAUACCCACUCCCCCUGGUCAUUCUUAAUUCGGUGAAUGAUGGACUUAGCUCUUCUCUCCGCCACAAUCGAAUGGAAAUACUUAGAAUUUUUGUCCCCGUCCUUAAGCCAUUUGACCCUUGCCUUUUGCCGCCAAUACCCUUCCUCUCUCACCAGAGAAUUUCUCAGUCUAGCACGAGCCUCCUGGAGUGCCAACCAAUGCGACUGACAAGGCUCAUUUCCAAAAGCGUCCUCUGCAGCUGCUACCUCGCCCUCCGCCCUCUUCACCGCGUCAAAAAUGUUACCGAACUGCUCACGAGACCAAACUUGCAAGUCCCGUUUGACAUUCCUCAGUUUAGCGGUUAAACGACUCAAAGGGCGCCCAGAACAAGGAACUGCCCAACUCCUCCUAAUGACAUCCAACAGCCCAGGCUUCGUCGUCCAAAUAUUCAAAAAUCGAAAAGGUUUAGGCUUGUUAUCUCGCCUCGUCGACGAAGACAUUAGAAGGGGGGCAUGAUCCGAAGGCUCCCUCCCUAGAUGUUGAACCUGAAAUUGCACCCCAGAGAGAAAGGCCGUUUGAUUGACAAACAUUCUGUCCAGGCGCUUCCAGAUACGGGCCAGACCCCCCCUAUUAUUACACCAAGUGAAAGGGCACCCCAGAAAACCAACAUCCGAAACACCCGCCAUCGACAUGAACGUUCUAAGCUCCACCCCUUCGUCAACCCGAAAAGGCAAUCCACCCCUCUUUUCAUCCGCGCUAACAGUAACAUUGAAAUCACCUGCCAACAUCCAAGGGUGCUCCGCCAGGUUUUCCGCUAUCAGAGCUGACCACAGCAAAGCUCGCUCCUGCUCAUUACAUUUUGCAUGGACAAAAGAAAAAUACACUGGAACUGGGAAAAUCGGAGAAAUGAUUUUAAGAGACACGUGCUGGGAGGAUUCUCCCACAAGAGAACAGUCAAAGGAAUUUUUAUAAAAUACCCAAAUAGACCCCUGGUUAUUCAUGAUCCAUCUAUCCAUCCUGAGGCGUGCACUAAACAAAUGAAUGUCGCGUGGUAACGCCUUAGGCUCACAAAUAGCCACUAAAGGAAUUGAAAACUCAUCAAUUAACCGUUUUAACCUACGAAAAUUUGGGGAUCGCGAGAUACCCCGAAUAUUCCAAAAAAGCAGAUUAAUCAUGAGACAAGGAUGCAAAUGAGUUAGAGGAGACUUUCGAUUUAGAACGUAAAGCACGGUCACUCGGGAUUUGGAGCCGAGUACCCCUCGGCUUAGGCUUAUCUACCAAACUAAAAACCUCCCCAUUAUUCACCUGUUCGUGUACCUGCUGAAUUAUAGGAUCAAGAUUAAAAAUGUCAAUCACCAAAGACCCCUCAUCCUGUUGCUUACCUGAUGGUUGCCCGCGCGGCGAUAAGCUCCCUGCACUAACUUCUGCACCAGACAACCCCACAUCACCGACCUCGCUCCCCUCCUCUGACAUGUCCAUCCUCGAACCUGUCUCCGCCAUAGCUGUCGAAGCAACAGCCUGAUCUCCCAGCUGAUUAUCAACCGCACCAGCGAAAUUCCGCUCCUGUUGGAGAACCGACUGCUGGCCACAAAGGUCCUCUCCCCCCUGUUCCUCCACCCGCAAAGGAGCUGCUAAUUCUUGGGGCCCCUCCGCCAACCUAUCCAUCACCACCGACUCCCCAGCGCCGGUCACUACCAGCGACCCUGCCUCCCCGCCAGCAAGCGGCGACGAAAUCUGCCCAGCAGCGCCAAGCACCACUCCCCCCUUCCCCUUCUGCUCCUCCGCUAUCCCCGGCCCCUCCAAAGGCAUUGCCUUCACAGAAUCUUGCGGAACCUCCUGGGUAACCUUUGGACGAAAUUCCAGCCGUGGCCUCCUCUCAUGCCACGCACCUGUGGAAACUUCAGAAACCUUUGCCGCUGGCGGCACCUCGCGGAACUCGGGGUGCUUUACUCUACAUUCGUGUUCGCUAUGCCCCUGUCGAAAACAAUACCCACAGUACUGCGGCAUCCCCUCAGGCUCAAGGGCCUGCCAGAAACCAUCACUCUCCCCCUGCCCAAAACCUACCCAUACUCUCCGUGGCAGUGAUUUCACCAAGUCAACCUCCACACAUACUCUGGCCACGCUCGGACGGGAUAGAGAGCUCGUUGCUGCAUCCAUGAAGAGUGGCCGACCCAGGGGUGAAACAAUAUGGAAAAGGCAUUCCUUAUUGAACAAAUGUAUCGGGAGUUUGGGAAGGGAGAACCAAACAGGAACAAUCGAAGGCUCCUUAUCGACAUGGAAAGAGGGUGUCCAUUUGAAGACCCGCAUCGGAUAACCCAAUAUAUACCAGAUGUGCCGCCCCCAGAUUCUGUGAAAGUCCCGUUCAGUUUGGAGGCGAAUGAUGAUAUGACGAGGAUCCAACAAACCUACCGAAACCGCCGUCAAGUCCAGCGUGUUAAAAAAUUUUCGGAUGUCCUCCAUGGCCGGCCUACCCCUGGAGAACUUCCCUAUUAGAGCAAGGGUAAAAGGCGCUGCAGCCCUAGCCAUGUCAGCCGAGGAGAAAACUACAGCAGGCUCCCCUCUCCUCGUAGUCUUGUCUGCUCGCACGUUCACGCAAGAAGGCUCCCUAGACGAAAAGAGCGAAGAAAAAGAUUUUGCUUGGAAAGAAGGGAAGGAAUCUGGAAGCUUCCCUUCAGCAAGAGGCUGAAGGGUAGCGGUGUCCGCCAUGGCGGCACGCACGGCAGCCAACCAAAGCGCACGGACUUACCCAGAGAGAAAACCUAGAGUGAUGUCACCAUAUAUCUAGCCAACUUGAUACCCUAUUUUAUGACUCUGUUCAUUAAGCAUAACUUAGAUAUAUCCAGAGAUAAUCUAAGGUAUUUGCGUGUAAUACAUUGUUGGCAUGUUGAGAAAAAUAAUGGGAUGAUUAAUUUAAAUUUUGUAUAAAAAUCUAAAACCCUAGACUCUUGCCAACCAUUUUCUCAACUCUAUUUAAUUUGCCUUGAUUAUUUGUUCAUUUUUUUUAGUUAUAGAUUGAAACCCCUAUGAAUUUGAAUUUUAUUAUUUGUCUAGAAUAAUUAAAGUAGAGAAAAUUAACUCGUCCGUAUAGAUUCUAUUUUGGAAUACUAUAGGUAAUUUAUUACUACAAUCGAUCCUAUGUGUUUACAGGAAUUCAUUGAUCAAAAUGCCGUGUUGGCAUCACCCUCUUCCAACCAUUUGACUCUCGAUUUAUCCUUAUAAAAGCUCUCCUCAGCUUGCAUCCUCAUUCAUAGUCUGUAUAUGAUUUUGCUUUCUCAAUAUAAAUUUUGGCCAACACAAUUCCAAAAAGUUCCUAAAUGUCCCCAACACGGUUGGUGAAAAGCCCCAAAAGUCCUUAUAGUUACCUUCUAAACUCGAUGUAAUAUCACUGCAGCUAAGCCUGUAGAGGUUUUAUAAAUAUAUGAUUUUGAGUUUAGCUUAAGUCUAUCAAUAAAACGAUAAAGAAUAUUUUAAAAUCUUUGCUUAUCCUCCUUAUUUUGAACAUUAUAAAUGUUGUUAUUACUUAUUAUGAGUUUACUAUAAAAAUUUAAAGAAGUAAAAAAUUAUAAAUUCCUAAAUUAGUGAACUAAAGAUUCCCUCUUUGAAGAAAAUAAAUUACUGAAGUCCUAUUGCAAGAUUUACCAGAAGAAGAACUCUAACAAGGAGAGUAUAUAUAUGCCGAGUUACUAAAAGCAUAGACAAAUAAAAAAGACACAAGGGUCAGGAAAACAUCUUUGUUUGGAUAUGAAGUUAUUUGCAACAAUAAAAAAAUAAAAAAAAUUAAUUGCAUCAUAAAUACGUUUUCUAAUUAUCUUUUUAUCUUUCUAGCCACCUUUUUAAUCUCAUAUCUAUCAUAUCACAAAGAGUGUUACGAUGUUAUUUCAAAAUAUUAUUCCAAAUAAUUUCCUAUUCGUACGCACUCAAAUAGCUCAAUCUUCAAUAAAUUACGCAUAACCCUAUAUGCAGAUUCCUAGAUUACAACAUAAACCCUAGUUUUAGAUUCUUUCCUUCUUUCAUCCUUUCAAGUUCUUGAGUUGCACCACAUCUUUUAACUACUGCUGUAAUUUCUCAAGCUUCUAAUCAUCGCUUUGUUAGUCCACCAUUUCACUUCCAAUUGAUCUUGUUCAUUUUACCCUACAAAACAAAGAGAUUUUGCGAGUAAAAUGACAAAAUCAUAGUUAAUUCAUCUAUCAACUUAAGGUGCAAAUCAAAGACUAAAAUAAGCAACUUGCACCAUUUAACUUCACAAAUUGACUCAAAAACAAUAUAACGCACCUACAAAAAUAUCCACAACUUGAGCUUAUAUCAGAAACGAACACUUUUUAUACUUCUGGCAUGGUUCUUAUAGAAUGAGUAGCGUAGUUUUGUUAAUUGGCAUGCAUAAUGGCUGUUUUUGAACAUUCGAAUCUACAUUAUCUUCACAAUAGAUUGUCGUAUUUCCAAAAUGAGAAAGCUGCUUUAUUUCAUUCGGUUUAAUACAUUUUUUGAUUGUUGUCAACAAAGUUUUGCAAUUUGGCAUUGAAACACAACUUCUUGACUUUCUCUUGCUUUUAUUGUGUAAAAAUGAUUACAAACCAAUGGAAUUUCCAUUUAAAAAUUUAAUAACCAAUUAAGAAAAUGACUUGCUCUUUUGGUGUAAUUGUUAGUCAUCUUCUUUUACAUCAACUCAUUAAGUAAUACAUCAAAUCAAAUACAAAAUGCAUAAGUUAUUACAUGACUGAAAUUAGCAUAUUCAAGCUGAAAGUUUUUUUUUUUAUUUCAACCCUCCAUCCCAUCCCCAACUGUCAACUUCAUGAUUCAAACUAUAAACCUGAUAGCUCUUAGCCACUGGACCAACCCUACAGAGUGGUAUCAAGCCCGCCAAAAGUUUGAAUGAUGAUAAAAUAAUGACAUAAAAUUAUAGGCCGAGCUAUAAUAAUUAGGCUAGUUGGUGUAUAUUUUCACACUGACCUCAUCAAGGACGUGUAAAAACGUGUUCCAUGCUGGUGGACCAUGAUUUUGGUAAUUAGGUCCGGCAUUGCCACAAAUUAAUUUAUGGUGUAGAGUAUCACAUUCUUAGGCCUAUAAAUACAAGGAGUCUGGUUCUCUGCUACCAAGUUUUCGACAGUCACCAGUUACAAAUAUCUAUUUCCAUUCUUAUUAGUUAGCUAGCUAGUCCUUUAAGAAGAAUAUGGCUGCAGCCAAAUCUGGUACUGGCAGUGGACAGGUGAAUAGUGACUGUAUGCCUUGCUAGACUGGAUUUCUUUGUUUUUCAAGUUUGUGUGUGCAUGGUUUUCGGAGUCAACUUAUAAACAACUCGUAUAGAAACGUUUGAAAAAGUAUGAGGAGUUGCAAAUUAAAGUAAUUUCAACAUUCUUGAGUCGACUUGAUUAGCAAUAUUUUAUGUUUCUAGUUGUCUACAUGCUGCGGUCUCUUGAAUUGUUUGAUAAAUAAGCUUCUUCCGAGCAAUGUCGUUUCUUAUGAAUUGAUUGGUUGGAUUUAGUUUUCUGGUUGCUCCUUUGUUUGAAAGGACUCUAACUGAUUUUGGGAACUCAAUUGUGUUGGGUUUUCUUACUGAAAAAUGUUUGGGGUUUGCAGAAAGACGAACCUAUUAUUCCUGUGGCGUCAACCGUCAAACCGAAAGACGAUAAGGUGAUUGAGAUUGCACAAUUUGCAGUUGUAACGUACAAUAAGCAGGCCGGGACCGAUCUGGUUUUCAUCAAUGUGGAAUUCGGCUUCUGGUGGAGCAUUUCUGGUGCCACUUACUACAUGCUUGCCAUUAAAGCUCAGGAUGAUAAGGGCACAUAUUGCGACGUAGCGUUGGUUGCUGAUAUACUGGAGAGCGGUGGUCAUCACACUUAUAAGCUCAUCUGGUACAAUCAUAAGAAAAAUGUUUGGGGUUUGCAGAAAGACCAACCUAUUAUUCCUCCGGCGACAACCGUCAAUCCGGAAGACCCUCAUGUGAUUGAGAUUGCACAAUUUGCAGUUGUAACGUACAAUAAGCAGGCCGGGACCGAUCUGGUUUUCAUCAAAGUGGAAUUCGGCUUCCGGUGGGGCAAUCUUGGUGCCACUGACUACAUGCUUGCCAUUAAAACUCAGGAUGAUAAGGGCACAUAUUGCGACGUAGCGUUGGUUGCUGAUAUAGUGGUGAGUGAUAAGUGAAUAUUUAACGUACAUUUUGUAUGAAUUUGGCAUUAAUUUUUGGUAUGUUCUGAGAAGAUUAAGCCAUAUUUGAACUCUUUUGGUGAUAAUUGCUUAAAUAUUGAUUAAGGUUUCAAAAAAUUGAUAAAUGAGUGAAUUAAUGCGUUAAUCUUGUGAAUUUGUGAAGGUAAUUGAUGUAUGAAAUUCAUGCACAAGUUCAAAGAAAUGUAAGGGUCAUCCAGAGGACAAAGUACACAAGAAAUUAGGAGCAAAAAUGUAGAAAAAAGAGAAGAAGUGAAAAACUGGAAAUUGGUCAACACGGAUCCGAGCUCGGAUCCGUGUGCACAAGAUGGAUCCGAACCCUCGUCUGUACUUCUGGCGGAGAGCAUCCGAGGUCAGGACGAUCCGACCUCGGAUCCAUUACGAAAUCCCUCGGAUCCCUCGGAUCCGAGCUCGGAUCCAUUUUCACUCCUCGGAUCCGAGGCUCGGAUCUGUCUCUCUCCUCAGCAAGUGCAACAGCCGUUUUUCUUUACCUUUUUCACAACUUUCCAGCUAUUUUGAGGGACAGAAAUCGGUGGCACAUGCUUCUGCAACAAAAGAAAAGACCAAAUGAGUAUGGACAAAAGGAAAUAUCAUAUCUUUGACUUCUUUUUACAAAAUCUGAGUGGAGGAAAUUAUGAAGUGAGAGGAAUGGAAUUUCUUCCACCUUUUAUGCAGAAACACAGAGGAGAAGCAGGGGAUUACCAUACGUAGCUAGUUUUUCAUUUUGUAACAAGUUUCUCUCUAGUUAGGAGUCUUGGAGAAGCAUUUUGUCUUUGGAGUUUUUCACUUGUAAUCAGAUUGUGCAAGAGCAUAGCAGGAAUUAGAGAGCUUCACCUUCAGUUGGCUAAGCUUUCUUUCAUCUUUCUUAUACUUGUACUGUAUGAUGUUUUGCAGCAAUAAACUUGUGAUUCUGAUUGUUGAAUCAUACAUGAGUAGCUAACUUUCUUCAUCUAGGGAGUAGAUGAAACUUAUGGCUAAAUAGUAUAAAUUGAAUGUGAUUUACACUUGUUAUAUCUUGUAUUAACUUGUCUACUUGUGUAGCUGUGAUUACUUGCUAUUGAUUGAUCACCAAUAGUUUGGUUAUAGUUGUUAUUGUUCAAUGAGAAUUGGUAAUAACAAUGGAAACACAUGAGUAGAGCUUGAGUUGUAUGUUCAUGAAAAUAGAGAUACACGUAGGUGGAUUACUUAGCAUUUCAUGAAAUAAAACAGAGUAGUAGUAGUAUUUCACCAUGAAAAUAGGGAAAUCUAUAUUGCUUUAGGCCAUUUCAUCAUGAAAAUGAGUCUUGGAAACUUUGGAAAUGAAUCUGUGGUUAAGCAAGAAUAAUAGCAAGAAGUAAAUCCAUUCAUUUGUAUUGUUUAUGCCAUAAGUGGAAUCUACAUCCCUAGAAUCUUCCUUAAGUGAAAUUUCUCUAUUUGCAUUCAGCAUUUGUUAAACUAGAUUUGUAUAUCAGAUUUGUAGAUUACAGCAUUAGAUUUUCUCUGCUCAAAUUAAUUGUUAGUCUAAAUAAUAGAGAAAAUAAGGGCUUAGUAAUUGUUUGAAUUGCUCCUCGUGGGAUCGACCCGAUAUACAUCUUGUACUACAAUUGCGACCUGUAUACUUGCAGUCCAACGGGUGUAAAAUCGGAAUUAAACUUGCAUUGAUACAAAAUAUCCCGUCAAGUUUUUGGCGCCGUUGCCGGGGAGCGGCAAUAUUAGGGCCUCAUCAUCUCUAUUAAUUUAGAUAAAUUUCAUUAUCUUUAUUCAAGUUGUUGAAUUAAAAGUAUAAAAAUUUUCUCUUGUUUUUGUUUGUAGUGUAUGCACCGAUCAAAUCGAGGACUUGUACAUUUCGAUCCGGAAAUUGAAAGAACAUUACGCAGACAAAGGAGGAAUACAUCACAUCAAGAGGAACAAGAGGUUUGGCAGCCAAUACAAGAUAUUUUGAUAGAAUUACAAUUUGAGGAAGAAAUGGCAGAAAAUGAAUCAAAUAGGAGAAUUCUGCGAGAUUUUGCUUUACCGGGAGCACAAGGAUCUCAAACUAGCAUUGUAAGACCAACGGUAAACGCUAAUAACUUUGAGAUAAAACCAUCACUGAUUCAAAUGGUACAACAAUCUCAAUAUGGAGGUAAUGCUACUGAGGAUCCAAAUUCUCACUUAUCAACAUUUCUUGAAAUUUGUGAUACAAUUAAGUUUAAUGGUGUUAGUGAAGAUGCGAUUAAACUUCGAUUGUUUCCAUUUUCACUAAGGGACAAGGCUAAGGUUUGGCUACAAUCUCAUCCUCCAAAUACUUUUACUACUUGGGAUGAAUUAGCUAAGGCUUUUCUUAAUAAAUUCUUUCCACCUGGAAAAACUGCUAAAUUGAGAAUGGAUAUAACAAGUUUCUCUCAACAGGAAGGAGAGACAUUGUAUGAAGCUUGGGAGCGUUAUCGGGAAUUGCAAAGAAGAUGCCCUCAUCAUGGUCUACCCGAUUGGCUAGUAGUCCAAACAUUUUACAAUGGUCUCACCUAUCCAACAAAGACACAUGUAGAUGCAGCAGCGGGAGGAGCUUUAAUGGGAAAGACAGCUGAGGAAGCUCAGCAAUUGAUCGAAGAAAUGGCUGCUAACAACUACCAAUGGGCAAACGAACGAGGUAAUUCAAGGAGAACCGCAGGUAUGCUUGAAGUAGAUACCUUGAAUAUGUUAAGUGCAAAAAUGGAUAAUGUGGUUAAGAUGCUUAAUAGGCAAGUUGGUUCUAGUUCUAAUCAAGGAGUAGUUGUUGCAAGUUGUACCAUUUGCGGCGGAGAUCAUGAUGAUUUUAUGUGUUCUAGCAGUGAACAGGUUCAAUAUCUCAACAAUUACAACCGUCCACCCCAAAACAAUCCAUACUCCAAUACUUAUAAUCCAGGAUGGCGUAAUCACCCGAAUUUUGGAUGGAAAGAUCAAGGGAACCAACAAAGACCAGUUAAUCCACCAGGUUUUCAACAAAAGCAAACACUGCAUGAGUCCAAACCAGCUUGGGAAUUGGCAAUCGAAAAGCUAGCUAAUGCAUCAAAUGAUAAAAUUGAAAAGUUAGCUAGUGCCACUACUCAACGGUUUGAAAGAAUUGAGGGAAGAAUGGACCAACUCACCAAUAUGUACAGGAAUGUUGAGGUCCAAUUAGGCCAAAUUGCCAAUGCGGUUAAUAAUCGUAACCAAGGGGAUUUACCUAGCAAAACUGAAGUGAACCCAAGGGAGCAUGUGAAGGCCAUAACCCUCCGUAGUGGUAAGGAAUUAGUUGAGCCGCCAGUAGUUGGAAGUGGAAGAGAGUUUGAAAAAAGAGAGAAUAAGAAAUUGAGUGAGUUAAAAGAGGGAAGCAAGGAAGAAAAAGGGAAAGAAAAGAUAGAGAAAAAUGAACUGCAAAUGGAAGAUGCAACACCAAUUCCUCCACCGGUGCCAUUCCCUCAAAGAUUGAAGCCUUCAAGAAAUGACAAAGAAUUUGAGAAAUUUGUCAACAUUUUUAAACAAUUACAUAUUAACAUUCCUUUUGUGGAUGCUAUUUUGCAGAUUCCUUCGUACGCGAAGUUUCUCAAGGAGAUAAUGACCAGGAAAAGGAAGUUGGUAGACAGUGAGACAAUUGCAUUAACAGAAGAAUGUAGUGCAAUCAUACAAAACAAAUUGCCACCCAAAUUGAAAGAUCCAGGGAGUUUUACAGUUCCUUGCACUAUCGGUAAUGUAGAAUUUUCUAAAGCACUUUGUGACCUUGGUGCAAGUGUGUCAUUGAUCCCUUUAACUGUGGCUAGGCAAUUGGGGUUGAAAGAGUUGAAGCGUACUAACAUUUCCUUGCAAUUGGCUGACAGGUCUAUUAGACAUCCAAUGGGCAUAUUGGAAAAUGUGCUCAUUAAAGUGCAGAAAUUUAUUAUUCCUGUCGAUUUUGUUGUUUUAGAUAUGGAGGAAGAUGUAAAUGUACCUAUUAUACUUGGUAGACCAUUUCUGGCCACUGCAGGUACAAUAAUAGACGUCAAACGAGGUAAGUUUAAGUUUCAAAUCGGUGAAGAGGAAGUGGAAUUUGAUUUGAGUAAAGUAGAGAAAUAUCCCUCUUUUACCGACCAUGUUUAUUCGGUUGACAUAUGUGAUGAAUUGGCAUUAGAAAUGAGUCAAGUAAAUCUUGAUAAUGAUUCUCUUGAACUUUGUCUUAAUGGUAUAGGUAUACAAGAGGAACAGAUUGAAGAAAUGACUGAAUUUUUGUAGGCACAAAUUCCUUAUAAAAGGAGAAAUGCAUACGAGGCGUUAGGACUGAGCAAAGGGCUACCUCCACCAUCAUGUGAGAAAGCACCGCAGCUUGAGCUUAAGCCGCUGCCUAAGCACCUCAAAUAUGCAUUUCUUGGAGAAAAAGAGACACUGCCUGUGAUUGUAAAUUCAGCAUUAAAUGAGGAACAAUUAGACAAGCUCUUACGUGUUUUGAGGAAGCAUUUAAAGGCUAUAGGAUGGACAAUUUCUGAUAUCAAAGGAAUUAGUCCAACUAUUUGUAUGCACAGGAUUUUAUUGGAAGAAAAUUCUAAACCAGUGGUUGAGACUCAAAGAAGGUUAAAUCCAAACAUGAAAGAAGUGGUAAGAGUAGAAAUCCUUAAAUGGUUGGAUGCAGGUAUAAUUUUUCCAAUUUCUGACAGUGUGUGGAUUUCUCCUAUCCAUGUAGUACCAAAGAAAGGGGGGAUAACCAUAGUACAUGGUAAAAAUGAUGAAAUGAUUCCCUCUAGAGUUGUGGUUGGUUGGCGAGUCUGUAUUGAUUACAGAAAAUUGAAUGCAGCUACUAGGAAGGAUCAUUUCCCUCUUCCUUUUCUUGAUCAAAUGGUAGAAAGAUUGGCCGGAUAUGAAUUUUAUUGUUUCUUGGAUGGUUUUUCAGGAUACAAUCAAAUAGUCAUUGCACCAGAAGAUCAAGAGAAAACUACAUUCACUUGUCCUUACGGUACUUUUGCAUUUCGAAGGAUGCCUUUUGGAUUGUGCAAUGCACCGGCCACUUUCCAACGAUGCAUGAUGGCAAUUUUCUCUGAUUUUAAUGAGAAAAUUAUGGAAAUCUUCAUGGAUGAUUUUUCUGUAUUUGGAUCUACUUAUGAUGAUUGUCUUAACAAUUUAGAUCUAAUUUUGCAGAGAUGUGAAGAAACAAACCUUGUACUCAAUUGGGAAAAAUGUCACUUCAUGGUUUGUGAAGGUAUUGUGUUAGGCCACAAAAUUUCCUCAGAAGGUAUUGAGGUUGAUCAAGCCAAAAUAGAGGUUAUUGAGAGAAUGCCUCCACCAACCAAUGUGAAAGGCAUUCGUAGCUUUCUUGGACAUGUGGGAUUCUAUCGGCGGUUUAUUAAGGAUUUUUCCAAGAUUGCUAAACCUUUAUGUGAAUUACUUGCAAAAGAUGUUCCUUUUCAAUUUACUGAUGAGUGUUUACUUGCUUUUAAUAGGUUAAAGAAGCAACUUGUCUCCGCACCUAUCAUAGCAUCACCGGAUUGGAGCUUGACAUUCGAAUUAAUGUGUGACGCAAGUGAUUUUGCAGUUGGGGCUGUUCUUGGGCAAAAACAUAAUAAGCGACUUCAUGUCAUUUAUUAUGCAAGUAAAAUGUUAAAUGAAGCUCAAGUUAACUAUGCAACAACAGAGAAGGAGUUGCUAGCAGUGAUUUUUGCAUUGGAUAAAUUUAGAUCAUACUUAGUAGGAUCUAAAGUUAUCGUUUAUACUGAUCAUGCAGCACUCAAGUAUUUGUUAAAUAAGAAAGAUGCAAAACCGCGAUUAAUUCGAUGGAUUUUAUUGUUGCAGGAAUUUGACUUGGAGAUCAAAGAUAAAAAAGGAUCCGAGAAUUUAGUUGCAGAUCAUCUUUCUAGACUGGAGAACAUGCAGCAAGAUGACCAUUUGUCCAUUAAAGAAGAAUUUCCAGAUGAGUUUUUAAUGGCAAUUUAUAAGUCACCAUGGUAUGCUGAUCUAGUUAACUUUAUAGCUAGUGGAGUGAUACCUAAUGAUUUGAAUUCUCAUCAAAGAAAAAAAUUCUUAAAUGAUGCUAAACAUUACUUUUGGGAGGAACCAUUCUUUUACAAACAUUGUGCAGAUGGAAUAAUUAGAAGAUGUGUUCCGGAGGAGGAGGUACAUAGCAUUUUAAUGCAUUGUCAUACUCUUGAAACGGGAGGUCAUUUUAGUACUACUAAGACUGUAGCAAAGAUAUGGCAAUCUGGAUUUUAUUGGCCUACUAUGCACCAAGAUACUAGAAAUUGGGUGAAAAGUUGUGAUCAAUGCCAAAGAACCGGUAAUAUCUCAAGAAGGAAUGAAAUGCCUUUGACUACAUAUUUGGAAGUUGAGUUAUUUGAUGUUUGGGGCAUUGAUUUUAUGGGACCAUUUCCUAGCUCAUAUAAUAACAAGUACAUCCUUUUAGCAGUUGAUUAUGUCUCUAAAUGGGUGGAGGCCAUUCCUUCACAAACUAAUGAGGCUAAAGUUGUGCUUAAGUUUCUGAAACGGAACAUAUUUUGUAGGUUUGGAGUCCCAAAGGCAAUAAUAAGCGACGAAGGUAAGCAUUUUUGUAAUAAAGCUAUUGACACUUUGUUGUUUAAAUAUGGGUGCAGGCAUAAAAAGUCACUCCCCUAUCAUCCUCAAGCUAAUGGACAAGCGGAGUUGGCCAACCGGGAAAUUAAAAUCAUUUUGGAAAAAACAGUAAACCGAUCAAGAAAAGAUUGGUCAAACAAGCUUGAAGAUGCUUUAUGGGCGUAUAGAACGGCAUUUAAAACGCCGUUGGGAAUGUCUCCAUAUAAGCUUGUUUAUGGGAAAGCAUGUCAUUUACCUGUGGAAAUAGAACAUAGAGCUUAUUGGGGCAAUUAACUUUGAUUUUAAAUCUGCAGGUGAAAAGAGAAUGCUUGAGUUAAGCGAAUUGGAGGAAUUGAGGUUGACUUCGUAUGAGAAUGUCAAGAUUUACAAAGAAAAAGUGAAAUUUUGGCAUGAUAAACAUAUCCUCCCUAAGCAUUUUGAAGAAGGGCAAAAGGUUUUGAUGUUUAACUCAAGGCUUAAAUUAUUUCCUGGAAAGCUUAAGUCUCGAUGGUCCGGUCCAUUUGAAGUGGUUCGCAUGUUUCCUUAUGGAGCAGUGGAAAUAAAAGGAGAAAAUGGUGCUCCAUUCAAAGUAAAUGGCCAAAGAUUGAAGCUCUAUUUGGCAGGAGAAAAAGUUCCUAAAGGGGUAAUUUACUCCUUAGGAAAUGCAAAGGAGAAUUAAAGAAGUUAUAGGAUUGUCGAGCCAACGACUAUAAACAAAAGCGCUUGUUGGGAGGCAACCCAAUAAUAAUAGUGUAUUUGUGUGUUUUUAGGUGUUUCUUACAUUUUGGCGUGAUUUAAUUGACUAAUUAGAUAUAUUUCACUUGUUUGUAGGAGGUACGGGAGUUUUAUCAUCCAUCUCGGAGGUGCACUUGAAGAAUAUGUGUAAAAGGGAGUUUUUCUUAUCAAAUUGUGUUUUAAGUGCUCAAAAUUCCCAUGCAUAUACAUACAUUGUGCAUUUCAAGUAUAUUUAAGUGAGUUUUGGUGAUAUCAUGGUUAUAAAGGCUCAUGGACUCAUUUGAUAUACAUUUAAUGCUAAAAAAAAAAAUGCCAUUUUAGUGUAAAAAUGCAAAAAUGAUCAAAGAACCUCACCCCUCGAUUUUCAAUGUAGAUGUGUUUGUUGUGUUUUGAGAGGUUGGAUAUUAUGUUUAUGGUAUAUUACAUGUGCAUGGGACGUUGGAAUUGAGAAAAGGGAUGUCCAAUGUGUAAUUUGGAAUUGGCCGAAAAAAGGGAGAAAAAGUUUGAAAAAAAUUGCAGUUUCUGCAAUUUGUUGCAGAGACACAAGGAUCCGAGCUCGGAUCCUAAAAGCCCAGACAGAUCCGACCGCGGAUCCAUAGAUCCGAGCUCGGAUCCAUUCCAACCCAGACAGAUCCGAGGGCUCGUCUGUGUUUCUGUUGGGGCUGAUCCGAGCCCUAUCGGAUCCGAGCCCUUCCAGAAAGGAUCCGACCUCGGAUCCUUUCACGAUAAGAAAGGAAACGAGGCCUCGGUUCCUCAUUUUUCCAGAUUUCUUUUUUUUUCUCUCUUCGAAACCCUAUUCCCUUUCCUCCAAUCUUCCAUUUCAUCCAUAACAUUCCCAAUUUUUCACAACAAAAACCUUCACUAACCUCUUCUGAGCAUUAACCCUUAACAAUUUGAAAUCAAAAACAUCAAAUUGAGGGGUUUUGAUCUUCAAAACGCAAAUUAGGGCCGAAUUGAAAUCUUGCAAUUUGAGGUCGCGUUUGGGCUUGGUUGUUCUCCAUUUUUGCAUCAUUAUCAUCCUCCAUCAUCACUCCAUCUAUUUGAGGUAACACAUUUCGAAUUUCUGUGACAUUUUAUAUCUCUCAUUUUUGUAUAUUUUUAGUUUUUCAAUAUAUUUUGCUAAUAGCUUAAUUGUUGCAAAUUCGUGAUAUAAUUGUGAUACAUUGUGCUCAAAUCAGUUGCUAUAAUUAUUUUCAUGCUUAUUUGUGUGAGAAUUAUGGAUUUGGUGAUAGUUUUGAGAUUUCCUUCUCAAUUUUUGGGCUUGAGCAUGUUAGUGGUUUAAACUUGUGAAUUUUGCUUUCUGUGAAUAUAUGAACUUGUUCAGAGAGGUAUAAAUCACUGUUAUACCAAUUGAAAAUGAUAUGCUAGAGCAAUAGCCCAUUGGGUAAAAGUGUGUGUUCCCGAUCAAGUUAAGCACAUUGAACCACUUUUACUUGAAAUAAUUAGUAUUUGGAUUAAUUGGGACUCAUAUGUCGUUAACUUAAGUGUUAACGAGUGUUAUGAAAUGGAUUGGAGAUAUUCUCAAGUGUUUGAGUGUUCAUUCUUGCAAAUGGAUAUAAUUUAAAAUUGUUUGCACUUAAUAUGCAUGAAAUGAUUUCUUUACUGCUAAUAUCCUUUCUGAGUGUGGGAAUUGGAUUUGACAAUUGUUAGAAAGUUUAUUUGUUUAAUUUUGGGUACAUUUUGGCAGGGAGUUUAGCCCUUUUUCAAGGGGAAAUUCUGCCGAAAUUUUCUUAAAUUCUUAUUUAACAUGUAUGAGAGAGUUUCUAUCGUCUCUAAUAAAUACUCAUCUUGUUUAUAGGUGCUAUGGCUCGUACAAGGAGGGCUCGUAUUCGUACUCCUACACCAUCGUCAAGUGAAGAACAUACACCUUCUGUGCAUGAGGAGUCGCCUGAGGAAGAAUCCCCUUCGCCUGAAUCACCACCUCGAUCUCGCCGGAAAACUGCAUCCACUAGCCGUGACGAGCCAAUUCCUGACUAUGAUACCACUCGUUUCACCUCGCUCGAGAAUCAACAGUGGUACGAGGCUGGUUUGGACAAAGAGAUUAUCGUUGAAAAACAUUUGGCACCGGAGGUGGAUGCACACUACCACAUCUCCACGGUAUUUAAGCGACUCGGAUGGGAGACUAUACUAAAUUUGCCAAAACAUUACUAUCCCAAUCUGGUCAGGGAAUUCUACGCCAAUGUAGAAAAUAAACAAAGUCACAGUGGCAACCUCAUCGUCUCGUGGGUUCGAGGAAGAAGAGUGGCUCUCAAUCGCGAUACAUUGAGACAAUUCACCAAACUCAAAGAUGAAGGCGAAGAUGUCAAAUUGACCAAGGAGUUCAAAGCUCGAGACCCUUGGGAAGUGGGAGAGGCCGUGGGACGGCUAAAGGGUCAAUACCGUGAGCGAGGAAGUUCGAAAAAACUCACGGUAUAUGCCGACUCCUUCGAGCAUCGGUACCACCUGAUUUUCUACCUUUUUGCCUUCAAUGUGGUACCGAAAAAGAGUGGCAAACGGGAGAUCCGAAAUAGCGAUCUCUAUUUUCUGGAUAAAAUGAUACAUGGAGUGGGUAGGCAAUUGACUGGUAUUCCUCUACCCAGCAUUAUCAUCAGCUAUAUGCGAACCACAGCUCGUAUGAGGGCCGGCGAGACUUGUUUUGGAUUUCCUCGGCUGCUAUCCCUCAUCUUUGAGAAGCUCAAGAUUCCCAUUGGAACCCAGAGAGCUGUGGUAACUAGGUCGGCCGACGAGGUAAAUGAUUCGUUACUCAAAUCCUUGGGUAUUUCUACUGAUUUUGGAGCUACUUUGGUCCGGGACACAGGAGAAGCAUCGACUUCCACUCAGCCUCCGCCUCACACUGAACCACAAGCGGAAACUCAAGAGACGGAGGCACAGCAGACUCUUCCUCCUCCGGUUCCACGACCACCUCCUCAAUCGCGCUCCAAGUGGCAAGAGCUUCUCAAUGCUAUUUGCUGUAUGGAGACGCGAGUCGUCGAGCGCAUUGACCAGACGGAACGGAUGAUGACUGAGCGACUCGACCGACAUGAUCGCCGUCUUCGUGCGAUCGAGGAUCAUUUUCAUAUUCGACGGUCCCCUACACCGACACCUCAUCAGGAGGAGGGCCAUAUUGGUACCUCACAGGGUCCUCAUGGAGCCGAGGAGGCAGUAGACCCUCGUUCCCAGCAGCCAUGAUGCUUUUUAGCGCAUUAGACCUUUUAUUUCUUUAUUUUUCUUUUCUUUUGUUAAGACAAACUUUGUAGCUUUUAUUUUUCUUUAAUUUAAAUCAUUUUGUGCUACUUAUGGUAUUUGGUACCCUUGUUGUCUCAUUUUGGACAGAAAAUGGAUGAGCGUGAUGAUUAAAAGAUUCAAACGGCAUCACCACCUAUUUUGAGGGAAGUUUCAGUUCUUUUACCUUCCUCUACAAUGAGGACAUUGUAGAUUUUAAGUGUGGGGGAGGCAUUACUUAUCUUAUGGGUGAUUGUGUGUUGAAAUGCAUGAUUUUAGUUGUUUAUGGCUUAAAAAUGUUGGAAUUAUAUGUGGAGAUAGUCAUGAGGAUUUCAUUACAAUUCUUCCAUAAAAAUGGCCAAAAUGUUAAAAUUUUAAGUGUCUAAUUCUUCCAUUGGAUAAAAUGCUAUGUGUAUUUUGGAAAAGUUUAGUUCUUAUUUGGCCUGGAAUGAAUUAUUAUGCAAUUAGGAUAUUUACAUUUUAGAAAGUAUAUUUGGUUAAAUAAGAAAAAUUAUGCUUAGAAUUUUGCAAAAUUAAUGAGAUUUAUCAUUUUUACUUAAUUUUAUAAGUAAGUGAUUGAUAUAGUCAAAAACAAGGCCAAAUUCUUCCUUUAAUUAUACUUAAAGGGAAAAAGAAAUUAUAUGUCAUAAAAAAAAAAAACAAGAAUAAUAUUAUUAUUUUUCUACUCCAAUGAUUCAUAUACUGAGUAACCGGGGGUUGGCAUUUACAAAUAUCGACAUUCGCGUAAAAAGGUAUUGGAAUUAAGAGUAUGCUUAGCAAUUUAAAUAAGUGAAAUGUUGAGUAACCGGGAAUUUUCACCUAAAAGUGUUGAUUUUCGUGUAAAAAGACAUUUUCAUUAUUUAAAUAAGAAGAAAUGUGAAUAAAUCCCUCUAAAUUGAUAAGUUUUGGGAUAAGGAAGGCCAUAAAAUUGACUAUGUGAUUUACUUAUUUGUGAAAUUAGGAUAGAAUGAGAGAAUUGAUUUGAAUUUGUUGAAAUUAAGGCAUAAUUAUUUUUAUUUAAUUAAAUAUUAUGAGUAUUUAGUGUAAUCUGAGAAAUGGCAUAAUGAUUGGUUUCUAGGUUUUUGAGGAAUUAAAUUUGACAAAAGUACGUAUAUUGUUUUAUCUAUUAAAAUAGUUGAAGUAAGUUGAAAAAAAAAAAAAUUUUGCUUGAGGACAAGCAAUGAUUCAAGUGUGGGGGAAUUUGAUAAGUGAAUAUUUAACGUACAUUUUGUAUGAAUUUGGCAUUAAUUUUUGGUAUGUUCUGAGAAGAUUAAGCCAUAUUUGAACUCUUUUGGUGAUAAUUGCUUAAAUAUUGAUUAAGGUUUCAAAAAUUGAUAAAUGAGUGAAUUAAUGCGUUAAUCUUGUGAAUUUGUGAAGGUAAUUGAUGUAUGAAAUUCAUGCACAAGUUCAAAGAAAUGUAAGGGUCAUCCAGAGGACAAAGUACACAAGAAAUUAGGAGCAAAAAUGUAGAAAAAAGAGAAGAAGUGAAAAACUGGAAAUUGGUCAACACGGAUCCGAGCUCGGAUCCGUGUGCACAAGAUGGAUCCGAACCCUCGUCUGUACUUCUGGCGGAGAGCAUCCGAGGUCAGGACGAUCCGACCUCGGAUCCAUUACGAAAUCCCUCGGAUCCCUCGGAUCCGAGCUCGGAUCCAUUUUCACUCCUCGGAUCCGAGGCUCGGAUCUGUCUCUCUCCUCAGCAAGUGCAACAGCCGUUUUUCUUUACCUUUUUCACAACUUUCCAGCUAUUUUGAGGGACAGAAAUCGGUGGCACAUGCUUCUGCAACAAAAGAAAAGACCAAAUGAGUAUGGACAAAAGGAAAUAUCAUAUCUUUGACUUCUUUUUACAAAAUCUGAGUGGAGGAAAUUAUGAAGUGAGAGGAAUGGAAUUUCUUCCACCUUUUAUGCAGAAACACAGAGGAGAAGCAGGGGAUUACCAUACGUAGCUAGUUUUUCAUUUUGUAACAAGUUUCUCUCUAGUUAGGAGUCUUGGAGAAGCAUUUUGUCUUUGGAGUUUUUCACUUGUAAUCAGAUUGUGCAAGAGCAUAGCAGGAAUUAGAGAGCUUCACCUUCAGUUGGCUAAGCUUUCUUUCAUCUUUCUUAUACUUGUACUGUAUGAUGUUUUGCAGCAAUAAACUUGUGAUUCUGAUUGUUGAAUCAUACAUGAGUAGCUAACUUUCUUCAUCUAGGGAGUAGAUGAAACUUAUGGCUAAAUAGUAUAAAUUGAAUGUGAUUUACACUUGUUAUAUCUUGUAUUAACUUGUCUACUUGUGUAGCUGUGAUUACUUGCUAUUGAUUGAUCACCAAUAGUUUGGUUAUAGUUGUUAUUGUUCAAUGAGAAUUGGUAAUAACAAUGGAAACACAUGAGUAGAGCUUGAGUUGUAUGUUCAUGAAAAUAGAGAUACACUUAGGUGGAUUACUUAGCAUUUCAUGAAAUAAAACAGAGUAGUAGUAGUAUUUCACCAUGAAAAUAGGGAAAUCUAUAUUGCUUUAGGCCAUUUCAUCAUGAAAAUGAGUCUUGGAAACUUUGGAAAUGAAUCUCUGGUUAAGCAAGAAUAAUAGCAAGAAGUAAAUCCAUUCAUUUGUGUUGUUUAUGCCAUAAGUGGAAUCUACAUCCCUAGAAUCUUCCUUAAGUGAAAUUUCUCUAUUUGCAUUCAGCAUUUGUUAAACUAGAUUUGUAUAUCAGAUUUGUAGAUUACAGCAUUAGAUUUUCUCUGCUCAAAUUAAUUGUUAGUCUAAAUAAUAGAGAAAAUAAGGGCUUAGUAAUUGUUUGAAUUGCUCCUCGUGGGAUCGACCCGAUAUACAUCUUGUACUACAAUUGCGACCUGUAUACUUGCAGUCCAACGGGUGUAAAAUCGGAAUUAAACUUGCAUUGAUACAAAAUAUCCCGUCAGUGAGCGGUGGUCACACUUAUGACCUCAUCUGGUACAAUCAUAACAAUAAUUAAUCAAGCACUACUCUUGAUCAGCUGAGGAGUGAGGAUCGACGAUUUUAAGUACUUUAAUUAUCUAGUGUUUAUGGUGUGGUUUUCAGUUUAUGCAUGGAUGAUGUACUGCUGGCAUGCAAACAUCCUCCCACUGUUGUACUAGUGUGUAAUGUAAGGUGCACUUCUACCAACAAAAAUGCACCGUUAAAUAAAAAAAUCCGUCUGUAUUUGAGUACGUGUCCUUGUACUAAUAUGUCAAAGGCGCACUUGUACGAACAAAAAUGCACCAUUAAAUAAAUAGAAACAGCUGUACGAGUUUGAGUUUGUAUCUGUGUAUUUUGUUUCUCUGUUACCUGCAAGCAACUAUCAAUCCCUGAGUUUUGCAUGUCAGCUAGGUACUAUAUUCAUGACUAGUUAUGAAGUCUGAUAACUAGUUAAGUAUUACUUAAGAUGAAUCCAAACCUUAAAAAGAAAUGAAAGAUUAGUUGAUACAUUGGGAGUAACACAAGCCGAUGACGUUUUGGUUCUUCUUUGAAGUAUAUUUUGGAUGUUCUUCAUAAAUAUGAAGACUGUUCAGGCCAGCGAGUUAACAAAAAGUUGUUUCUUGACCCAUCAGCGGUUGAAUGUGGCAAGACGACGAGUGAUCAAAAGUGUCACUGGGAAUUCAUAUGCAGGCCAUAGCUAAAUUUCCGUUUUUGGAUCUCUGUACAACUGGUACACGUAAAAUUUGUCAGCUAAACUCCGCCACCAAUUGUUCACGAUAUGCAGGAUGGAUGUUCUGGACAAGAAUAUAAAGAUUAAAAAGGGGACUACGAUUAUCAACAAGAAUAAAAUUGGAUUUAGAAAAAACAUGGUUGAUUACUCGUAUGAUUUGUGCCUAAUGAUAAUUACGAAGCAGAAGAAGAAAAAGAAGGGAAAAAAAGAAGAAAGAAAGGGUUGGAUUGUUGCACACACACAUACAUACAUACAUACAUAUAUAUACACACAUGCAUAUAUAUACAUACGUAUAGGGGAGAGGGAUGGGUUGGGUGAUACAGGGGAAAGAAGUGCAAGCGAAGGUCUCGGGUUCGAGUCCUCCUACUUACACUAAAAAAAACAUAUGUAUAUAUCCUUAUACUAUAUAAGAAUGAAUUUAGGGCAAAGAUUUCAAUCCCAAGGAUGGGGCUAUUUUGGAAAUAUGAGAGUAUUUGAGGUGAAAUUGGAAUAUUUAAUAUGAAUCAUUAUAACUGAUUUGGUUUUUUUUUAUAAUUACUUAAAUGUCCUCUCAGACAUUUAAAGCUAUGAGUAAGUUUAACAUGUGACAGUAUUCGAUAUUCAAUUAAUUAUUCGGUACAAUUGAAUUCAGCUUGUGUUUUAGUGAAAUUACAUAAAAAUCCUUUUAAUCAUUUAAUUGUAUUAACAUCUACGUCUCUUAAUUUCUUAAAGCCUUUCUCAACAAUUAUUUGCAAACUUAUGAUAUAUAGAUGUUAAGACACAAGUUUGGUUUCUUGGCCGUUACCAUAGUAACCCCCAUCUAUCCAAAUUCAUUUCAUUUACCUAUAACUUUGUUCCACUACAAUCAUGUAGUCUAUUGAAUUCAGAUGUUGCUAUAUUAGCUACUACUCUUUCCCAUUUUGCAACAUCUUUCUCAAUAGGUUUGUUUUCUUUAGCUAAUCUACUUUUUUGGUUGUAAGAAAUUUGCAAUCUUGUAAGUUGUAUGUGCAAUAAUUUUUUUAGUGUUUUAAUUCAAUUGCCCAUGUUAGAUUGGCUUGAUAGGGAGGAGAUCACAUUUAUUAAUUGUUAUUUGUGGUUUAGAAUAAGUUUGUCAUCAUAAAUUUUUUCAUUAAUAGAUUGCAUCUACUUCUUUUGUUGUUUUAACUAUUAGUUACGAUAAUUUUCAAAUCAUUUGCUACUUUUUUUAUGAUUCCAUUUAGGCAAUUUUUCACUUCAUUUGAUUUGCCAAUAUGUUUAACUAUCUACUUUAAAACUAUUUGGCUGCAAAUCUAAAGUAUGUACUUCAUUACUUUUAAUUUUUUUCUUGAAUUGAGUGGGUUAAGAUGUUUUAGUACUUUUUUGAGGUAAUUAUUCAUCUAGAUUAGCGUGUUAGUUAUUGUAUAUCUUUGCAACUAGGUCAAAAACUGAUGUUUUGUGAUUGUAACCCCUAUCGAGAAAGAGAUGCUUUGCUAUAUGUCCUAAAUCAUACAAUAAAUCAUAAUUAAUUGAUUUGUCAAUGUGGAGCUUUCAUGAUGAUAUGUCAUUGGAAUCAAUAUAAAUCCAAGAAUUUGGCUUGCAAGAACCGAAAUUCCACUAGCAAUGAUUUCUUCAAGUAUGCUAAUUUUUCAAAUCUCACUUAUAUGACAAGAUAAUGAGGUAGACUGCCCUCAAAUCAAGAUCAAAUUCAAACUUAACGACAAAAUUUAACAUCCCUAAAAUGCAUGAGUAGAUAUAAGUAGAUCUUUUAUUCUAUUAGAUUAGACGCAAAGUGAUUAAUCGUAUUUUAUAAUUAUAUUUUGUUGCAUAUUAUUUUUUUCACUCAAUAUGUAAUUUAUGAUUUUUCUAUUUAAUAUCACAUAAUAAAAUUGUCAUACUUCAAUUCUUAUGCUACAAAAUACUAAAUAAUAAUUAUUAACUAUCUUUACUUAAUACUAAAUAAAAAUUUUUCCCCUAGUAUAUAUAUAUAUAUGUGUGUGUGUGUGUGUUAACGAGGCUACAUUCAAAUUUAAAUUAGGAUGAUGUGCCAUGUAUCCAAAUUAAAUCUACUAAUGUAUAUAAUGAUAACGUGGUAGAUAUAUAUAUUUUUUUAAAAAGCAUUUUUCUUGAGAUAUAAAGUAUGCAGCCUUCUUUAUCCUGAAAGUAAGAUCACUAUUUUGUGGAUGAGGGCAGUCCAAAUGGGCGGGUCAAGUGGUUGCCUGAAUUUAAUUAGGUACCAGGUGCAGAUAGGUGGACCAUAAAACCCCAUUUAAUUAAUGGGUUUGGUAGGGUUAUGUAAACGUCUUUUUAGUCAAUGAAAGCUUGACUACGACCCAUUCAUAAUUUUUGGUUACUCUCACUCGACCCGUUAACUUCUGUCCAAGCUCAGGCUGCAUUUCUUAGGCAUCCAGCUUAAAACCCCAAAUUAAAAAUUAAAGACCACCUGGUAAUUUCCCUUUGGUUCUCAAUGCAGGUGGAUGUAAUGGGCUUUGAGGAUAUUUUAACUUUUAAUUUUGGAUAUUUUAACAUUUAAUGUCCCCAAAACCCAGCAAACCUGGAAAGAACAUUAAACAUGUAAUUUUGAUGUCUGUAAUUUGACUAUCAGUACUUCAUAUUAAUGGAAUCAUAUCUUAAUAUAUUUAGACUGUUUCAUAAUAAAAAUUGAACAUUUAAAUUAAUUAAAUGACACUAAAUUUUCUAGGUAAAAUUUGUGAUUGCAUGUUUGUGAUUGGCCACUAUAGACAUGCCCUUAGUGCUUGUAUUAAACUAAAAAGAGAUAUACAACCGUGCACUAGAUAAAUAAACAUAUUUAAUCUAAUUAUGAGAGUAAGUUAGCAGUUGUAUGACGCAAUUAUAUCACCUAAGAUCUUAAAGGGUUUAAUUAAAUACUUAUGAUCUCGAGAGAGACAUGCGAUUUAAUUAAGCAUAACUUAGGUAUAUCUAGAGAUAAUCUAAGGUAUUUGCGUGUAAUACAUUGUUGGCAUGUUGGGAAAAAUAAUGGGAUGAUUAAUUUAAAUUUUGCAUAAAAAUCUAAAACCCUAGACUCUUGCAAACCAUUUUCUCAACUCUAUUUAAUUUGCCUUGAUUAUUUGUUCAUUUUUUUUAGUUAUAGAUUGAAACCCCUAUGAAUUUGAAUUUUAUUAUUUGUCUAGAAUAAUUAAAGUAGAGAAAAUUAACUCGUUCAUCUAGAUUCUAUUUUGGAAUACUACAGGUAAUUUAUUACUACAAUCGAUCCUAUGUGCUUACAGGAAUUCAUUGAUCAAAAUGCAGUGUUGGCAUCACCCUCUUUCAACCAUUUGACUCUCGAUUUAUCCUUAUAAAAGCUCUCCUCAACUUGCAUCCUCAUUCAUAGUCUGUAUAUGAUUUUGCUUUCUCAAUAUAAAUUUUGGCCAACACAAUUCCAAAAAGUUCCUAAAUGUCCCCAACACGGUUGGUGAAAAGCCCCAAAAGUCCGUAUAGUUACCUUCUAAACUCAAUGUAAUAUCACUGCAGCUAAGCCUGUAGAGGUUUUACAAAUAUAUGAUUUUGAGUUUAGCUUAAGUCUAUCAAUAAAACGAUAAAGAAUAUAUUAAAAUCUUUGGUUAUCCUCCUUAUUUUGAACAUUAUAAAUGUUGUUAUUAUUUAUUAUGAGUUUACUAUAAAAAUUUAAAGAAGUAAAAAAUUAUAAAUUCAUAAAUUAGUGAACUAAAGAUUCCCUCUUUGAAGAAAAUAAAUUACUGAAGUCCUAUUGCAAGAUUUACCAGAAAAAGAACUCUAACAAGGAGAGUAUAUGCCGAGUUACUAAAAGCAUAGACAAAUAAAAAGGACACAAGGAUCAGGAAAACAUCUUUGUUUGGAUAUGAAGUUAUUUGCAACAAUAAAAAAAAAAAUUAAUUGCAUCAUAAAUCCGUUUUCUAAUUAUCUUUUUAUCUUUCUAGCCACCUUUUUAAUCUCAUAUCUAUCAUAUCACAAAGAGUGUUACGAUGUUAUUCCAAAAUAUUAUUCCAAAUAAUUUCCUAUUCGUACGCACUCAAAUAGUUCAAUCUUCAAUAAAUUAUGCAUUACCCUAUAUGCAGAUUCCUAGAUUACAACAUAAACCCCAAUUUUAGAUUCUUUUCUUCUUUCAUCCUUUCAAGUUCUUGAGUUGCACCACAUCUUUUAACUACUGUUGUAAUUUCUCAAGUUUCUAAUCAUCGCUUUGUUAGUCCACCAUUUCACUUCCAAUUGAUCUUGUUCAUUUUACCCUACAAAACAAAGAGAUUUUGCGAGUAAAAUGACAAAAUCAUAGUUAAUUCAUCUAUCAACUUAAGGUGCAAAUCAAAGACUAAAAUAAGCAACUUGCACCAUUUAACUUCACAAAUUGACUCAAAAACAAUAUAAAGCACCUACAGAAAUAUCCACAACUUGAGCUUAUAUCAGAAACGAACACUUUUUAUACUUCUGGCAUGGUUCUUAUAGAAUGAGUAGCGUAGUUUCGUUAAUUGGCAUGCAUAAUGGCUGUUUUUGAACAUUCGAAUCUACAUUAUCUUCACAAUAGAUUGUCGUAUUUCCAAAAUGAGAAAGCUGCUUUCUUUCAUUCGGUUCAAUACAUUUUUUGAUUGUUGGCAACAAAGUUUUGCAAUUUGGCAUUGAAACACAACUUCUUGACGUUCUCUUGCUUUUAUUGUGUAAAAAUGAUUACAAACCAAUGGAAUUUCCAUUUAAAAAUUUAAUAACCAAUUAAGAAAAUGACUUGCUCUUUUGGUGUAAUUGUUAAUCAUCUUCUUUUACAUCAACUCAUUAAGAAAUACAUGAAAUCAAAUACAAAAUGCAUAUUCAAGCUGAAAGUUUUUUUUUUAUUUAUUUUAACCCUCCCUCCCUUCUCCACACUCCAUCCCAUCCCCAACUGUCAACUUCAGGAUUCAAACUAUAAACCUGGUAGCUCUUAGCCAUUGGACCAAUCUUGCCUAGUUGCAUCAAGCCAAAAGUGGGAAGGAUGGUAAAAUAAUACGAUAAAAUUACAGGCUUAGCUAUAGUAAUUAAGGUUACGUUGGUGUAUAUUUUCACGCCGACCUCAUCAUGGACGUGUAAAAACGUGUUCCAUGCUGGUGGACCAUGAUUUUUGUGAUUCGGUCCUACAUCAUCACAAAUUACUUUAUGGGGUACAGAAUCACAUUUUUAGGCCCAUAAAUACAAGGAGUCUGGUCCUCUGCGACCAAGUUUUCGAUAGUCGCAAGUUUUCGAUAGUCACCAGUUACAAAUAUCUAUUUCCAUUCUUAUUAGUGUUUGAGUUUGUGUCCUUGUACAAGUAUGUCAAAGCUGCACUUAUACGAGUAAAAUGCACCAUUAAAUAAAUAAAAACAGCAGUCUGUGUUUGAAUUUGUAUCUGUGUAUUUUGUUCCUCUGUUACUUGCAAGCAAUUUUCAAUCCCUGAGUUUUGUGUGUCAACUAGGUACUAUAUUCAUGACUAGUUAUGAAGUCUAAUAACUAGUUAAGUUUUACUUAAAAUGAAUCCAAACCUGAAAAAAAAAAAAAAGAUUAACUGAUAAACAAGCUCUAGUCAAGGAUAUAAUUUCGGAAGUGAUUCAUACACCUGCUCAUUAAUGCAAUAAUUAUUUCAUUUAUUUGUUAAUAAACAGGUUAAAGUUGCCAAACAUGUGAUGAUAACCAACUUUUCCUUAAUAUCUCGAUAGUUAAUGUACAUUCAUUAACUACUUUCCUAAUCAAGAAACAACUCUAGGUACGUCCGUAUAAUUUAAUUUAUUGAUUGCAUUAAAAACUAGAAAAGUAAUGUUUUAAUCAAUAAACACACUAUUGGAGUUUAUUUAAAUUAGAUCAUAUGUUUCUCUAACAUGAAACCAAUCACAUUAGUCACCACUAAUUUAAGACAAUUAAACAAUUAAGAAUUUAACUAUCCUAACUAUCAUUAGAUUGUUAAGUUGAAUUAAAUAUCAAACACUCAUGACAUUCAAACAAUCAAACAAUCAUGAGAAAUUAAAUAAAAAAACAUACGAAUACUAACGAAUAAAAGAAAUAGAUAAAAACAAUUAGAUCUCAUAGUUGCCGAUGAAUCCUUCGUUACUCCUUGACUAGAAAAAGAAAAUUUAGCCACUUAUCACUACGAAUAAUCCAAGCAAUUUUAUUGAUAAAUGUUGCAUGAAUAUUCAACAAAAGCAAAAAACAGGAAAAGGCGGAGAGAAAAGCUCUUCGUUUGGUUUAUGCUUGGUGCCUAGACUAAUAGUCUCUCGGUACCCGAAACAAAGUCUUAAAAUCACGAAGGCCAAGAAUCCCUCCUACUCACGUCACCAACGUUUCCUGCUAUUACUACUACCACUAAUACAUCUAAUCUCCUCUAAUUUUUCUCCGAGAGAAAUAUACCCAUAAUUUAACAAAAGGUAAGUUACUUGUUUCUAAAUACAAAACGAAAACCAAUUAUUUUGGAAAAGGAAACCACUUCACAGAACUUCAAUUUGAAUUGGAAAAUUGCCACGCGCGCCAAAUCUCGAUCUCUUCGAACCCGAGGCUAGAAUUAGGUGCGGUCACACAGAACACACCAAGAAUCUUCAUUAAACCAAUUUUUACUCCUUUUCUUGCCAUAUUCCUGAAAUUAGCAUCAAUUGCCAAAUAUACUUUUUACUCCUUUUCUUGGCCUAUUCCUAAAAUUAGCAUCAAUUCUCAAAUAUAAAUAGAAUCCAUCAAUUAUUACAAUAUUUGGUCAAAAUUAAAGGAAAAUAUUCAUAAAUUUAAUAGCAAUUACAUACCCUAUCACCCUCCACUCUUUACACCCCUUCCCAUCCCCAACUAUCAACCUCAAGAUUAGAACUAUGAACCUGAUAGUGGGGGAGCUCUUAGCCACUGGACCAACCCUACCCAGUGGUAUCAAGCCAAAAGUUUGAAUGAUGAUAAAAUAAUAACAUAAAAUUAUAGGCCUAGCUAUAAUAAUUAGGUUACGUUGGUGUAUAUUUUCACACUGACCUCAUCAAGGACGUGUAAAAACGUGUUCCAUGCUGGUGGACCAUGAUUUUGGUAAUUAGGUCCGGCAUUACCACAAAUUAAUUUAUGGUGUAGAGUAUCACAUUUUUAGGCCUAUAAAUUCAAGGAGUCUGGUUCUCUGCUACCAAGUUUUCGACACUCACCAGUUACAAGUAUCUAUUUCCAUUCUUAUUAGUUAGCUAGCUAGUCCUUUAAGAAGAAAAUGGCCGCAGCCAAAUCUGGUAUUGGCAGUGGACAGGUGAAUAGUGACUGUAUGCCUUGCUAGACUGGAUUUCUUUGUUUUUCAAGUUUGUGUGUGCAUGGUUUUCGGAGUCAACUUAUAAACAACACGUAUAGAAACGUUUGAAAAAGUAUGAGGAGUUGCAAAUUAAAGUAACUUCAACAUUCUUGAGUCGACUUGAUUAGCAAUAUUUUAUGUUUCUAGUUGUCUACAUGCUGCGGUCUCUUGAAUUGUUUGAUAAAUAAGCUUCUUCCGAGCAAUGUCGUUUCUUAUUAAUUGAUUGGUUCGAUUUAGUUUUCUGGUUGUUCCUUUGUUUGAAAGGACUCUAACUGAUUUUGGGAACUCAAUUGUGUUGGGUUUUCUUACUGAAAAAUGUUUGGGGUUUGCAGAAAGACGAACCUAUUAUUCCUAUGGCGUCAACCGUCAAUCCGAACGACGAUGUGGUGAUUCAGAAGGCAAAAUUUGCAGUUGAUAGUUACAAUGGGCAGGCGGGGACCGGUCUGAAAUUCAACAGUGUGGAAUUCGGCUUCUGCUGGAGCGUUUCUGAUGUCACUGACUACCUGCUUGCCAUUAAUACUCAUGAUGAUAAGGGCCCAUAUUGCGACCCAGCAUUGGUUUCUGAUACACUGAAGAGCAAUGCUCACACUUAUGAGCUCAUCUGGUACAAUCAUAAGAAAAAGUAAUCAAGCACUACUCUUGAUCAGCUGAGUGGGGAUCGACGACUUUAAGUACUUUAAUUAUCUAGUGUUUAUGGUGUGGUUUUCAGUUUAUGCAUGGAUGAUGUACUGCUGGCAUGCAAACAUCCUCCCACUGUUGUACUAGUAUGCAAUGUAAGGUGCACUUCUACCAACAAAAAUGCACCGUUAAAUAAAAAAAUCCGUCUGUGUUUGAGUUUGUGUCCUUGUACUAAUAUGUCAAAGGUGCACUUGUACAAACAAAAAUGCACCAUUGAAUAAAUAAAAACAGCUGUACGAGUUUGAGUUUGUAUCUGUGUAUUUUGUUUCUCUGUUACCUGCAAGCAACUAUCAAUCCCUGAGUUUGUAUCUGUGUAUUUUGUUUCUCUGAUAACUAGUUAAGUAUUACUUAAGAUGAAUCCAAACCUUAAAAAGAAAUGAAAGAUUAGUUGAUACAUUGGGAGUAAGACAAGCCGAUGACGUUGUGGUUCUUCUUUGAAGUAUAUUUUGGAUGUUCUUCAUAAAUAUGAAGACUGUUCAGGCCAGCGAGUUAACAAAAAGUUGUUUCUUGACCCAUCAGCGGUUGAAUGUGGCAAGACGACGAGUGAUCAAAACUGUCACUGGGAAUUCAUAUGCAGGCCAUAGCUAAAUUUCCGUUUUUGGAUCUCUGUACAACUGGUACACGUAAAAUUUGUCAGCUAAACUCCGCCACCAAUUGUUCACGAUAUGCAGGAUGGAUGUUCUGGACAAGAAUAUAAAGAUUAAAAAGGGGACUACGAUUAUCAACAAGAAUAAAAUUGGAUUUAGAAAAAACAUGGUUGAUUACUCGUAUGAUUUGUGCCUAAUGAUAAUUACGAAGCAGAAGAAGAAAAAGAAGGGAAAAAAAGAAGAAAGAAAGGGUUGGAUUGUUGCACACACACAUACAUACAUACAUACAUAUAUAUACACACAUGCAUAUAUAUACAUACGUAUAGGGGAGAGGGAUGGGUUGGGUGAUACAGGGGAAAGAAGUGCAAGCGAAGGUCUCGGGUUCGAGUCCUCCUACUUACACUAAAAAAAACAUAUGUAUAUAUCCUUAUACUAUAUAAGAAUGAAUUUAGGGCAAAGAUUUCAAUCCCAAGGAUGGGGCUAUUUUGGAAAUAUGAGAGUAUUUGAGGUGAAAUUGGAAUAUUUAAUAUGAAUCAUUAUAACUGAUUUGGUUUUUUUUUAUAAUUACUUAAAUGUCCUCUCAGACAUUUAAAGCUAUGAGUAAGUUUAACAUGUGACAGUAUUCGAUAUUCAAUUAAUUAUUCGGUACAAUUGAAUUCAGCUUGUGUUUUAGUGAAAUUACAUAAAAAUCCUUUUAAUCAUUUAAUUGUAUUAACAUCUACGUCUCUUAAUUUCUUAAAGCCUUUCUCAACAAUUAUUUGCAAACUUAUGAUAUAUAGAUGUUAAGACACAAGUUUGGUUUCUUGGCCGUUACCAUAGUAACCCCCAUCUAUCCAAAUUCAUUUCAUUUACCUAUAACUUUGUUCCACUACAAUCAUGUAGUCUAUUGAAUUCAGAUGUUGCUAUAUUAGCUACUACUCUUUCCCAUUUUGCAACAUCUUUCUCAAUAGGUUUGUUUUCUUUAGCUAAUCUACUUUUUUGGUUGUAAGAAAUUUGCAAUCUUGUAAGUUGUAUGUGCAAUAAUUUUUUUAGUGUUUUAAUUCAAUUGCCCAUGUUAGAUUGGCUUGAUAGGGAGGAGAUCACAUUUAUUAAUUGUUAUUUGUGGUUUAGAAUAAGUUUGUCAUCAUAAAUUUUUUCAUUAAUAGAUUGCAUCUACUUCUUUUGUUGUUUUAACUAUUAGUUACGAUAAUUUUCAAAUCAUUUGCUACUUUUUUUAUGAUUCCAUUUAGGCAAUUUUUCACUUCAUUUGAUUUGCCAAUAUGUUUAACUAUCUACUUUAAAACUAUUUGGCUGCAAAUCUAAAGUAUGUACUUCAUUACUUUUAAUUUUUUUCUUGAAUUGAGUGGGUUAAGAUGUUUUAGUACUUUUUUGAGGUAAUUAUUCAUCUAGAUUAGCGUGUUAGUUAUUGUAUAUCUUUGCAACUAGGUCAAAAACUGAUGUUUUGUGAUUGUAACCCCUAUCGAGAAAGAGAUGCUUUGCUAUAUGUCCUAAAUCAUACAAUAAAUCAUAAUUAAUUGAUUUGUCAAUGUGGAGCUUUCAUGAUGAUAUGUCAUUGGAAUCAAUAUAAAUCCAAGAAUUUGGCUUGCAAGAACCGAAAUUCCACUAGCAAUGAUUUCUUCAAGUAUGCUAAUUUUUCAAAUCUCACUUAUAUGACAAGAUAAUGAGGUAGACUGCCCUCAAAUCAAGAUCAAAUUCAAACUUAACGACAAAAUUUAACAUCCCUAAAAUGCAUGAGUAGAUAUAAGUAGAUCUUUUAUUCUAUUAGAUUAGACGCAAAGUGAUUAAUCGUAUUUUAUAAUUAUAUUUUGUUGCAUAUUAUUUUUUUCACUCAAUAUGUAAUUUAUGAUUUUUCUAUUUAAUAUCACAUAAUAAAAUUGUCAUACUUCAAUUCUUAUGCUACAAAAUACUAAAUAAUAAUUAUUAACUAUCUUUACUUAAUACUAAAUAAAAAUUUUUCCCCUAGUAUAUAUAUAUAUAUGUGUGUGUGUGUGUGUUAACGAGGCUACAUUCAAAUUUAAAUUAGGAUGAUGUGCCAUGUAUCCAAAUUAAAUCUACUAAUGUAUAUAAUGAUAACGUGGUAGAUAUAUAUUUUUUUUUAAAAAGCAUUUUUCUUGAGAUAUAAAGUAUGCAGCCUUCUUUAUCCUGAAAGUAAGAUCACUAUUUUGUGGAUGAGGGCAGUCCAAAUGGGCGGGUCAAGUGGUUGCCUGAAUUUAAUUAGGUACCAGGUGCAGAUAGGUGGACCAUAAAACCCCAUUUAAUUAAUGGGUUUGGUAGGGUUAUGUAAACGUCUUUUUAGUCAAUGAAAGCUUGACUACGACCCAUUCAUAAUUUUUGGUUACUCUCACUCGACCCGUUAACUUCUGUCCAAGCUCAGGCUGCAUUUCUUAGGCAUCCAGCUUAAAACCCCAAAUUAAAAAUUAAAGACCACCUGGUAAUUUCCCUUUGGUUCUCAAUGCAGGUGGAUGUAAUGGGCUUUGAGGAUAUUUUAACUUUUAAUUUUGGAUAUUUUAACAUUUAAUGUCCCCAAAACCCAGCAAACCUGGAAAGAACAUUAAACAUGUAAUUUUGAUGUCUGUAAUUUGACUAUCAGUACUUCAUAUUAAUGGAAUCAUAUCUUAAUAUAUUUAGACUGUUUCAUAAUAAAAAUUGAACAUUUAAAUUAAUUAAAUGACACUAAAUUUUCUAGGUAAAAUUUGUGAUUGCAUGUUUGUGAUUGGCCACUAUAGACAUGCCCUUAGUGCUUGUAUUAAACUAAAAAGAGAUAUACAACCGUGCACUAGAUAAAUAAACAUAUUUAAUCUAAUUAUGAGAGUAAGUUAGCAGUUGUAUGACGCAAUUAUAUCACCUAAGAUCUUAAAGGGUUUAAUUAAAUACUUAUGAUCUCGAGAGAGACAUGCGAUUUAAUUAAGCAUAACUUAGGUAUAUCUAGAGAUAAUCUAAGGUAUUUGCGUGUAAUACAUUGUUGGCAUGUUGGGAAAAAUAAUGGGAUGAUUAAUUUAAAUUUUGCAUAAAAAUCUAAAACCCUAGACUCUUGCAAACCAUUUUCUCAACUCUAUUUAAUUUGCCUUGAUUAUUUGUUCAUUUUUUUUAGUUAUAGAUUGAAACCCCUAUGAAUUUGAAUUUUAUUAUUUGUCUAGAAUAAUUAAAGUAGAGAAAAUUAACUCGUUCAUCUAGAUUCUAUUUUGGAAUACUACAGGUAAUUUAUUACUACAAUCGAUCCUAUGUGCUUACAGGAAUUCAUUGAUCAAAAUGCAGUGUUGGCAUCACCCUCUUUCAACCAUUUGACUCUCGAUUUAUCCUUAUAAAAGCUCUCCUCAACUUGCAUCCUCAUUCAUAGUCUGUAUAUGAUUUUGCUUUCUCAAUAUAAAUUUUGGCCAACACAAUUCCAAAAAGUUCCUAAAUGUCCCCAACACGGUUGGUGAAAAGCCCCAAAAGUCCUUAUAGUUACCUUCUAAACUCAAUGUAAUAUCACUGCAGCUAAGCCUGUAGAGGUUUUACAAAUAUAUGAUUUUGAGUUUAGCUUAAGUCUAUCAAUAAAACGAUAAAGAAUAUAUUAAAAUCUUUGGUUAUCCUCCUUAUUUUGAACAUUAUAAAUGUUGUUAUUAUUUAUUAUGAGUUUACUAUAAAAAUUUAAAGAAGUAAAAAAUUAUAAAUUCAUAAAUUAGUGAACUAAAGAUUCCCUCUUUGAAGAAAAUAAAUUACUUAAGUCCUAUUGCAAGAUUUACCAGAAAAAGAACUCUAACAAGGAGAGUAUAUGCCGAGUUACUAAAAGCAUAGACAAAUAAAAAGGACACAAGGAUCAGGAAAACAUCUUUGUUUGGAUAUGAAGUUAUUUGCAACAAUAAAAAAAAAAAAUUAAUUGCAUCAUAAAUCCGUUUUCUAAUUAUCUUUUUAUCUUUCUAGCCACCUUUUUAAUCUCAUAUCUAUCAUAUCACAAAGAGUGUUACGAUGUUAUUCCAAAAUAUUAUUCCAAAUAAUUUCCUAUUCGUACGCACUCAAAUAGUUCAAUCUUCAAUAAAUUAUGCAUUACCCUAUAUGCAGAUUCCUAGAUUACAACAUAAACCCCAAUUUUAGAUUCUUUUCUUCUUUCAUCCUUUCAAGUUCUUGAGUUGCACCACAUCUUUUAACUACUGUUGUAAUUUCUCAAGUUUCUAAUCAUCGCUUUGUUAGUCCACCAUUUCACUUCCAAUUGAUCUUGUUCAUUUUACCCUACAAAACAAAGAGAUUUUGCGAGUAAAAUGACAAAAUCAUAGUUAAUUCAUCUAUCAACUUAAGGUGCAAAUCAAAGACUAAAAUAAGCAACUUGCACCAUUUAACUUCACAAAUUGACUCAAAAACAAUAUAAAGCACCUACAGAAAUAUCCACAACUUGAGCUUAUAUCAGAAACGAACACUUUUUAUACUUCUGGCAUGGUUCUUAUAGAAUGAGUAGCGUAGUUUCGUUAAUUGGCAUGCAUAAUGGCUGUUUUUGAACAUUCGAAUCUACAUUAUCUUCACAAUAGAUUGUCGUAUUUCCAAAAUGAGAAAGCUGCUUUCUUUCAUUCGGUUCAAUACAUUUUUUGAUUGUUGGCAACAAAGUUUUGCAAUUUGGCAUUGAAACACAACUUCUUGACGUUCUCUUGCUUUUAUUGUGUAAAAAUGAUUACAAACCAAUGGAAUUUCCAUUUAAAAAUUUAAUAACCAAUUAAGAAAAUGACUUGCUCUUUUGGUGUAAUUGUUAAUCAUCUUCUUUUACAUCAACUCAUUAAGAAAUACAUGAAAUCAAAUACAAAAUGCAUAUUCAAGCUGAAAGUUUUUUUUUUAUUUAUUUUAACCCUCCCUCCCUUCUCCACACUCCAUCCCAUCCCCAACUGUCAACUUCAGGAUUCAAACUAUAAACCUGGUAGCUCUUAGCCAUUGGACCAAUCUUGCCUAGUUGCAUCAAGCCAAAAGUGGGAAGGAUGGUAAAAUAAUACGAUAAAAUUACAGGCUUAGCUAUAGUAAUUAAGGUUACGUUGGUGUAUAUUUUCACGCCGACCUCAUCAUGGACGUGUAAAAACGUGUUCCAUGCUGGUGGACCAUGAUUUUUGUGAUUCGGUCCUACAUCAUCACAAAUUACUUUAUGGGGUACAGAAUCACAUUUUUAGGCCCAUAAAUACAAGGAGUCUGGUCCUCUGCGACCAAGUUUUCGAUAGUCGCAAGUUUUCGAUAGUCACCAGUUACAAAUAUCUAUUUCCAUUCUUAUUAGUGUUUGAGUUUGUGUCCUUGUACAAGUAUGUCAAAGCUGCACUUAUACGAGUAAAAUGCACCAUUAAAUAAAUAAAAACAGCAGUCUGUGUUUGAAUUUGUAUCUGUGUAUUUUGUUCCUCUGUUACUUGCAAGCAAUUUUCAAUCCCUGAGUUUUGUGUGUCAACUAGGUACUAUAUUCAUGACUAGUUAUGAAGUCUAAUAACUAGUUAAGUUUUACUUAAAAUGAAUCCAAACCUGAAAAAAAAAAAAAAAGA